UCUAAGGUUUCUCCUGCUGAUGCUGCCUAUGGUGAAGCUGGUAAUUAUCUUCCUUUUUCUUUUUCCUUUCUUUAUCAGCCGUACGUUUAGGCUCAUGAACCCUAGCUAGCAUGAAGAGAUAAUGAUAUUAAUUUAAGUGAAUGAAAAUGAGUGGGUUGAUUUGGAUGCAGCAAAUGUAUUUGGAAAGCCAAAAACAGACACAGACUUCAUGCCAUACAGUGGGGAUGGAUUCAAGCUCUCGAUACCAUCGAAAUGGAACCCAAGCAAAGAGGUGGAGUUCCCAGGUCAAGUGCUGAGGUACGAGGACAACUUCGACACCACCAGCAAUUUGAGCGUCAUGAUCACUCCCACGGACAAGAAGUCCAUCACCGACUACGGUUCCCCUGAGGAGUUCCUCUCUUCGGUAUUCCAUUUUCCCACCAGCUUAAAUAUUUUAUCAAUAUUUAAUCUUUGCUCAUCCAUUUGCUUCUCAUUGAAUAUUUGCAGGUGGAUUAUCUUCUUGGAAAACAAGCUUACUUUGGUAAAACUGAUGCUGAGGUGAUUCACUAACAUAUGCAUAUAAUAUAUAACAUAUGUAAUAGCUAUCAUAGACUUCAUUUUUGGUACCUCCCAUUCGGCCAUUCCCUUGUUUUUCGAAUUUAAAGCAACCAUUUACAUACGUGGUUUGAGUACAUACAUGUGUGUGUGCGCGCGCAUAUGCAGGGUGGUUUUGACUCCGGUGCGGUGGCGACCGCAAACAUAUUGGAGAGUUCAAGUUCAACAGUCGGCGGGAAGCCGUACUACUUCUUGUCAGUGUUGACAAGAACCGCCGACGGAGACGAAGGCGGGAAGCACCAGCUAAUAACAGCCACCGUCAACAACGGCAAGCUUUACAUUUGCAAGGCACAAGCUGGGGACAAGAGGUGGUUCAAGGGAGCUAGAAAGUUUGUGGAGAGUGCUGCUAGUUCCUUCAGUGUUGCUUAAACAAAGCUUAAAAAUGGAAGAGGGAUUUUAUGUAAAUCUUAUUAAUUUACGAGUUAUGAUUUUGUUGGAUUUGAAUUUGCUGGCUAUUUUAUCGUCCAAACCUUGUCGUCUUUAUUUCUUCUUUUUGUCUUUUUAGGGGAAACUUGUGGAUGUUGAAUAUUAACUUCUGGUCGGACCAAUCAUUCUCAAAAUAAUGCCUCAUGUUUUGAUUUUAAUUAUAAAUAUUAAGGUUUUUCUUUUACUAGAAAAAAUAAAUGGUUGGGGAUUAAGUUUUAAUUUGAUUGAUAUAAAUAUUGUUGGUAAUGAGAGUUGAGAAAAAAAUAUGAAUAAUUUUAAGUAUUAUUUAUAAAUUAUUUUAUAAAAAAUAUAAUUAAAAAUAUUAUACCUAAUUCAAUAUCAAAUUUUAUUGGUGAAAAUAUAAAAAAAAAACCAACUUUAUGCAAUUAAGAAAUAUUAUUAAGGAGUAUUUUUUAAUUUCCAUACAUAGAGUUAAUUGCAUCAAACAUUCCUAAUCUAUGACCCUCAUUUUAAAUAAGUCCUUAAACUUCAAAAUAUUCUAAUUAUAUCCUUAAACUAUUAAUGUUAUAUCAAUUAGGUCAUUUUGUUAUUACAAUUAUUAAUUUAAUUGUUAAAUAGCACGUUAGAGCUUAUGUGACAUAAUUUAAAAUGAAAAGUUUAAGAAAAUGAAUAUUGUAAAAAUAGAUGUUUUAAAAAUCUUAAUUUUAAGAUUUUUGAAACUUUUACAUAAGUUUUAUUGUUCACCAUUUUUUUCUAGUUUUACUUUAUUUUUAGUUUUUAUUUUUUAAAGUUACACAACAAUAUUCUAUUUAUUCAUUUUAAAUUUAACUAUAUAAGAUUUCAUGUAUCAUUUAUCAAUUUUAAUAAUGAGAUAACCUAAUUGGUAUAAUAUUAAUAGUUUAGGAUGUAAUUAGAACAUUUUAAAAUUUAGAGGCUAAUUUAAAAUGAUGGUCAUAAUUUGAUGAUGUGUAAUGAAACUAACUUAUCUUUAUAAAAAAAUUAAAUAGAAAUAAAACAUGUAUAUAAUAAGAUUGAACCUAAAACCUUAAACAUCUUAAAUACACCAGCUCGAUCGAUAAUUGAAAUUUUCUUCUGCCAAAAUAACAUCUUGUUAACAUGUUUAAUGAAACUUCACAUUUAAACUUACUAUAAAACAAUAUCUACACGAAAAACUAAUUGGAGUACAUUUAAUAUUUACUUAUUUAUAUUUUUUUAUAUUUUAUAAGAUAAUACUUACAAAUAUCCAUAAUUUCUCUUUAACUCGUAAAUUUUUACUACAUUCAAAUACCAGUCCUUUUAUCUUAAUAAAAAUAUCCAUAAUAGUAGGGCUAAGACUUGAUCCGGAAUGAAAUUCUAUUUUUUUUUUAAAUUAUUAAACAAGAUAUAAAAAUAUUAAAAUAAUAAUUGGAAGGGAGUAAAGCGGUGGUAAUGUAAUAGAAGGUUUGAAGUUAGAGGAGUGAAACCUAAACCCGAAAGGCAGCAAUUAAGAGACAGGACAGGCGCCUGUUCACCUACGUCUCUUUCUUUUCCUACUUUCCUUCUUUUCUGGUUUUUGUUUUACCCUGCUCUUCUUUCACUCUGCAUUUGGAAAACCAAAUACAAACCCCAAUCAAUGGGAAAGAAGAACCCCUUAGCUGAAAUCUCCGUUAUCCGAUUAAACAACGUACUUGAGAAAUUUCGUGAAUCAGAAGAUGAAGGUUUUUUAUUAUUAUUAAAAUCUCGUUCAAAUUUUCUAUUUUGAAGAUUAAAUGCAUUGGGAAUACUGGAUUUUUUUAUCAUAGUUUUAUUUAGGGCUUCUUAAUACUAUAGUUAUUGAGUGUGUGUGUGUGUGUGUGGGAGGGGGGGAGGUUGGUUGUUCAUCUCUUUGAAAAUGUGUUCUUCAAAAUUGCAUGACGUGGUUUGUUGCGUAGCAACAAACCUUUCUUGUUUUUGGGAAUGCUGUAACUUAAUGCUAGCAAACCGAAUUUUGUCUCAAUGUUGAGAAUUGGAGAAAGUUCUACCUUGUUUGCUUCUUUGUGUUGAUAUAUUUAUUGAAUCCGACAAUUCUCGCUUUUUUUUUAAAAAAAAUGAUGUUUUGGUGAUUAAUUGGAUUACAAUGGCUAGAAUGAUAUUGAAGAAUGCUAUUUGCUUCUUAUGCAUUAAACGUUCAUUGCAGUAUUUUUCUUGUGGUUAAGUUUUUAUAUUAGCUUAUUGAGUUUUCGAUGCUGUAUGUAGUGUAUACCUUUGAAUCCAACCUUACUAACAAAGAACGAGCAUUGGUGCACAAGGCAUGCCGGAAAAUGGGUAUGAAAUCCAAAAGUAAAGGGUAAGUGUUAAUUGCUGGUUUCAUGCUUCACUGAUAUUAAUAAUAUUAACUUAGAAAAUGUUAAAUAAUGUUACUAUUUUGAUGAAUUCCUUCUUAAUUGUGGAAUAGAUACUCACUGCUUUUUUUUCUUUUAAGUGGUUUAGCAAAUGAGUUUUCCAGUUUGGUUUCUUAAGAGCCUGAAUUUUGUUUUCAGGCGUGGGAGCCAGAGAUGUGUCUCUGUCUAUAAAAUCAAAGAGAAAGCCAGCAGUAUGACAGAGAAGAAUCUAACUACUGUGUCAUUUUCGGAGGGGACACAAUUGGUUUUGCAGGACUUAUUUACAAAUUAUCCACCAGAUGAUGGAGAGCUUGAAGAGAAGGUAUUUGGAAAGUAUAGCGGAAAAUCUGCUAAAAUACGAAGAAAGAAAGAUGAUAUUUUCUCGAAGCCAUUGAUGAAUGCUGCGGAGAUAGCAAAGAAGGUUAAAACACUUGCAUCUAAGAGAGAGAAGUAUCCAAACAUGAGACAGGUUCUUCCUUACAAGCUGGCUUAGAAACUUUGGCUGGACGCUACUUAUUUUUUCACUCAAUUCUUAUGCAUAAGGGGGGAUUUUGUAGUUUCUCUAAAUUAGUUUAUGAGAGAAGGUUUUCUGACAUCACGCAUGCAGAUUGAUGAAGAGAGGUCAAAGCUUCCAAUUUCUGGGUUUAGGGAUGCCAUUACAUCUGCAGUAGAAUCUCACCAGGUUGCCUUUUGUAUUCGACGUAUUUAUUUUUAAGACUUGUGUCUGUGCCUGGUGCACAGAUUCAGAAUGUAGUAGUAAUACAGAGUUACUUAUAUUGGUAUUCUCAAUUAUUUCUGCCUUUGUCUCAAUUCAAUCGGGUUGUUAUUUCCCAAUGAGAAGUCCAUAUUUUCCUGUUCUCUUUGAGUUACAGUUGGAUGGUUGGGAUUAUUUCAUAUUGUUAUACUUAUUUUUUCUUCCAAGUUCCAAUGUAGAUUAUCCUCAUUUCUGGCGAGACUGGGUGUGGCAAGACAACACAGGUAUUCUUUUAUCUUUUCUUUUUUGGGUAUAUUUAAUAGAACUUUUUGAACUAUCUGUUUUCGAAGUACCCCUGCCCAUCAUUUUACCUUCUUGAUUAGUCUACACGGACAGAGAAGAAAUGUAUCUCACAUGAUGCUUGAUGAGCUAUAAUUGAUAAUUCUAAUGAAAUCCUAUUUAAUCCUAUGAAAUUAAAAUGAGCAGGUUUUAAGGCUCUUGAUGCAGCUGAAACUGUCCUUAAAAUAUUCUAAUCCUUUAUGCAACAAUAAAGGGUUGCUAUUGCGGCAAACUGAAUCUGCUACUUUUUGGUUGUCUAACUCAGAGGCUCUUUAUCUUGUUUCUGAAAUGACUCUUAAAUUCUCAUCUGUGUGCAGCUUCUCAAACUCAAAGUCAGGAAUGGGUGCUAAUUUACUGCAUUUUGUGUUAUGUUACUUAUAGGAUUCUUAGUAGAAAGUUGGUAGCUGGGAUCUGUGAAGGCUUUUCUUUAGUUGUCUUCUUCUGAUCUUAUCUUAGUACUUCAAAUAAUACCUUCUUUUAAGAAUCAGAAUCUAAUUGUGGCUUUCUCUCUAUGGAUACAAUCAAUUGAAAGUAGAGUUCAUGAAUACCAAGAUUAAGUGAAGUUCUGCUUAAUGAUGAUGAACUGAAUUUAUAUUAUAAUUGUGUCUAAAAGAGAGCAUAUACAAUAUUUUAAAAAAUGAAUUUAUAUUAUAAAUGAUUAAACAUAUAUAAUUAAAUCAAGCCAGAAGUAAGGUAUGACAAUUGUUUUCUUAAAAGAAUAAUAUCAAGAACCAGUCGCUUUUAUAGAAGUACUGCUACCUCAAAGUUUCUCAGAAUUAUUAGUGUACAAUUCAAAUUAUACCCAAGGCUGAGGAACUUAGUUCACUGUUCCACGAAGUUCAUGAUGUAAGGAUUCUUUUGUUUUUGGGUUUGUGAAUUAUGUUGCCGGUGCAUCUGGUCCAGGUUCCACAAUUUCUUUUGGACUAUAUGUGGGGGAAAGGUGAGGCCUGUAAAAUACUGUGUACUCAGCCUCGGCGUAUAUCAGCUACAUCAGGUGUGGAUAAUUUAGGCCUGUGUAUUCCUUGUUCUACUUUUUUUUCCCCUGCUUUUAUGGUUUGCUAACCUUCAUAUGGUUGCUCUUUUCUUUAUUUACUAGUGGCUGAGAGAAUCGCUAAUGAAAGAGGGGAAAGUGUUGGAGAAAAUGUUGGAUACAAGGUACUGUUACUAAACUUUUUUUUCUAAAUAUGCAAGUGUGAUGCGAAUCUUACUUGUUAAAAUCAUGGCAUUUUAAGAGAAAUUACUGCUUGCUUCUCACUGCAUUUUAACCACAUGAGGAGGGGUAAUGUAUUAGAGGUAGUCUUACCAAAGGCAUAGAACUAGAACCAUUUGUUCAAACUUUCACAGUUCUUUAACUACUGAAGGAAUUAAAAAGUAUCUGCAUUUCUUGCUGCUAUGAAUAUUUUUCAGUGUGGCUCCUUGCUAUUUAUCCAGCAGUUUAUUGUUUUCUAGGUUAGGUGGAAAUGCUGCAUUUAGCUAACAUGCUAAUGAGUGUUUGAUUUCUUGGAUUUUUAAUGGAAAAGCUUUAAGUUUAUACCACCUUGCUAAAGGUUAUGAUCUUUUUAUGAAGAUUCGCUUGGAAAGUAAAGGCGGUCGACACUCAUCAAUCGUCUUCUGCACGAAUGGGGUAUUAUUGAGAGUGCUGGUUGCAAACAGUAGAUCAAAGAGGGAAGACAUCUCUGACAUGACUCACAUUAUUAUGGUAUUUAAUUUACUCUUGUUUUGCUUGUAAAUUUUCUUAAAUUUCAUUUUCAGUUGAUUAAAAACAGCUUUCUUUCUUUGGUAAAAUUCAGAAAAAUUUAGGGGGAAUAUGUUAAUAUGGGCUGGGGAGAAUAUAUAUUUCAACAUAAACUCAGGAUUUUCUUGAACCUAUUUAUUAACAUGCUUAGAUUUAAUAGCUGUUCAUAUUAAUGUGGCCAAGGUGCUUACCAGAUUCUACAUUGACAUUGUUUCAUUCCACAUUUCAUAUUAGGACUGACUGUUUUAAAGUUGUAUUGCCAACAUCAUUUGCUAGGGAUAAUGCAUGUUGGGAUAGGGAUAUAGGAUACUGAGACUAACUUCCCCACUUAUAUUGCUUGCAUCCUUGGCUGGGAAUGGACUUAUACUAGAAUAGGGAUGUAGAGUAGUAGGACCAAUUGCCCCUGCUAAAAUCCUGGAAACUUCUUGGGUUUAUCUAUAAAAUGCUUACUGUUUCCAUAAAAACCUGACUUCUAUUUCUCACUCUAUAUGCUAAUGAAAUAUAAUUGUUACCCUUCUUCGGUAUUUACUUGUAGAAGGGUUUAUCUAGAAAAAGCUAAGUGGUUAUUGUGUAAAAGACUGAAAAUGAAUGGAAUGGGCUGUUAGUGGUUUUUCCAUUUUAAGUGUGGUUCAAUUACAUUUGCAUGGAGAUCUGAAGAAAGAGAAGAAAAGACAGAGGAAAGGCAGUUCCAAAUAUAGGUGUUUCUAUAUGAAAACAAUUUUCUUAUGGUGAUACCACAAGAAGUAUUUGUUGUUCUAUAAAACUGAAACUAAAACAUUUUCUAACAAGUCUAUUUACCUUCACUGAUCCGAAGUUCUGAUCCCCUCUAUGGAUUACUGUUCUUUCCUCUUGAAAUUUUUAGAGGCUGCACUAGCUCCUCUCAGCUUUUGGCUUUUGUCCAAUGUCAAUGAAGAACUGUGCCUUUUUUUUUCUCCUUUUGUUCUCUCCGUGAUGUUAAUUAAGAUAUAAAGGCUUUUGGGUCUUUGCUGGCCAUAUGUACUUGUUUAAAAAUUGUAUCCUACCCUCCUUUUAUCUACUCCUAGGAAUUUUAUGGAUCAUGAUAGGCACCAUGUUGGUUGGCUUGUUUUUGCUAUUUUCCCUUUGGUUCUUGACUCCAAACCUAAGAUUUUCUUCUCCCAGGACUGUUCCGCAGAAAAAGGACAGAUUAGUGUUUGAGUUUGAGAACUGGAAAAGGUUCUCUAUUUCUGCAUCUGACUAGCUAGGAUGAGCAGUUUGAAAAUUGAUUACUAACCCAGCAAUACCAGGAGAAUUUAAUAAUAAGGUGGAUGCUGGGCAUAUACUGGCCCUUCCAGGCAAAAAAGAUUUAUUUGGCAAUUAGUUCCUUGGACUGGUUCAGUCCAAAAACCUUGGAAUAUUUUUAUUUGGUCUAGAUGGGUGAUGGGGAUCUUGUGCUUGUAAUUUUCUUGGGGAACUCUUGUUUUUCAGAUAAAUCCAUAUUUAUUUUCUUCUCAAAGCUGUAUAUACAUAUAAAUUAUUUUUCUCAUUUGUGCAUGCACAUUUGUUUAUAUUUAUUAUGGCUUACAGUUGUAGUUGCUAAUUUCUGAAAUUUGUAGGAUGAAAUUCAUGAAAGGGACUGCUUCUGCGAUUUCAUGUUGGCAAUUAUCAGGUACAUGUACUGUGAUUCAAAAUUUCACCUUCUUUGUUUGCAUUUUUGGCCAACCUUGUUUGCUUGCUUUUACUAACAUCAAGUUUUAUAUCAUAUGAGUCUAAAUUUAAGGCUUAAAAUGGUUUAGGGUUUACCAUUUUUGCAAUGAUUCUUUAAGCAAUUUAGUAUAUUGUAUAUGGUGUGGCAGUCAUAUCCAUACUCUCUGGGCCUCACCACUAGUCACAUAGCUGCCUGUUUUGAGUCAGAACAACCCUGAAAAUUGUAGGUUAUCCCGUUGGCAAUAUAUCCUAAGGGAUGGUCUUAUAGAUUUCAUAAAUUCCUGAGAAUAUCUAAUAUGCAGAGAGAAAGCGAGACAAUUAUACUCGCAACCUACUCGAGUUAGGUUUGAAAAAAACUCCAAAUUUGGUUCGGUCAUUAUUGAGCUAAUAUCGAGCUCCAGAAGCUCAAGUUAUUGAUUGAGUCAAAUUCAAUUUAUACCCUCGUCGUGUUAAUUAUUUUCUUCCCUAGGGGCAUGUUGUCUUUGAAGAUGGAACUAUGGAAGAUAAUAGUUGAAUAGAAUGUUUGACAUUUUAAUUUUCUCUUUGUCAAUUUGCAGGGAUAUACUUCCUUCGUACCCUCAUCUACGGGUGGUUAGUUCUUCACCUCAUGCGUUCAUAAUAUUGCUCCAAUUUUAUUUUAAAAUCUUGAUGGAAAAUUAAUUAGUAUUUCCUCUUUUGUUGUAUGAUUUGAUAGGUACUGAUGAGUGCUACUCUUGAUUCUGAACGGUUUUCACAAUAUUUUGGUGGUUGCCCAAUUAUCCGUGUUCCUGGGUUUACAUAUCCUGUAAAAUUCUAUCACUGAUUUUUUUGUCAUUUAUAUUCUUUUUUGGAUCACGUCAUAAUUUUCUUGAUAUUCUUAAUUCAGGUAAGAAGUUUCUAUUUAGAGGAUGUGCUUUCUAUCCUGAAAUCCACAGACGAUAAUCAUCUUAUUUCAGCUAAUGCAAGUGCCCAGGAUGAAGACCCAGAAUUAACUGAAGAAGAUAAGAUCGCAUUGGAUGAAGCUAUUAAUUUGGCUUGGUCAAUUGAUGACUUUGAUCCACUUUUAGAUUUGAUUUCUGUUGAAGGAGGGUCAAAGAUUCAUAAUUACCAGCAUUCUUUGACUGGACUAACGCCACUAAUGGUGUUUGCUGGAAAGGGUAGAGUGGAGGAAGUUUGCAUGCUCCUCUCGUUUGGUGUAGACUGCAGUAUAAUCUCCAAGGACGGGAAGAGUGCUUUGGAUUGGGCUGAGCAGGAAAACCAGCAGGAAGCUGCUGAAAUAAUUAAAAAUCAUAUUGAAAGUUCCCAAAAUAAUAUUGGGGGACAGAACUUACUCGAAAAGUAUAUAGCAUCAGGUAAUCCAGAAAUCAUUGAUUUUGUUCUUAUUGAACAAUUACUAAGAAAGAUAUGUAUUGAUUCAAAUGAAGGAGCCAUCCUUGUUUUCCUUCCUGGGUGGGAGGAUAUAAACAGAAUGAAAGAGAAAUUAUUCGCCAACCCCUUAUUUAAAGAUUCUUCCAGAUUUAUUAUAGUACCUUUGCAUUCAAUGGUUCCAUCUGCUGAUCAAAAGAAGGUCUUUAAUCGUCCACCUUUGGGCUGCCGCAAAAUCGUUCUUUCAACCAAUGUUGCUGAAAGUUCCAUUACAAUCGAUGAUGUUGUCUAUGUUAUAGAUAGUGGUAGAAUGAAAGAGAAAAACUAUGAUCCAUAUAAUAAUGUAUCAACCCUUCAGUCUUCAUGGGUCUCCAAAGCAAAUGCUAAGCAGAGAGAGGGGCGAGCUGGUCGAUGUCAACCUGGAAUUUGUUAUCAUCUUUUUUCAAAACUUCGAGCAGCUUCUAUGCUUGACUUUCAAGUUCCAGAGAUUAAGAGAAUGCCAAUUGAAGAGCUCUGUUUACAGGUAAUAUAUGUUCUGCUUUGUGCUUGUUAGGUCUCUCUGUCUCUCUCACUGAAGAUGGGGGGAUAUCUGCUACAGAAGUUUUCCUGUCAUAAACCAUGUUCAUCUCCUUUCUUUUACAUUUAUUUACUAAUAUUGUGAUACUGUCAAUGUAGUAGGCUGUGCCUCUUUUUUCUCUCCCAAGUGUGGUUUUGCUUAUUUUACAGAAAGGGCUUUGCGGGGAUGGGGGAAGAGGUGUUACUUUCUUUGACAAAGAAGGAAAUAAUUGAAAUGUAACAGUUUGUGCAUGAUUUUAUUUGCACUGGCAGGUGAAAUUGCUUGACCCAGCUUGCAAAGUAGAGGAUUUCUUGCGAAAGACAUUGGACCCUCCUGUUUCUGAAACUGUACAUAAUGCACUUAGAGUCCUUCAAGAUAUUGGGGCUUUCACGCAAGAUGAGGAACUGACAGAACUUGGAGAGAAGCUUGGUUAUCUUCCUGUUCAUCCAUUGACAUGCAGGAUGCUUUUCUUUGCCAUAUUGAUGAAUUGCCUUGAUCCGGCAUUGACACUAGCAUGUGCUUCAGACUUCAAGGAUCCAUUUGUCCUUCCCAUGCGACCAAAUGAAAAGCAGAAGGCUGCUGCUGCCAGGCAUGAGCUUGCGUCUCUGUAUGGUGGGCAAAGUGAUCAGCUGGCACUCAUAGCUGCCUUUGAGUGCUGGAAGAAUGCUAAAAGAAAGGGUCUAGAGGGACGUUUUUGUUCACAAUACUUUGUCUCAUCAAGCACCAUGAACUUGCUGUUUGGCAUGCGUAAGCAGCUCCAGGGUGAACUAAUACGGCAUGGGUUUAUUCCAGAUGAUGUCUCAAGCUGUAGUCUAAAUGCAAAUCACCCUGGAAUACUCCAUGCAGUCCUUGUGGCUGGUUUGUAUCCAAUGGUGGGAAGGAUACUCCCUGUAAAACAGGGUAAACGAUUGAUUAUAGAGGCUGCCAAUGGCAGUAAAGUUCGGUUACACACUCGCUCUGUUAAUUCAAAGUUAGUACCCAAGAAACCCGAAGAUUGCCCUUUGAUUAUGUAUGAUGAAAUAACCCGUGGGGAUGGGGGUAUGUUCAUAAGGAACUGUACUGUUGUUGGGCCAUUUCCAUUGUUAUUUCUUGCAACAGAGAUUGCAGUGGCUCCUAUAAAAGGCAUUGUUUAUGAUGAAGAUGAAGAUGAUGGGGAUGAUGGUGAUGGUGAUGAUGAUGAUGGAAGUGAUGAUGGUGAUGGUGAUGCAUGCAACACUGAUGGUGAUGAAAAAUUGGUUGUUAGUAAGUCAGGUGGAAAAGAAGAUAAGGUCAUGUCCUCUCCCGAUAAUUCUGUUAUGGUGGUUGUUGAUCGCUGGCUAUCAUUCAGAUCAACAGCACUUGAUGUUGCUCAAAUUUACUGCUUGAGAGAACGAUUAUUGGCAGCAAUCUUAUUCAAGGUAGGCAUUUCCAUUGACUGCGUACAUACAUAAGAGCUAAAAUACACUUUGCCCACCUUCUCCGUCCCUGUUUUCUUUGAUCAAUAGUAUCAUUUAAACUUGUUCAGCCGUGAAGCGUGCUCAUUUUCUUGUUAUAUUCUUCUCUACUUUUCCAGGUAAUGAAUCCACACGAAGUUCUUCCUCCUGUUCUCGGGGCGUCUGUAUAUGCAAUAGCUUGUAUUCUAUCUUAUGAUGGGUUAUCAGGCAUCCCAACGCCAGCAGAAUCUGUAGAUUCACUGACUUCGAGGGUGCGUUCUACUGAUAUCAACAAAUCUAUGCCAGUGAUGAAAGAUACAAGUCCCAAUCCAAGUAGAUUCCUUUUGUCACUUUUGAACCGAAGUCCAUUCAGCUGGUCAAGUUUCCAGAAAGGUGUUAAGGGCCCUGCAGUAGGGGCUGUAACAAAUGGAGUUGAGUCCAUGAGUUACAACCAAGAGGCACCUGUAAUGUCAGCUGGGAUGAGCUUAGAUCAAGCUGAGUUGCAGGACCCUACGUCAGUUGCUUCCGGUUCAGGUGUGUCUAAAUCACAGGGUUCUGGAAACGGUUCUUGCAAGCGACAACGCGGGAAGAGGUCUAUAUCUAGACCGUGAAGGUAGUAUAAAACAUAUUUUAUAAACUAGAAGAGCAAGUGGAUGGUGGAUUAUGCUCAUAGUUUUGAAGGUUUUGCAUUUCCAUUGAAGUAACCCAGUGGGUUGAGAAUCAUUAUCUAUGCUACAGGCUGACAUAUAAGAGUCGAUACUUACAUGAACUAGGGAAUAUUAUACUACUAACCUAUGGCAGCCACUUAGCUGUUUUAUAUGACCUUUUUUUUUUGCGUAAUUAAUAUUUUCCUCUGCUAAAUUAAUGGAAAAGAUCUUUAUUAUUAUUAUUGUUGUUGUUACUAUUAUUAAAGAGGUUGUAGUUUGAUAGAUGAGGAAAAAUUGCAGAUGUUAAUAUUCAAAAUUUAGAUUUAUUAGAUUCUUUUAACAGAUAUAAUAUGAAACUUUUGGAUUAAGUUUGAGUUUCAUCAUUAACAGUUAAUGUUAUUUUUUAUUUUUUUGUUUUUGGUACAUUGCAAAUGGAAUAUCUUAAUUCCACAAGCAUGAUUUAAAUAUAUUUACUUUUUAAUUCUUGAAUUUUUUUUUUUACUGCACUUUAAAUGGAGGCUUUAAUAUGCACGGCAUCUUUUUGUAUUUAUGGUGGGUAAAGAUGAUUCCUUAGUUGAGUUUACCAUCAUCAAAGGGCUGUGCGACAAGCAUCUUGUCCGGAUUGAAAAAUGGUAUUCAUCUGGAAUCCGACGUCUGCGGCAACUAUCUGGUGAAGAGAAAAAUAUUAAAAGAGUUGGGUUUUUAUUUGAGCAAUAAAAUUUUGUUUAAUCAAUUUUCUUUUCUUUUCUUCCCCAUAUGGUGUUGAGAUAAUUUAGGUUUUAGGUUUCUGUAAAACGGAUAUGCGUAACACUAGAAAAAAAUGAAAAAAGAGAUAGGUUCCUUUUUAGCAUCAUGUUAAUUGAACCACUUUAAUCUAUUUACAUAUAAUCAAAUUCGUUGUGAUCUCCUGAUCAUCAUAUUUUUCCUCGCGAGUCAAUUGAGGACAUAGUCAUUAAUGGCUAUUGCAUACCGACAAAUUCAAAGGUUUUAGUGAACAUUUGGGAAAUUGGGAGAGAUCCUAAUACUUGGUCCAAUAAUGUUGAAGAGUUCUCUCUAGAAAGGUUCAUUAAUAAUAAUAUAGAUCUUCAUGGACAAGAUUUUGAACUCAUCUCAUUCGGUGCAUGUAGUAGAAUAUGCUCAAGGAAAAAAUUAGGGCUAAUCAAAGUUAAACUUGUUCUAACUCAAUUGGUGCAUUGUUUUGAUUGUGAGUUGUCCGGUGAAAUGUCGCCAAAUGAAUUGGACAUAACUGUGAAUUUUAGUGUCUCGUUGCUAAAGAAUUUUGAUGAUGUGAUUUAACAGGAUAUUCGUAUAAUAAAAGUAGGGUGUUUUGAAAAUAGUAUGUAUUUGAUACAUUGUCACAAUAUAAAUAUAUAUAUUGAAAAUGCAUCACACUUUAAAAAAUUCUUCAAAAUAAAAUAAAUAUAAUUAAAAUUUUUAAUACAUUACAUCGCUUUCUUUAUUGUUCGUAUAUAAAUUUGUCUUGCUAUCAAUUCAACUUCUUCUCUUAAACAAGUUUUCUUAUUUUUGAAAAAUAUUACUUCAACCAAAACGAAACAUAAAAAAAAAAAAAAAAAACGAGGGAUAGAUUAAGGAUUCGCGAUAGUAGAAAGAAAAACAAAGGGAAUUGGUAAGAAAAUUCAAUGGAACUAAAGAUUAAAAAAAAACACAAUAAAAUAUAAUUUUGUUGUAAUAAAAAAACUUUGCUUUGUUUAUAUUUAUUUGGUUAAAAUAUAUUAUAAGUUUUUAUAUUCUUCAUAAAUUAUGAAUUUAGUCCCGUACUUUUAUAUAACUUAAAAUAGAUAGGGAUUUUUAAUCAUUAAUUAGAAUUGUAACCUCGCUACAUUGGGGGUUUUAUUUUUGAUAAUUUUUAUUUAAUUAAUAUUUAAAAUUAAUUUUAAAAUAAUUUUUAAUAAAUUAUAAUUUCUUGGUGCUAGUCCCUUUAUUAUACCCAAAUUUAGAAUUAAAACCUUAUACUUUAAUUUUGACAUAAUUUAAUUAAUUUAUUUUUAGAAUGUCAUUAAUUAUUCCAAAAAGCUAACAAUUUUAACUAUGCAUUUUUUUUCUUAAGUUCAUUCCUUCUAACUAAUUCACGGCUUAAUCACCUUCUAACUAAUCAUACUAAAACAUAUUUUUCUUUUUUGGAAUGAAUAUGUUAAAAGGAAAAAAUCUACGAAUUUAUUGAGUGUAUUAAUCUAGUUAAUGAUACUAAUAUAUAUAUAUUUCUUUGUUAGAAUAAGCAUUUUAAGGAAAUAUUCACUUCAAACUUUUUAACUAAAAUUAUUACCAUGUUAAUUAGUUGGACUAACUAAUUGUAUUAUAAAAGUAGAUACAAAAUUAUUUUUAAUUAAAUUGUAUUGACUAAAUUUCAAAUUCGGGUAUAAUAAAAGGACCGAAAUCACAUUUUGAUAUUAUAAAAGUAGAUGAAAAAAUUAUGUCAAAUUAAAUUAUAGGGACUAAAUCUCAUAUCUAAAUAUAGUAAAAGGACCAAAACCAAUCCCUUCUCUUCUUUCCCUAAUGCCUCACCCAACUAAAUAAAUAAGGUGUAAUGAUUUAUUUGACCUUCCAACUUUAUAAAAAAAAAACAUUUUAGUCAUCUAUUUAAAUAUUCACCUUUUUUAGCCCUUAAAUUUGCAUUUUAGCCAAAUUAUUUCAAAAUAGAUAAAAAAAGUUAACGCCUGUUAACUUUACUGAUGUGACAUACACAUAAUUAUCAUGGGGAUAUCACGUCAGUAAUUAAUUAAUUUUUUUAAAAUUUAAAAAAUAAAAAAAAACAAAAAAAUAUUAAAAAAUAAAAAUUAUGAAUUUUUUAAAAUAUUUUCUAAUUUUUUAAAACUUAAUUAAUUGUUGACACAAUGUGGAUUGCCACAUGACAUUAACUUUCUAUCCAUUUUCGAGGUGAUUUGAUAAACGAUAUAAGUUUAAAGGUUAAAAAAAUAAAAAAAUUAAACGAAAGUCUAAAACGACUUUUUUAUAAUAAAUAAAUAAAAAUGCCAUGCGUAAAUGCAAGGCUAAACACUUCUACCAUGCUUAAUUUAUCGAGAGAGAUUUUUUUUUUUAUGAAUUACAAAUAAUAUGACAAAACCCGAACAAUAAACAUGACUAACGUGACUCAAACUCAAAUCACACUUGGGACAGUAACACUCUUGACCAUAUAUAUAUAUUAUAGAUUUAUUCUCUCCAUUGAAAUCAUAAAUUUUCUGUUUGAUGCUAUUCCUACUGAAACGGACAAUUUCUUUCUUAAUAUUUUAUAUGUAGGCCCUGGAUUAGAAUUUGAUUAAUUCAUUGAUUAUUUUUUUUCAUACUUUUUCUUUCCUCUAAGAUAUUUUAAUUUCAUAUUGAUUUAUAGUGAAUGUAUUAUUCUAUUUGAAAAAAAGAGACAUUUAACUUAAAAAGACUUGAUCAUAGAUAUGAUCAUGAGAGGGGUUGGAGAAAAAUAUAGUUUCGCAAAAUAGGUUUGGAUAAAAAAAUAAGGCCUGUUUUUUAAACGGGUUGGGUCAUGAGCAGAAUUUUUUGGCCCAGAACCAACUCGAAUCACAUUCCUAUACUUUUUUUUAAAAAAAUUAUUGAGAAUUCUUUAUGUUAGCUCGAUCAAUCAAUUGAAAAUAGCUAAGAGAGGGAAUGAAUUGACCUUUUAAAAAAUUUGUGGAAGCAAAAGAGAAAAUAUGAGACAAUGAAUACAAUAACUUAGAGUGGUUUGGUCUUAAUUGCCUUUUCCACUACCUUAGCUUUCUAUAACUAAAGAUUUUUCCAAACUCACUAAUUUGAUGACAAAGUUUAACCUUACAACUCCCUUAAAAUUUUUACCCAAAUCUUAAUAAACAAACCCUCUCAAAAGAGCAAACAAAUAAGCAUACAAGGAAAUGAUCCUUACAAGAUUAGGAUGUUUGUCAAUUAAGCACUAAUACAAAGAAACACUUGAGUUGAUAGAAAAACAACGAAUGCUCACAAGUGUAUAUAAGAAAAAUGUGAAGAUUUUUAAGCACAAAGGUUGAUAGGACAACUGUUGGGGUUUGGCCUUAUAAACAACGAGAUAGUAAAAGUGGAGAACCACGAACACAAAUAUUUUAAGUGAGAAACCCUCAAAAGGGAAAAAGCUACGGGCAAAUGAGACUUCGGCUUUUCACUAAACAAACGAGAGUUCAAUAUGAAAAAAAUAAACCUAAAAGUACUAAAUGUACAAUCCCAAAGAAGAAACUGGUUAACAAAAUCCUAAAUCUCAUAACACACUCACAAAAAGGGGUAUAAAACACUCUCCAUAAUUAUCACAAAACUCUCAUAAAAAAUCAUAUGCGACUACAUCUUGUCGCCCUCAAAUAAAAAAAAAAUCAUUGUUGAUUUGCGUCUAAUUUUGGCCUCUAGAAUCAGGGAUAUAAUGGCCUCUUUAAAUAGGCUAAAACUAGAGUCCUAAUAUGGAUAUAAUAUUCCUAGAAUAAUUAGAGUUUUAGGGAAUAAAUAGUAGAGUUUAAUUAGGAGAAGAAAAUUCGGUUGAAUUUGGGAAGACGUCGCAGUGUCAUUUUUUCCUCGUCGGGGCAUUGUCCAUCAUGUCGUCGCGACAUCAUAAUCCUUUUUGUGAUAUCAUCUCGUAAAUACGAGGCACACCACAUAGCUUUUUUAUCCUUUUGCACUCUCUUGUUGUUGUAGAACCUUUUGAAGAUGAUAUUUAUACACUUAAAUUGAUUUCCAACCAUUGUGAUUGUUGUGGAAUUGAAUAGAGCUGUUGAAUAAAAAACUAGAGCAUUAAUGUCACCUGCAACAACUAUUGAUACCUUUUGAUGUGCAUUGAUACUUAAAGCAUUUAAUGUUCGAUUUAGUGAUUGUUGACCCUUUUUCACAUCAAUACCUAGAGAGAUUUAUCGAUGCUUGAUUAUAAGUAUAUGUUAUUUUUUAUGGGUAUCGAUACUAGGGUAAUUUCUUGAAUAAUUUUCAAAACAUCGAACCCUAGAAGAUGAUAUUUAUGCUCCCAAAUUGAGUUACAACCGUUGUUGUUGUAGAAUUGAAUAAAACCGUUAGGAUAUAAAAAACCAGAGCAUUAAUGUCACCUGCAACAACAUGUAUCGAUAGCUUUUGAUGAGUAUCAAUACUUAAAGCAUUUAAUGUUUAAUUCCAUGACUGUUGACCCUUUUUCACAUCAAUAUCUGGAGAGAUUUAUGAUGCUUGAUUAAAAGUAUCAAUAAUUUUUUGAUAGGUGUCGAGACUUAAUUACAAGUAUCAAUACACAAACUAUUUUUAUUCAAAAACAUUUUUUUGUUAUAUUAAAAUAAUUUAUCAAAUAAAACUUAAUUUAACAAUUUAUUUUAAUAUUUUUAUUGUAUUGAUGUAUAAUAUUUUUUAAAUUUUUUUUGUAUAAAAAAUCUAAAAAAAAUUAUUACAGUCAGGCUUGGGUUAAGCAUUUUUAAUAUGGGCCAGACUUGAGAAAAAUUUUAAGCCCAUUUUUGGGUUGGGCUCGGGCUUACAAAGCGAACCUAAAAUUCUGCAUCAGUCUGACCCGACCUAUGAUUACGUCUAUUUACGAAUAAGAUUUCUCAAGAAACAAUAAUUAUUUUUAUUUAACUUAUGUUUCAAUUUAAUUAAACUGUAGAUGAAGUGGUAAAAAAUUUAUACAUAAGUCUUCAAUUGAUAUCGAGUAAAAGAAAUCAUAUUUGGUUAUUUUCAGUCACGUACAACACUAUUUACAGUAGUUUAGAUGGGUAGUGCGUUUAGUUGCGGUUAGUGUAAAAACAGCGGUAGCGGUGAGAUUAAAUACUGUAACAAUAUUAUAGCGUGAGACAAAAAGUAAACUAAAUACAUUACACCCCAUCCAAUCGUCCAUCCAAACCUUAAUUCAUAAAUAAAAAUUGAGAAGAAUGUUAGAAUGGUUAAAAAAAAAAUUGAAAUAAAAUUAAUUUAUGCAAUUAAUAGAACAAAGUUGGCCAAAAUCUUAUGGGAGGAGAGAAAUAUAAAGAGAAGACCCACAAAAAAAAAAAAAAUCUAGAAAUGAAUGAAACAAGAUAAUAUAGUGAAGAAAGGGUACAGUGAAAGAAAUUAAAGGAAAUUUAUUGCGAGCAGAAAAUGGGGAAAACGUAAGCGAUGGAAAUGGAUUAAAAAUGUCUACAACAAUUAUAAAUAUUUUUAAUUAUUUUAUAUAAGUUUUUUUAACUCUUUAAAUAUGAUUAAGGUAGGAAAAAAUCUAGUAAUAUUUAUAAAUUUAAAUUUAAAAAUAAUAACAACUUAUUUAUACUAAUCAAGAAUAAAUUUGAUGAAUAGAAAAUUAUUUGUCUUUAAUACGAAAUUAUUCGUUAUUUUUAAGAUUUCAACAAUAUCACUUAAAUGUCUACGAACUUAUAAAAUUUAACUCAAUUUCUUUUCACAAUAAUAAAAUUUUAAGCUGAAAUAUAUAAAACAACUCAAACUUUCUUUAAUAGUCUUUUGGAAAAAUGAAAACACCUUGAAGUGACUAUUUUUCUUAAUUAAUAUAAAUAUAUAUAAUUUUUUCAAAGCUUCAUUGACUACAUAUUCUAAACGUACGUUUAAAGUCUUCAAAUGUUUUAUUCACCAAACAAACAAAGACUUUAAAUGUGUUUCUUAAGAAAAAACAUUUAUUAUUUUAAUUAAAACAUAUUCCACAAAUAUAUUUAAAAAUUUAUCACGUGUCUCGUUUAUUUUAUACAUAUCUAUUUUUAAUAUUUUAUUAUAUUUUAUAGGACACUUGUCAUUAUUCUAACCAUGUGUAGUCUAAAAACUCUAUUAAUAGUGUGCAAAAAUAUUUUGCUCCCAAAAAAUAUAAUUAUUGUUGCCAAUAAAAAGAAAAUAUAAUUAUUUGUUAUACAUGUGUUGAAGUUUUUGUAAACUACACCAUUAGUCACUAAACUAUGGGUAAGUUUUUAUUUUGGUCACUUAACUAAAAAAAGUUACAAUUUGGUCACUAAACUAUUCAAAAAUUUUCAUUCAAUUCACUGAACUAUUCAAAAGUUUUUAUUUAAGACAUUGGGCUAUUAAUUUUUUUUUUUUAAAAAAAGUUCCACUAGCAAGCUAUAAGUGAUGAUUUCACAACUGAUACGGUGGAUCAGUAUUCAGUUGGAAAAGUUUUGGUUUGAGAAUAGCUUUCUUACACAACGGAAAAUUAAAGUUUUGAAAACCGAGUCGGUUGUGAUAUUUAUAGCAAUAAACUUUACUUGAAAUUGCUCUUGUGUUUUCGGCUAGACGGAUUCUUAUCGUUCCUGACUUUCAACCGAACAGUCUUCUCUGCUAUUCUCAUACUACGAACUGCUUCGAGUUUGGGCUCGAACGAAUUCGAAUCAAAUACAUGACUAGAAAUUAUUUACUUUACUUUUAAUGGGAAAACAAAAAUCUCUCUCUAAUAAAAAGCGGUAAAAUUGUUAUUCCGGAAAAUAGAAUUUAUAUUUAGAAAUAAAUUAUCACUAUUUUCGUGCAAAAUAACAAUAUCUCAAAGUUGUGUAAAACUUCUUAUGUUUUUAGCCCUACUGGUACUAUCUAUUUAUAGGGAGAAAAAGUGAAACUCUUAUUGAAUAAGUAGUUUAUUUAAUAGAAAAAUAACUUCAAAGUUGAACUAGGAGAGAGUGGGCGACAACAUUAGUUAAAUAUAGUAAAGUUUGCCAUCUCAUGUAUUAACAUAAAUGGCUCUUGUGCCUCUCCUGUAUCGGGUCUAAUUAUAAGUGCUUUCUAAACUUUUAACCAAACACUAUAUAAUUCAAUCUAACCCAACACAUAUUUUUCCAUUUUCUAAAAUAAACAUCAUAUAUUAAUUUUCCAAUUAAAUAAUUUCCUCAACCCGGUUUUGAUUCUGUUAAAAUCAUGAUAAAUUUAUCGUAAAAGAAUUUAUGAAAUGUAUAUUUAAUAUUUAUACAUUUAAUGAUUCAUAAUGAUCAAUUAAUUUAAUUUCAUUUUUGAACUUUAAUUUUUUAAUUAAAUAAUUAAAUACUAAUUAAAAAACCAUAAAUUAAUUCUCAGGUCAUUUUCAUGAUAGGAAAAUCACAUUCAUUUACAAAUGUUUCACAUUUCUCUAACUUUACCAUUUAUAUCCAUUUAUGUGCAUUUGAUUCAAUAUACAAUUCAUUUCUGGUUUCAACGAGGUAGCAAAGGGACCGAUUAGACAUAUGUGAUUAGCGCUCAGAUGAUUUAUAAUUAAGUUCUAGCUUUUAGCUUAUUAAUUAUAAACUUAUUUAGUCACAAAGUCAUUCUACUAUAGUAUCAUGGCUGAGCUCUCCCUAAUGACAUACCAUUACGAAAGCAACUCGACUUGUACUCGUCCAAUGUCCUUAUUAUAAGUGUGUUACCCCCAAAUGAUAUCUUUAAUCUCAUUAGGAUAAAUCCGUUCUCCCAAUAUGAUCCUACAUUAUCUCAUGGGAACCAUUAUAUCUUUUUUCAUGAAAAGUCAAUUACUAUCAAACAGUAAUUAAGUCAUUCAUCACAAAGACGAACAACCCGUGUGUAACGGCCCAAAUUUCAGUGAUAUCAGAAUAGUGAUUUGAGAUCACUAAAUCCGACAUGUGAGUUUAGUUAUUAGUAAGUAAAAGUUAAGUGUGGUUUUAGAAAUAAUUUCGAAUUAGUGAAAUUAUGAAUUAAAAGAAAUUUGUAGAUUAAAUAAGAUAAAGAUGAGGUAUCGAGACCUCGAAUUCAUAAACUGAGCCAUAAAUAUUUUUAUAAAUAUUUAUAGAGUGUUAUUAAGUUAGUAUUAAAGUUUCGUUAAGAAAUUUUAAGGUUUCAGUAGUGAAUUGGGUAAAAAGGACUAAAUUGAAUUAAGUACAAAAUUGUGAAAUGUGAUUAAAAAGCUCUAGUAAUAAUUAAAGGAGGACUAAAUAGGAAAUUAAACACCUAUUAUUGGGCUGGACGGCAUGAGUGUGCAGGAAAAAUAAAAAAUCAAGUGUGAACAAAGGGCAAAAUUAGAAAUAGGGUAAAAAUUAAAUUGUAAAAUAUGAUAUAUUAGGUAAAAUCUAGAGUUUUUUUCAUUUUUCUUCAUCCUCUCCAGAAAAAAAACACCAUUGAAGGGUUAUUUUAAGCUGGUCUCUCAUAUUUUUACUACAUGUAAGCUCAAUUCUUGAUUAUUUCUUGUAAAUUUUGUGUUUUUGAGACUUUUACAACUAGGUCCACUUGUUUAAUUCAUUAGUUUUUGAUUUCAUGGGUAAUUUUGAAAGUUUCCAUGAAUAAGUGCUGAAAUUUUAUGAUGAUUUAUCAUGGAAUUAAGGUUUUAAUUUCAUUAUAUGAUGAUUUUAUGAAGAGAUUUGCAUAGAAAUUUAUUUUAGGACUUAAUUGUGAAAGUUGUUGGAAUUAGGGUUUUGUGUUGAAGCUUGAAUGUCAAAUACUGUGAAGUAGUUUGUAGUGUUUAGAUAAAAUGAUAUUUGAAAGGAAUUAGUUUAAUUGAUGAAUAAAUUGAAUAGGGACUAAAUUGUAAAAACUAAAAAGUUUGGGAUAAUAGUGUAAUUUUAAAAAUUUAAGGGCAUAAGUUGUGAAAUAGAAUAGAAUCGAAAUAGAUGCUAAUGAAGGAAUGAUUUUAUAAUUAUAGAUCAAGAAAACGAAGUGAAUCGUGGAGAGGAGAAAAUUCAAGAAUAGUCCCUGACUUUCUACGACUUUUGCAAAUUAGCCCAGGUAAGUUCAUAUGGCAAAUUUAAUGUUUUUUUAUGAAAAUAUUAUGGUUUUUAAGUAUAUUAUUGUAUAUGAAUACUAUUAAAUUGUAAAAAAGUAUGAAAUAGUAUUUAAGUAAAAAUACAUAAUAUUCGGAACAAUAGAUUUGAGUGCUUCCAUUCUGUGACCAUAAUGAAUUGAUGAAAAAGAUGUGAUAUGUGCUUCCGUAUAAGACCAUAUCUGGGCUAUGGUAUCGGUACAAUGUGACUCGAGUUCCCGUAUAAGACCAUAGUUGGGUUAUGGCAUCGGUGUGAUGUGAUAAUGUGAUUCCGUAUGAGACCAUAUCUGGGAUAUGGCAUCAGUAUGUUAUGUGAUCCGUGUAAGACCAUGGCAGGGCUAUGGCUUCAGUGUGUGAUGUGUGACAAUGUGAAAGUCCAUAGUUUACUAUGGCAAUGUGAUAAUGAAGCACUCAAUUCCUUUAUUGUUCCUUAAUUUGACAAUGGAAGUAAAUGAGAAAUGGGCCCAAGGGAAUUAAAUUUGUGAAUAGCAACCUGGAAAUUAUCCAAAUGAGUUUAUUAAUGAAAUUGUGAUUUGCAGGAUGAAUUAGAUAAGUUAAUAGAUAUAUAAUUGUGUAUAAUAUUUGGUAAGAUUUGUGUAAUUAUGUCUAUGAGCUUACUAAGCUUCUACAAGCUUACUUGUGUAAGUUAUUUGUUUUGUAGAUUGACUUAUAUACAUACGGAGGAUCAGAUCUACAUCAAGGUUCACACUAUCCAGAUUUACUCCGGUAGAUUUUGUUAAACAACUUUUUGAUUUAUAUGGCAUGUAUAGGAGUUGAUUUGAUAAUGUAAUUGUGUGAAUGAUUAAAUAUGUAAAGUAUGUUAAAUGUGAUGUUUUGUGUUUGAAAAUGAAAUAUACAUAUUUUGGAUUGAAAUAAUUGAUUGGUUGGGUACUAUUAGUGUAUAAUUGUGUUUAGGUACAAGAAAAUGGAUAAAAGAAUGUUAUUUGAUCAAGAUUGAUAAAUCAAUGUUUUGGGUAUAAAUUAAGUGUGUUUGAUAGGUGACAAUAGCUUAAAAAUAGUUAAAAAUGAGGUUUUCACACGGCCAAGUCAUAUGGGCGUGUGCCCAGGCCGUGUGGUAAAGUCAGAAUCGCCUACGGGCAGGCCACACGGGCAUGUCCCAGGCCAUACAGGCGUGUGCCCCUAUUUUCAAGGAAAUUUUUUUCAAAGUUCCCGGUUUAGUUCCAAAUCACUUCCUAAGCAUAUUUUGGGUCUCGUAGGUCCAUAUUAAGGACUUAAAGAUGAAAUUUGAGAAAUUUUUAAAUUGAAAUACAAAUUUAUGACUCGGUUUUAUAUGUUUAUUAUUGUUUAAUUCAGGUAGCACCUCGAAUCCUGUUCCGGCGUCAGAUAUGGGCGAGGGAUGUUGCACGUGGCCACGUUUACUUUUCAUCUAUCAAGUAAUUCCAAUUAGAGGAUAUCAUUUAUCCAUGUCUUCGACUAUAAAUUCCACUAUUGUGAAUGAUGCUACAUACUGUAGAAGUCAUAUACCCAACGUACCAGCCUUCAGUUCCUUAUCUAUUUGAACUCAAACUUUUGCUUACACCAAAGUAUACGAGUCAUGCAUACAUAGUCCAUCGUUCACUCAGGAUUAAUGUAUGCCACACUAUGAACGUGACAAGUGAAUAAAUCCAUAAAUGGAUUCAGGAUUUAUUCUGCUUGGGUCCAGUUUGAUGUACUACCAGUCCAGUCAGUCACAUCUAUGUCUCUAUCUUCUAGGAGUCAUCUACUCCGAUGCCCAAAACAAGACACCUCCUCAAUUGGACUUAAUAGACGACAUAUUAAUCUUUAAAUCGAUUUGCUCAUUUCCGGUUAGACUAAGAACAUGUUUAGGUUCAUCUACUAAUAUAAGUUGUCUUUCCGUAUUACGAUCUGACCAUGUAAUACCACUUAGUAUUAGUUUAAACAUUAGACAACUAUUGAGUUAAUAUUUGCUUCUAUUUUGCUUUGCAUGCAAAAACCACAUGAAGACAUUAUACAAAGAAUAUUAAUGUAAUCCAUUAAUCAUUUUAUUAACCAAGCUGUUUCAAAAAAAUUACAAGUUUACAAAUUAAUAUAAUACAUAUAGGGAACCGGAUCCAACAUACCCAUCGAGGAGUAGAAGAACAUACCUUAAAUCCAAGUCAAUCCGGCGGUCAGUGUCAAAGAUCAGAAAAAAAAAACUAUUUGAAUUUUGGUUCAUAGAUUCAUGACAUCCAAAACUAUUUCAUAAAAAAAAAAUCAACUAGAGAAAAGAAGAGUGAAGUGAGCUUUCAAUUGGUGUAGACAGUGCGAACAAAAAAAGUCGUACCAAUUUUAACAACCUGAUGACUUAAGUGAAAACUUUUGAAUAAUUCAAUAGCCAAAUUGUAAUGUUUUUUAGUUAAGUGACCAAAACAAAAACUUACCCAUAGUUUAGUGACUAAUAGAAUAGUUUACCUUUUAAAAUAUUGGUAAGUUUCUUUAAUUAAUAUUUAAAAAAUAAAAAUAUAUAAAGGUAAGUAUUUGGUACACUAGCACUAAACUUUUUUUUUAUUUCACAAGUAAUAUUGAAAAAUUGCCAUGUGUCUUUUUUUUAAUAUCUAGUUUUUCAAUAUUUUACUAUACCUCUAUAAGAGACUUGUCAACCUUUGACCUUGCUAUGGAGUCUAAAAACUUCACUGGUAGUAUUCACAUGUCAAAUUUUCAAGACUGCCUAUGGAUUAAAAAAAUUAUAAGAUCAGUGUUGUAACAUUUCGUUUUCAAUGGUGUUGGAAAUAGUGAUUUCAGGACUACAAUUCCAACCAGUGAGUCAAUAUAUUUUAUUUAUUUAUUAUUUAUUAAGUUGUUGGAGUGUCGUAUUAAAAUUUGGUACGAUAAUUUUAAUGUUUGGAUAGUUAAUUAAAGAAAAAUGACUAAAUCAUAAAAGUUGAAAAAAUUAAUCGCUAUUAGUUUAUAUGUGCUAAAUAGAUAAGAAAUCUUAAUUGGAGGGUUUUAUGAAGUAAAUAACCCAUGUUAGCCAUAGUGGACAGUUUAAGUAUGGUAUAUUGUGAAAUUUAAGUUAAUAUUAAAGGGAAAAUAGUAAUUAAAUAAUUUAUAACAAAAACAAAAUAGGAAAAAGUGGUCAUCUUCUCUAUUUGUUUCCUUAGCAACCGAAAUCACCAUUGUUUCAUUAGGGAGGAAUCAACCAAGCUUAGUUUGAUUGCAUGUAAGUGUUUUCUCUACCCGUUUUUAGUAAUUUUAUAUUUUUGAGAUCGUUGUAGUUUAUUCUAGCUAACUUAGGGACUAUUUUGCAAAAUUGUUAAAUGUUUUGAAAAUUUCCAUUGAUGAUUUUUUAUGUUCUUGAAGUUAAAUGAUAUAUUUUUAAGCUUAGUUGUUGAAUAGGACUAAUUUGUAAAAGAAUUUUGGUUAGUUUUAAGUUUAAUGACUAAAAUGAUAAAAUAAUAAACUUGACAUGAAAUUCUUUUGAAAUUUCAAUAAUUAUGGGCUGUAAAUGGAUACAUAAAAAUUCAGCUAGCUUUAUUUUGGGCUUACUUGUGAUAAUUGUAUAAGUUUCAGGUUUAGGGACUAAAUUGAGUAAAAGGUAAAAGUUUAGGAUAAUAAUAUAAAAUAUCAUUAAAGGGUUAAUUACAUGAAUUUAGACAUUUUAAGGUAUUUGAAUUGGUUAAUUGAGUUAAAUUAUUAUAUGUAUAGAUUAAGAAAUGAAUCAACCAGUUGAUAACUGCGAAAAAAGAAAAAUUGUCGAGUAGUCCUCAUCGAGGUGUUGGUAGCUAUUGCAUUUAAGUAAGUUCGUACGAGAUUUGUUAUGUUUAUUAAUAUUUUGAAUUCUAAUCAUAUAUGUGUAUAUGUAUAUGUGUAUAAUGGGCAUGAUUAAAUGAGGUAAGUUUGAAGGUGGAAAUAAAGGCUUUAAAUUUAAAGCAUGACAAUUGUACUUGUUUGAAUUGAAUCAUGUUAUUAUAUGGAAUGUUUGUGAUCAAGUUGAUCAUGGUAUGAGGUUAUAAUUAUGAAAAUAUUAAGGUAUACAAGUUAAGGCCAGCGUGAACUCAAUGAGUAGCUAGGAUACAGAUAACAUGUCAUUAGGCUGUUCCAGGCACUAGGUGCCAGUGAUUACAGUUUCCAGGUACUAUUUACAUGUGUUACAGUUCCAGGUACUCUGUGCCGGUGAUAUAUAUAUAUAUCCAGGUACUAUGUACCGGUGGUGGAUACCGUACUGAUAGUUGUAAUCUAGCAUUUAUUGCAGAUUCUUGUCAGCUUGUAUGAACAUUCAUUUCCCCGUGUAUCCAAAGUAAGUUACUAAAGUUCUCCAGGCUUUUAAUAUUUUGGAAUAUUUAGGAAUGAAACUCAUGGCAUGAAUGGUUGUUUGCUUAAAUAGAAGUGAAAGGGUAUAUGGAACUUAUAUCUUGUGAUAUUGCCAAUGUUAUGAAGAUUACUAAUCUUUUGGUAUGGUAGGUAAUGUGAAAUAAGGCAAGAAUUGUUGCUAUAUGUUAAAUUAAAUUGUAUGCUUAAAAUGACAGGUAUGUGAUGUUUGAUUUAUACAAACUUACUAAGCUUUAAGUAAGCUUACCUCGUUUUGUUUUCUUUCUUAUAGAUUGUUAGAUUCAAGCUAUAGAUUGGACCAUUUCUGAAGAUCACACUAUGCGUCAAUUCUUUCAAUAGCUAUUUACUUAUUUUGACUCGAUUAUAAGUGGCAUGUAAAUAGGGUUUGGUAACUUUUCUAUAUGAGAACUUUGGUUGAGGUUUAUGUCACCUUGUGUGUGAAUUGAGUAGUUGGAUGUAAAGCUUAAAUAUUAUUUUUGUUGUUGUUGAUGUUAAGCUUAAAUGAUGUUUAUGUAUUUGGUAAAUUGAUAAACUUUGUUUUAUGAAUGUGAACAUGAGAAAAUGAAGUUAGUUUAAUGGUUGAAUAGGUAUAGAAUGUUAGGUUGUUAUGCUUGAAUCAUUAAAGUUUAAUGUUUGAACUGUGGUGCUAAUGAUGACAUAUUGGUUAGGCACUUAAGUUGAAUGCUAUUUGGUAUGUUUUGAUAAGUUUUGAUGCAUUUUAUGUAGGAUUAAUGGAUGGUAAUUGCAUUACUUGUGGCCUAAGCGAUUAUAGGUGUGAUGGCUUCGUUUUGAAGGCAUGUUCAGGUGCACACGGUCGUGUGCCACAUGCGGUUGUAUGGCAUGACCAUGUGGUCUGUUUGAUUUUGGUGCAAGUUUAUUCACAUGGUAUCAGUCUGUUACACGGCUUGGCGAAAUGGUCGUGUGACCCAUGUUUACACUUUUUACUUGAAUUUUUGUAAAAGUUUCAGUUUAGUCCUAAGUUGUUACCAAGUUGGUUUAAAGGUCUUGUAUGCUUAAUUAAUGCCCGAUUUUGAUUGUAAAUCACAUCACACUUGUGUUAAUGUUGUUUAAUAGAUUUUUUGAUUAUUUAUGUCGAAUCUUUGUAUGAUAGAAAUGUUUAAUAUUUGUAAUACCUUAUAGCUUGGCUCAGGUAAUCGGACCGGGUAUAGGGUGUUACAAGUGUAAUAAAUACUAACUUAUACAAAAUAUUAAUAAAUUUCUUUAAAUAUUCUUCAUAAAAUUUCUAAUAUUUUGUACUAAUUUGAUUCUAGAUUAUAGUUUAUCAAGGAAUAUUAUAUUUAUGACCCUAUUAUAUAUAUUUGAAAAUAAUGCUGGUUACUUUAUUAAAUGAGAAAUAACAAAAUGACACAAACCAUAUAGAAAAUGAAAAUCAUAAAGAAAACUGGGAAAGCAAACCAAACCCAAAAGACGCCUCUCUCCUAGAGGAGACCCUAACCGACGCUAAGCCUUCAAGCAAAACAACAAGUGGACGAUGAAAAAUCACUUGAGAGGAAAUUUUGGGGAAACAAAGAUAUCAAGAAAUUCCCCAACUUAAAGCCUGCUGAAACCUAGACUAAGGUGGAUUGUACGAUCUUCUGUCUUCGUCGGCAACAAAGGUGGCCAACAAUGAUACUUCCUAUACUCAAAAACAAUCAUUCGUUCUUAACAUGCCCUUUGGAGCCACUGCAUGUGCAAUCUGGUUCCCUGAUCUAGCUAUGAAGGUGAACCGACAGUCUAAAAACCGUUUUGAAAGCUCAUUUACUUCCCAAAUAAUGUACUAAUUUUUGAGAAUUCUUCUGAGCUUACGUUUAACUUUUGGAUGACCGACCUGGAAUCACUCUCCAGGAUGACUGACUAAAAGCCUAGAUCAAGUGCAAACCUUAACCUAUGUACUGUCGUUAGAGCUUCGGUCGCAAAUACUGUAGGCGAAUGUAAGGUAAGACGACUACAUACCCUUGUAAUCUGUCCAUGUUCAUCUCUAAUAAUUACUCCUGAACAUAUUUUUCUUUGUAUAAGGGAAAUAUUGGCAUCGACAUUAAUCUUAACAAAUGAUAUCGGAGAAAGGGACCAGCUAACAGCCUGAGGUGGAGACGACCGAUAUAUACUUGCAACAAGCACUUCAAUAUCCGCACAGUAGCCUCGAACAAAGGCAACCAAAUCCCUCAUCCUCUAGUUUGUACCCCCAUGUAUAAGCUUAUUCCUAGCAUACCAAAUAACCCACAACACCACUACUAUCUUCACUCUUUUAUUCGCAGAAUAAUUUUCUAACAUCCAUGAUAACCAUUCAUGAAAGUUGAUAUGUUCGUUAUUACCUGGGCUAACAUAGUAUAAAGCUAGCCACACAUCCCUUGCAAAACCACAGUAUCGUAGAACGUGAUUCACAUCCUCAACAGCAUGACAACAUCUAGGGCACAGAAGGUCAUUUGCAAUUCUCUUGUUAUACUAACUCAAUUUUGUAGGUACAAAAUAUUUCAGAAAUUUCCACAGAGCGAUUCAAAUUUUUGAAGGGUAAGAGAGCAGCUAUAUCUGUUGAUAUAAUAUUUUAUCCAUUGGGGUGUAAAUUAGAAGGGCUCAGUAAUGAUCAAUAUCUACUACAAGCACUAUAUAAGCCUGAGUGUUCACCACUCCAUACUACAUAGUUCUCUUGUGAAAAACUCGAAAGGGGAAUACUCUUAAUAAUAGUAGCUUCGCCAUGGGAAAAUAUAGAAUUACUUAGAUCCAAGUUCCAUGCCAUAGGAUCUUGCACCGUAUGGUCUGACACCCAAGUAAAAUGAUCCACUUGUGGGGACUAAAUCUUUUGGGGAAUAGGGUCGAGCAACCAGUAAUCAUUCCAAUCUAAGAUUGAAUUACCCAUGCCAACCUUCCAUCUAGGGCCUAGUUCCAAAAGCCUAUCCGCACACUAUAUGCUCUGCCAGAGCAAAGAAGGGUUAGAACCCAAAGACACAUUAAAAAAACCUGUAGAUGGAUAGUACUUUGCUUUUAGUAUCCUUCCCAUGGAAGUAGUCAGGUUUGUUAAAGGUGCCAACCUUGUUUAGCAAGUAAAGCAAUAUUGAACUUUGAUAAGUCUCAAAAGCUAAGACCACCAUUUCCUUUUAGGUCACAUAAUGAAGACCAAGUACACUAAUGAAUUCCCCUUUUCUUAGUAGACUUUUGCCACCAAAAUGAGCCAUUAAAGGUUCCAGUUCUUUGCAAAAAUAUUUAGGUAAUAAAAAACACAUCAUUGCAUACGUCGGUAAAUCUUGCAAAAUAGACUUUAUGAAGACUUCCUUACCCCUUAUGGAGAGAUUUUGAGCACUUCAAGAAAGAAUCCUACUUCUGAAUCUAUCCUUGAGAUCUAGCUCAAUCAACUUUUUUCACGCUUUAUCUUCAUAAACCACACAUUCAGCCCCUCACUAGCAACUCGAAGUUUAUCUGGGAUAGGACCCAAUGAGCUUUCUCAAAGCCUCUUCACUUCAGGUUCACAAGAUUCUUUCAAUAACCAUGUGGUCUCAAACUUGAAAUGCCACUGUUUAGGUGAUCUAAUGAGGCCAAAAGUAGUCUCAACCAAACAGGGCAAUGAUAAAAAAAGGAUGUGGCAGAUGGGAUGCUUUAUAAUGCGGAAACAACCGCCACCAUCAUCCAUUCAUGACACUCUUAUCAAGCCUCUCCCGAAUAUUAUUACUCGCUAUUCUCCCUCUCUCUUAAGUGAACUAGACACCAUUGUAACGCAAAUCCUCCAAAGAACAAUCCUUUAAGGCACAUUGAAAAUCAUUCAUUUGACAUUCACUUUGCGAAAAUCCUCCUUGAUUCUCAAAAGAAAAAGUAAUCUCAUUAAAUUCCCUAAUUGCAAGCCAUGGUACCUUCGAGCAAUCAUCCAACUGUCUUAAUAGAUUCCAAGACUCCACUCUUCUUUGUUCCUUAGGUGUGUUAUAAAACCUAUAUAUCUCUAGCAAUUUCCUUCAGAAUCAUUAGUAAUUAAAACAUUAAUAUGUCUUCCUGAAAAAGAAUGAAAAGAAACAAUACAUUUAUGCUUCUAACCAAAAGAGGGACCACCACUUCUGCCAAUUGAAUCAACAUCAACUCCAUUCUAAAAUCCACACAUUCGAUGUACAUUCGCCAUUUGAGUACUCUGUAAUUUCGUUUCAACUGAAAAAAUUACAGAGGGGUUUAGAUCUUUCAACACAUGCUAAAAGCGACGAAUUGUCUGAGGGUUCCCCAAACCCCGGACGUUCCAACUUAAGAGUUUCAUUGCGACCGACUGGCCUACCAAGCAGGGUCUGCCGAUAGAGAAAUUUUUCCAUAUUCGAAACCAUAUUACUAGAAACUCCUGAUUUAGCUAACUGGGUACGGGGUUGCUUAAGCCUAUCCAUUUGCACAAUCAGUCUAUCUUCCCCUUCAACACCCAUUUCUUCAUCAAAAUCUACAUAUUGUGACCUUUGAUUAUGGGCUAGAAUUGAGUCAACAUUUGACCCAAUAAUAACCUUGUUUCGCGGUCCUAAGGACUUCACACCUGUUGACGUCACAUUAAUGGUGAUAUUUUCAACCAUAUCUCUUUGAAGAUUAUCACCUAAAUUGUAGGAAUGAAAUUUCGGAGAUCUCUCAUUUAUCCCCAAAAUUCUGACAUUGGUAACCCUAGAAUUUGGAGUACCAAAAUUGUCUUCCUCCUUCAGCCAAAGACUCUUCGGUGCCACAGCUUGCUUGGCCGGAGCUCGAAGAGAGAUGUCCAACCCUAAAUCAAAAUCCUGGUUCUCCUAGAGUGUAACACCCUUAACCCGUACCCGUCGCCGGAGGGUUAAAGAGUAUUACCAUAUACAAAAGAGUCAUAUCAAGAUAAUUAGGUAUAGUGAUUCAUUCUUAAGUUCAAUUCAUAUCAAACAUUGAAAACAUUAAUCAAAUCUCAACCACACAUUCACAUAAACCAUUUGGAACACAUAUAGUAACUUAUCAAGCCAUUUUCGCAUGGCUAUACAUAUAUACAUCAUCAAAAAGAUAAUUAUUUAACAACAAAAAGUCAAGCCUAUACAUGCCAUUAUCGAAAUUUAACUACUAGAGUACCAAAAGGCUUAGAUAGUGUGGACGACUUCGACUUUGAGAUCCCGAGAUCGUAGCUGACGAACAAGAUCUAUAAAACAGAGAAUUAAGGCAACAAAGUAAGCAUUACUAUGCUUAGUAAGUUUUAAGCAUUUCAAACAAUCAAAACGUAUCAUAUAAAACGAACAUUAAAUAUCACAAAACUCGUAUUCUAAUUGUAAUUCACUUGGCCGAAUAUACACAAGUACACUAGUUAUAAAUCCUAUUGGCCGAAUAUGUAUUUAUGUAUACACAAGAAAAUUUCUAGCACGUGUUUCAUUAUCUACAUGGUUUAUACAAUUACGUUUAGUCACAUAUUUUCCUAUAAUGACUUACAGUGACCGAAUAUAUCAUUAUCUUAUCAUCAAAUACCGAAUUCAUCCACACACCUAUAUAUAUAUACAUGGUUCUUUGAUACUAAUAAAUCAUUUUGAAAUCAAUUCACAUAUGAGCACAUAAUACGUACGUUAACAUGUAAAGUAUAUAUAUUACUUACUCGACGAUGGUUACCACGGACAUUCAAUAUCGUAGUCUUACUUAACUUACUAGCCUCGGUCCUGUCAAGUCUUAGAACUCGAAACACAUUUAUAACACAAGUCCACGGGUCUUUAACCCGGGUACCAUUCCAACACGUAGCCUGCGGACUUCAAGUCCAGAUAUAUUUCCAGCACAUAGCCUGCGGACUUCAAGUCCGGAUAUAUUUCCAGCAUAUAGCCUGCGGACCUCAUGUCCGGAUAUAUUUCAAAUACCAUGCAUACUUAGUCAUAUUUUAACAUAUCUCAUUCAACCUAUCACUUUAGUAGUCAUUUACUGCAUUCGGAUAUAAGCUCAAUAUGCACAUCAUCAUUCACAUUUCGUCUCAAGAGUUAUACUUAAUACCACACAUUCAUUUCAUCAUUCAAGCUUAAUCCAAAAGUGACCAUUAUACUAUAAUGGUAUACAUACACUAUUUAUUAUACAACUAUAAUCAAGAACAAACCAAAGAUUUCAAUUCACUUAAUAUACUCUUAUAAAAGCGUCAUCAAUUUCCUACUAAAAGAAACUACUCAAAACUUACCUCGGGUAUAAUUGAACAGUUACGGAUAGGCUACUCGAUUGCUUUCUCCUUCCCCUUAUCUGAUUUAGUUCCUCUUUGCUCUUGAGCUUUAAAAUUAAACAGUUGAAUUUGUUUAAUUACCUACUCAACUUUAAUUCUUUAAUAAUCACAUUUGAUAAUCAUAUAACUUCCAUACAUGUUAAGUUUUAUAAAAUGUACCAUGACUCGAUAUCAUGCCUAUGAUUUACACGAAUUUAUCUAUAUAAUAUAUAUAUGUAUAACCGAAUGUCUCUAUGUCACAAGGUACUUACCUAAGGCAUAUAUUUUUAUAUAACUAUGUGUGACUAACACAAUUUAAUCAAUUACUCAUUUUAUGCACAACCACGUAUACACACAGAUAUAUAAUCAUAACAUGCCUUAAUAUCUCAUAUACCACAUUCGGCCCUAACCACUCAAACUUAGCUUUCAUAUACAAAUUCCAUUUCAUUAUCAAAUGUAGCAAAUUGCACAUAGGUUUCACCUAUGCUAAACAAUGACUGAAUAUACAUUUCGAAGAAAUAACUUACUUAAUACAUAACUCACAUUACCAAGUACAUAUAACCCUAAUGACUUAAUAUAUAUCACCCCAAUUCCUAUGACUUAACCAUUUACCCUUUUAGCUGAAUAUCCAUAAAACAUCUAGUUCACAUACACAAACACAAUCUCUUAAGGCUUAUUAUAUUUUCAAGUACACAUCAAAUUUAUAUAGCCGAAUAUACAUAUAUAUUUAGCUCAUCAAACCGAUAUUUAAUCAUAUUUUCCCCUAACACAAAUGCAUUCGGCAAUGACCACAACUAUUUAACAAACUUUAAAAACAAACCACAACAUUUUAAAUUCAUCUUAUUCCUCCCCCCCCCCUUUUGACCGAAUGUACAUAUCAAAUGAAAACUCAACUAAACAACAACAUUUUUCUUUCCAAAAUGCAUAUACACACAUACGACAAUUUCAAUUCAUACUUUUCAACCAUGAAUUCUACUUAUUCAACCAUCAUUUAAGCUACUUAACAUAUAGCUAACAUCUUCCCAAAAACUUAUCAAAAUAAUACCAAUUUAGCACUUGCCGAAAGGACACUUGUUCAUUGAUUCAUGAAUUUAAACCAUGGGUUAACUAUGCUAUGUAUUUAUCCAUUUAAUUUCAUAAUCCAUUACAAAUAAAAAUUGCAUUACAUACCUUUAAAUGAAGAUAACCAUGGCCGAAUGCCUUGGCUUCUUCUUCACUAUUUUUCUUUCCCAAAUUCGGCAAUCAAGAAAGAAAGAUGAACAUCUAUUUUUUUUAUCAUCUUUUAUUGUUUUACUAAUUAAUUUAUUUCAAAAAUAAAGCCAUUACUUAUUAUAAUACUUAACUAAAACAUAUAUUAUACAUCAACCAUCAUUUAUGGCCGGCCACUAACAAAAUUGGUCCAUUUGACAUGCAAAUCCCUUAUGUCAACAUUUCAUGCAUUAUUUGGCACUUUAAAAUUUACCUAUCACACUUUCAAGUUUUAUCACAUGAGUCCUAUCUUAUAAAUUUCACAUACAAAUGACAAAAUCAAAGCAUGAAACUUUCACACAUGCAUUUACACAUAUAAUAAACAUAGAAUUUAACAGUUAAUUAUUUUUAUGACUCGGUUUUGUGGUCCCGAAACCACUUUUCGACUAGGGUCAAAUUAGGGCUGUCACAUAGAGAAUCCUAACAGGACAAAAACUUUCCCUAUGACCAAGUUUUCCAUAGAGAAAGCAAAAAAAGUGUGAGCUUUUCAUACUCAAAUCUCGUAGAAGCCUGCCUUGCAUUCGACAACACAAACUCUUUCUUAUGCUUUAUUCGUUUUUGAAUAUCAAAUCGGGCCUUAACCUGUAACCCAAGGAACACCCCAAUAAAAUUACUAGCUGCUUUGCCACCAUCUCGGACAUGAAUCUAUGCAAUAGAUCAUGGAUUAAAACCUAAAAAUCUACAAUAAACAGUGGCAUGGCCAUUGGAUCAUCCUCAUCUUUUAAUCGAUGCAUAACGAGAAGAUGAGAAUUAAAAUUCCAUGGUGCCCUAGCCUCAAUUCUGUCCACAUCCACCUUAUGAUAUAAUCGAAAAGAUACCUUCCUUCAUUCAGAUCAAAAAUCAAAAUACUCUAAAUCGGAUGCCAAAUGUUUACCAAAGUUGCUCAUAUUGACUGAAAACUAACGACAUUUGAUGUAAAAAAAGAGCCCACAAAAUAAUUAUCAAAAGAAACCACUAGAUUUGGUCUCUCCGUACUCUUCAUCCCUAAGGGAUAGGUCAGCAAUGUUCCCUUCCACAUUUGUCAUCCUUUAACAAUUACAGAAACAAUGACCAAUGAAACUAGAACAAAGAGAAAAGGAAAAAUGUGCUACAAAACGGAAAAAAAAAGCGUGCUACAAAGCAGAAAAAACACUAUUAAUUAAGAUUUAAGCUCUGUUUUUUUCAACGUAAAUUUUUUUUACAGAAAAUAUUUUCAGCCUUUUCCAAUGUUUGUUUCAUGUAAAAUAUGAUGGUCAACGUAAAAAGUUUUCUAGUCAAUGUAAAAUUACCCUCUUAUUCCCGUAAAAUGUAUUACCAAAUUUUUUUUUCUAUAAGACAUUUUCCAAACUGAUAAGACUCUAUUCGCUAUAACACCGCCAUGCCUGACUCGGACAUCAGGUCAAAGCACUGGAAUGUUACAUUCUCUACUACAUUCUUCACUCAUCAAAUAAAUUUUAUAAACUUUUAUAAUUUUUCAAUUUAGUAUCUUUUUGUCAUAAAAGUUCAAUAUUCACUAAUUAAUCAUAUUAAAUCAAUUUUCUUUCUUGUUACACUUUAAGCAUAUAAUUUAUCUCAAUAUCUUGUUUCACAUAUGAAAUUUAUAUGUAUUUCACUUCUAUUAUUUUAUCCACAUAUUUUCUCAAGUUUAACAAUUUAGUCUUUGUCAUCAUAAAAAUUCCAUACUUCUCCACAAUUUCACUUUUACAAUACUUUAUGCAUAUUUUAUCAUCUCAUAACACAUUCAUUAAACUUUUAUCAUAAUUUCCUUAUUCACAUAUUAAGUUGUUUCACACUUAAAUUUUUGUAUAUUUUUCAAUUUAGUCCCUAUUGCCAUGUAAUUUAUUUUUCACCAUAUAAUCACUUUAAUCCUUAUUUUUCAUUAUAAUAUCUUAUUUCACAUAAAAAAUUUUCAUAGAUAUAACUUUUCUUGUUUCAAUUAUAAAUUUCACAAAGUUUACAAUUUAAUCCUUAACAUCAUGAAAAUUCAUCAUUUACUAUAAUUUCACCUUAACAUCACUUUAUAAUCAAUUCACUACUUAUCAUAAAUCUUAAAAUGUAUGUUUGUUUAAUUGAAAACAACUUUUUUUAUGAAAUAUUUUCAAGAAAUCUGCCGAACAAUAAACAAUAUUUUACAUAGAUUCAUCAAAAUACCGAAAAAUAUUAAUUUUUUCAGAAAUGUAAAUUAUUUUUUAAAAAUUAUUUUUCGAAAAUUACUUUCAGUAAAACAAAUAAGUGAUUAAGUAUCAAGCAAUCAAUAUUCAAUCAACCUACUAUAUUUAAAAUAGUACAAACAUCUUUUAAAAAAUAUGAUAUCAUAUAUAUAUAUAUAAAAGAUAUCAUAUCUUCUUUUUAUUGCAUCUAUUAUAAAUUAUCAUAAUAUAAUUGUAGAACGUGGAAUAGAUGCUGCACUUUGUCUUUUGGAAAAGCAUUCCGGAAAUAGAAUAAUCUAUUAUAUACAGAUAACCUUAUUUGACCUCAGUUUUUCAUAAAUUAUUCUAGAAAUAUCAUAAUCUUAUAUUAAUUAAAAUUAAAAUAACAUAUACAUAUAUAAAUUAUAUAUAUAUCUAUCUAUCCAAUCAAUUAAAAGAAAAGGCGAAAUAUGACACACAGGAUGGCAAGCACUGAUUAAGAAAUUUUUUUAUCGAGUAUUCAUUCCUACGCCUAUAUAUUUCUUCAAAUUAUUUUUUCUGAAAAAAUAAGAAAAAAUAAGCAGAGAAUCCAGCAGCAGUUUCCGUCGCUUUCUGUUUGCCCAAAAAACUAAAUCCCGGAUUUCUUCCGUAAUUCCCGCUGUUUAAUUUUUCUCCGAUUCCGGUAUUCCUAUUUUCCUCCUUCCUUUCUUCUUUCUUGUCUUUUCGAUAUUUUUCUUUUUAUCUAUCUUGCAUGAUCAUUUUGGUUUUUGAUUGGUUUGUUAUUGAAUUAUUUUUGGCUCUUUUUUGUUUCCAUAUUUUUAUUUCAGUUGUUACUUUGAUGAUAUGUUAUUUUCUUGUUUUUUCUGCAUUGAUGUUGUUGUUGGAUGCAUUUUUUUAUUUUAUUUUUAAGUUUUAAUUUCUUUUUGCAAAUCCUUGUUGGAUGAUUGAAAUUGAAUCAGUUGCUUUGAAUUGAUGCAAAAGAUAAUAAGUUAAUCACGAUUAGGGUUGCCAUGCCUUCUGAAAUUAUUGUACUUUACUUCUGUUAUAUGCAAUGGCUGUAAAGAAAUAAAAAACAGGAAGAACUUGGGCUCUUUAUGUCAUCUUUUCCUUCUUCAGGACCAUAGAUAUAUAUUAAAAAUAAACUUUGAAUAACAUUCGCCAAGAACAAUGAAGCUCGGACGCUUACUGUUUCACUUGGCUAAAAAAUUGUGGUUAAAACAUGCAAGGACUCGUGUUCUGAAUGCUUUUUCGGACAUGUUCAGACACAUAAAAAUAUGAAAAUAAUAAUAAAAUAGGCUGAAAUGUGGUCAAGAUAUGGUUGGAUAAGUCUAGAUACGGCUGGAUUUGCGAUGAUCAAUUUGGUUUUAAUUGUUUAAUUAUUGAAUAUUUUGGUUCAUUUCUGUUGUUUCAUGCUGUGUUGUUUUCUUCUUGUUUUUCUGCAUUGAUAGUUUUGUUUGAUACAUUUUUUAUUUUAAAUUAAAAAUUUUUUUGGGGAAAAACCUCGUCGGAUGAUUGAAUCAGUUGUUUUAAAUUGAUGCAAAAGAGAAUAAGUUGAUCACGUUUAGAGUUCUCUUGCCUACUGAAAUAUUUGUAUUUACUUCUGUUAAAUUCAAUGGCUGCAAAUAAAAAGAAGCUUGACUCUUUAUGUCAUUUUCUUCUUCUUCAGGAUCAUUAUAUAUAUUUAAAAAAAGAGAGGAAAAAACUUGAACAACAUUUUGCCAAGAACAAGGAAUAAUGGGUCAAAAAUGCAAGGACUCGUGUUCUGAAUAUAAGUCGGACACACGAGUACACAUAAAAAUAAAAUAGGCCUUACAGUUGGAUAAGUCUAGACACAGCUGGAUUUGUGAUGAAGGGUCUUUUUCACAUUUUUCUCUCAAAUAUAGAAGCAAUAAAGAGGAAUUUAUUUGAAUGAAAAUUUUAACGUCAAGUUUUUAACUUAAAAUUUUAUUUAAAAAAUUGAAAAAAAAAACUAUUUUCACGUUAAUAAUAUUUUAUUCAAAGGUAUCAAUUUUACAGUUUUAUUGUUUAUUAUUCCAUAAUAAAUCUUUUUCUUGUUGUGCUCUACUGUAUCCAUGCCUAAUUUUCUUUAAAAAAUUUCGUGUUCCUCUGUUCAUAUCUGUUGUACAAGUAUUCUGUAUCUGCAUCCCUGCUGCUUAGGCCAAACUUAAUAGAUCCUGAUAUAUAUAUAUAUUUCCAUUUUGAAGAAGGGAUGGGGGGGAAGAGAUUCUGAAUCUUUGCUGUUCUCUUGUAUGUUAAUUAGAUUAGAACUUCUUUUCCUUAAGCAAUUAUCGUCAAUUUCAUUCAUAUUAAACCACCAUUGACAUGAAUGGAGGAGCAUUCUUUAUUGAAAUGAAUUUAUAGCAUAUGUUAUUUGAAUUGCAUGUCUUGUUAUGUUUAAUACCCCUUAUCUUUGAAGGAAAUCCUUAUUGCUAUAUUCAUUACGCUGUUUCCAAUAUAAACUGUGUUCAAGAUUCAAAUGUAUUCAAGAUACUUUUACUGCAAGUCUCAACUCAGCCCUAAAGAUGACUUUGAGGAUAUGCCCAUCCCAAAUUCAAGUCUGGGACUGCUAACUGUCUUUUGACUGCAGAUUCUGUACAUUUUCUGAUUUUCACGUCAUAGCCAUCCUCUCUUGCACCUAUUCUCACCCUUUUAGAUGGUUGGAAUGUGAAAAUUAAGACACUAUUGAUGUUCUGAUUGUCUUUCAUAUAUGGUGAAUGGUGUGGUUCGUGCUUUUUUCUUGUUUAGAGGGGAAUGCUAGUUGUGCAAACUAUAUUUGAAUUUCUAGUGUAUUAUAAUUCAAAUUAAAAUCAACUAUACUUGGAAUGUAGAAUUUUUUCCUUUUUGAAAUAUUUUUCUAACGUUCAUUCAAUUGUUUUAUGUUUUAUUCAUCAUGAAGAACGAGCAGAGUACAGGAGACAACAGAAUUUCAUUUUCUUGGACUGAUUGGUUAACGAAUAUGCUCUGUUAGCAUUUUCUAAAACAGAAAUUAUGGGGAUAAAAUCUUACAGGAAUCCAGCUGAGCUGCUGGUAAAGGAAUAUUUACUAGCGGAUUCCUUCAUCCCAUACACAUCAAUCAUUUGUGGCAUUUGUGCCUGCAAGAUGGUAUGUUCCCUAAUCAUUUUUUUGAUUUACUGUUCAGAUUGAAAAUAAUUCAGUUGAGUUAGAAUGACGAUUUGCAGCUGUAUGAUCUGAACUUUUUAUCUUAUUUCUAUAAUGUUGGUUACUUUUCAUUGAGCUUUAGUUUCUUCUGAGUUUUCUCUGUUAUUUUUCUCAUUUCUUAUGUUUAAGCGUCUUUUUUUCCCUUUAUUUCCUUUGUGCUACCUUUUCCUUCUUUCUCUUCCUCUCAAGUUUUGACUGCGUUAUCCUUUUCCAGGUAUAUGAUCUUACUCAGUUGUUUAGCAGUGUUUACUUUAAGAGCUAUCCUAGCCUACCAAAAAUUCAACGCACUGAGUGGAGCAACCGGUGACUAGUAUUUCUAGUUAUCUUGAAUUUGUCAUUACUAUUUGCUUUUAUAUAUACAGAAUUAAUGUCGGGAUUGUUUAUGCAGAUCCAUAUCAACCUUUCAUGCCAUGUUCAUAACUGCCAUGUCCUUAUACUUCGUGUUUUGGUCAAACCUCUAUUCUGACAACCAAUAUGCUGGCAUGGUUACUUUCCGCAGUUCUGCACUGUCUACAUUCAGUUUGGGGGUGAGGAUAGCCUUUUCCUUCAUCUUCAAUGAAAACUUUUGGAAUUGAGAUAUUAUUUGAUCAUUUAUGUCUGAUCUUUUAUCCUUGACUUUUAAUAUUGGCUAUCAGUAAAAAAUUGAUCUGCCUGCCUUUAGUAACACGUCAUCGUGAUAAUUGUUUUAGUCAUGCAUUGUGAUACAUAAAAUUCUCCUGAGUGGUUUAUUUUGAGCACAUUUACUGUAUCAUUUAGAAGAAGCAAUGAAAUGUUGAGUUUUCUUUAUUGAAUAUUUAAAUUUCUAGUGAAUGGAAAUGUUUGACUUUAUAAGUUUGAAUGACGCGGGUGGCUCUACCCUUGAUACGACAAAUAUUUGUGAAUUGCUGUUUUUUUUCUCAUGCUGAAAUUGACCUCUCAUUUUCCAGGGACAGCAAUGAAGAGUACCAUCAUAUGUCUGUCUAUGUAAUAUGUAUAUCCUUGGUCAUGCCUGCAAGUGCAAUUCUUCUGAUUUAAUAUGGUUUAAGGUUCUCAGCCACUUUGUUUCAUAGCCCUAACAGAGUAUUUUAUGUACCCUUAGCCAAAUCUCUUGUUUUUGUGCAAAACGAGUAGCAUAAUUGUGGUGGAAAAAUAUGCAUUCAUGUUAACUCCUUUUCACAAAAUUUAAUAAACUUAACUUUAAGCUUAGGACAAGCAUUUCUUGAAUUCAUGGUCAAACUUUUUCAUUGAAACUUUAUAGUAAGCUGGGCUUGGUUUUCAUAGGGAUUUGCUAGUCUUGGUUCAAUGGAUUAGGAUCCCAAACAUUAUCUUUUGUCUAUUAUUUUUCAAUACAUCCAUCAUUACCAUUCACUUCUGCAGGACUCAUUUAUUAUUUGUGGAAGUUAUACUUUUCUUUUGAAAGUUGUGAAAGUCACUUUUGAAUGGUGAUUAAUGUGUAAUGGAAAUUAAUGGAGGGGAGUCAGACCCUGGUUCAAUUCACCUUUGAUGUGAAGACUACUCAUUAAAAUAAAGAUCUCCGAUGUCACAUGUAGCUAGCAUACAGCAAAAGUUUUUCACUGUGAUUGCAAUUUUGCAAUUAAAAGCUCAGUCGCAGAAACUAUAAAUGUACAAUGUCAUCCUGUGUCUCUCAGUAAGCUUUCAUGGCCAUGAGGCAUGGUCUGCUAACUCAAUAAGUAAAUCACAUUGCUCAUGAGCUGUACCUUGAAUUUCUUAGAUAAGCUCUUAUAAGCCCUUGUCUGAAAUAAAACAAAGACAGGGGCUAAUAUGAGAUAUCUGAGAAAGUAGAAGGCUUUUUUUUUUUUUUUUUAGUCUGUUAGCCUUUUUAUAUUGCAGAAUGACGACCUGUCUAAUGAAUGACUAAAUAAAUAAUAAAUACACUCAGAGAAGCCGUGAAAGUCAUGAUACACACUCUGCCUAUCAACUCAGUUUUUAAUGUGGCUGGAAACUAGUUGUAGCACUCUUGUUUGUACAAGAGGAAAAUAUAUUUCAGAAAUUCAUCUUGCUGAACGUUUUCAUUUUGUGUUUAACAUUUCUCUCGGUUUAUAUCUUAUCAUCUCAGAGCCAGCUUCUAAGUAAUUAUCUUACAUGCCAUUUCUUGAAAAUUUUCUUUUGACAGGCAUCUGUUGGUUACUUUCUGUCUGACCUUGGGAUGAUUAUUUGGUUUUACCCUUCUCUAGGUGGAAUGGAGUAUGUAAGUAUUUUAUUAUUGGGUCUAAGUCUUGGCCUAUGUCAAGCCCUGAUAUUCAAGCUAUCCUGAUGUAAAUCAACCUAAAUUUUUUGUUAUUCAGGUCCUUCAUCAUCUUCUGUCAUUAGCAGCUGUAGCAUAUUCUAUGUUGACUGGGGAGGGGCAGCUUUACACCUUCAUGGUACUAAUCUCUGAGACUACAACGCCUGGGAUCAAUUUGAGAUGGUAAAAGAUUACAUAUUGACUACUUCAUUUCUUGUAUGUCAAUUGUAAAAUACAUGUUACUUUACUUAUGUUACAGAUGUUACUGGUUUCAUAUAGGUAUCUUGACACAGUUGGAAUGAAGAGAUCCAAAGCUUACUUGGUCAAUGGAGUUGUAAUAUUUGUCGCAUGGUUGGUGAGUGAAAUCAGUUUAUUGCUCUUGGUCCUUUUCCUUUUCUGUUAAUGCUUUUAUUAAAGUCCUCUCCACUAAUUUAUCUUGCAGUUACUUAUAAUGAACUUUGAUGUUUUUGCCAGGUUGCUAGAGUACUCCUGUUUAUGUAUCUAUUUUAUCACAUCUACUUGCACUAUGAUCAGGUAAACUGUUACUGCAAAACUUUACCUGCUGUCAUCCCUAGGGGUGCAUGUUUAUUAUUUACUAGCUUAUUUGCCUUUUAAUCUAAAAUUUUAUUAAAAUUAUCUUGGCUUUUAAGUAUUAAACUUCUUUUAUACUAUCUUACUUUAGCUGGCACAUACUGGGUGCUAUAUUGUUUUGACUUUUCGUUUUCUCUAAGGUAUCAAUUUCUGUUACUCGUAUCUGACCUGUAUUUAGACACGGAUAUGGGGUUAUGGUUAUCCAAUUAUAAGGAAAAACAUCAAAAAAUGAGGCUUAACUGUAUUAGACACGUACUUGCAUCUCACGUUUACCUUUGAGUCUGAGUAACACAAGGUAGAUGUAUUCGUUUCCUUUUUGACAAAAGAGAUUGUAGUUCUGGAGAUAACAAUUAGGCAUGAAUUAACUGAAUUAGUUCUUAGUUUCAAAUCGAAGGUGUAUUUGUUAUUGCUUGUGUUAAGUAAUGAACAAACCUGAUAUCACUUGAGAACAGUAGAAAAACUUGAUAUGAUACCUUUAACAUCAUACGCCUCGUUUUUAAUAUGUUGACAGGGAUUUUUCACAUGAAUAAAUUGUUAUCAUACAUUUUUUUUUCUGAUAAAUAAGUUAACAGCGAACUGCAAUUUUCUCGUGAAAACAGGUAAAGCAGAUGCACAGCUAUGGGCUGUUGUUAAUAUUCGUUGUGCCGUCAGUCCUAUCAGUUAUGAACUUAUUUUGGUUCGGAAAGAUUAUAAGGGGAUUAAGGAAGACAUUAGCAAAGCGGCAGUGAAGAAAAGGGUAUAGCAAAACAGAAACUGAUGAUGAAUUGGGACAUGGAUCGACCGAUUGACCGGCAAAGAAAAUCAUUGUAUUCUAUUAGGCCUAAUGUCCUUAGCAUUUGAUCUCACCCUCUUGAUUGUUAAAUACGUAAAUGGGUAUAGGUGAAAACUAGAGUUUUGAUUCAACGUCACAAAUCUGAAGGAACGAUGAAAACUAAAUACCUGGUGUAUGAUGGGAAAUCUGUGUACAUGGUGAAGUGAAUUGAAUUAAUAGAAGAUAAAUUCUGGUUAAAUAAACAUUAUAUUGUGGAUAUUCAAUUAAAAUAUAUGCAUGAAUCCAUGUUUGGAAUUGAAAUAAUGUUAGUCGAGAUUGAUUCUUCAUGUUUAGCUUGUCAAAAGUUUUGCUAUUAGAUUUAAAAAUUAUGUCCCACCAAAAGUGCUAUCCUUUAAAGUGGAUUUGUAGCCAUUGCAAUAGAAUCACACCAUUUAACAAGUUUACCAUCUGAAUCCAUCCCAACUUCACUCAUCAGUGACUGGAACCAAACAAUGUAAUGGUUAGCUGACUUGUGUAGAUGUUGAGCGAGAAACCACUCCUUGUUUCUUUGAGGAGCAUCCACCAAGGUAAAUGUAAUGUCCAGAAGUAGACCUUGGAUCCUCAAAAUAGCUACCACAUAAGCGCAUUAGAAAACCCAGUGAGAUCCAGGAAAGAUGACAACUUGAAGAGCAAAUCAGAUACUCCAGGAUUCUCUUAAAAAAAACACCACGGAAUGUGAAAAGGCCGUUGCAUGUAUUGGCUCACUUUGUUUACGUUGUAGGCAACGUUAGGCCUAGUUAGCACAUGUACUGUAAUGCUCCAAUUGCACUCCUAUAACCUGUAGCAUUUCCAAUUGGAACACAUAACGAUGAUGACAAUGCUGGAGAGCUAACCAGUGGAAGUCACUUCUAAUCCCAAAAAGUAGCUUAGGUCACAUAAAUCCUUCAAAGAGAAUUGAACAUUGAACUCGCAAUGCUAUCCAUACCUUGUCUCGAACCAGUGACUAUUAUGUCAUCAACAUACACAACCAAGAACAAGCAUGACCCUUUAGAAUUUUUGAAGAAAAUGGAAAGAUCAACUUGAGAUGAGGUAAACUUCAAUUAGACCACUGAAAACCUCUUAGCUUUUUGAACCUAUCACAAAAUGCUUGUUUGAGCACAUAUGAAUCUUUUUGUAGUUUCUCAAAGCUAAGGGGUCGUGCCAUAACCACUUCCAUGAGCAAGUCACCUUAUUGACAUUCACUUGUGGUAGGUUCCAAUGUUGUAUGACAGUAAGGGUAUGUAUGGUUCUUACUGCAUUGACCUUCACCAUAGGACCGACUAAAGGUUUCAUAUAGGUUAUAUAUCCUGCAGAUUGUGAGUACCCUUUGGCAACCAAUCUUGUUUAAUUUGUGGCGAGAGAUAGUGCCAUCAAUAUUUCUUUCGACUUUAAAAAGCCAUCUGCAGCUUAUAAUUCUCCUAUUUGCUGGUUUGGAACUAAGUAUUCUUCUUGAAGAGAACAUCUAAGUCUUAACUGCACUUGACCACAAAGGAUUUUGCAUAAUAGUGUGUAUAUCUCCAAGGUCCUCAUCUAUUGCUGGUGCUAUAUAGGGUUUAGUCUUGGAACACGUUUGCCUUGUUGCGAUUGAUCAUGGUAUGAGUAUUUUAUGCUUCUAUUGAAGGUAUAGAAGCCGGAACAAUAGGAACUAUUGAUGAUGAUGAAGGUAACAAGUCUAGGUUAGGUGUAGUAAGUACUUGAGUAACAAACAACCUAUGCUUAGUACUCCUUAAGAUGUGGAAGUAAUACCUGAAACUCUCCACCACCAUCAGUCUACUAUUUUACCUCACACUUCUUGGUAUUAGAUAACUAAUUAUAAUAUUAAAUAAGUAUUUCAUAAACAUUAGAUCUUAUAUUCUUCACAAAUUUGAAAUGCAGUCCCUAUACUUUUUUUCUUUAGAAAUUUAGUUUCUCUACUUUUCAGAUUUCAGAAUUCGGGUUCAAUUGUUAAUAUUGUUACAUUUUUAUUGUUAAAUUUGUUUGUAUGACAUUUUAAAAUUAAAAAAAGAAUUACUCACUUGGUAAGAAUGUAACUACGAAAAAUACUUUGUAAUGAACUUGAAUUUAAUAAAAUAAUUUUAAUAACAUUAACAGUUGGACCUGAAUUUUAAAAUCUAAAAAGCAAAGGAACUAGAUUCUAAAAAAAAUAAAAAUAAGAGACUAAAUUAUAAAUUUACGAAAAAUACACAAACUUAUGACAUAUUUUAACUUAAGUAAAAUUAUUUUAAUUAAUGGUUCUAGUCAAUCUUUGCUCAAUUUGAUAGCAGCAUUUACAUAAUGUAGAAACUUUUUUACAACAAAUUUACGGACCAAUGAUUUGUUGCAAUUAAGUGGAUAUCCCGAUAAUUAAUGGGUUGGAGUAGUAAAAAGUUCAAUAUCUCUUAAGUAAUGAUGAAUUUGUGAAUAAAAAAAGAUUUGAAAUCCGACCCAAUUCGAUUUUGGAAUAGUUGAUGUAAAAGUUAGAAGAAUUUGGAAGUGCCCAUAAUUGCUCUUCCAUAAGCCAGUGGAAGUGAAGCAAAUUUCUUUGCUUUCCCUACAUAAGCCCUUUUGGUGAAAUUAUUAUAGUCAUUUUCUUCGAUGACAUCUAAGAUUUGUCUAUACAACAACAAUGAUGCCCACACUGGCCAUCUGCUUGCCUCCUUUAGCUCCGCAACCCCUUUUUCGGCCUCAUCGAAGUACAUUCUUGCUCGUUUUAUUUGAUUUUUCAUGAAAAUUUUCCAUUUAUCGCUCACUUGUCCUCGAAAUAUUUCGUCUUCCGAUAUCCCUGCCGAGGCAAGUUCAUCUUGUGGAAGAUAUAUUCUUCCUCUCCUACCACUGUUAAUUUAAUUAUUCAAAUUAAAUCUUUAAAAUGAGCAUGAAGCUUAUUAUUGUCACUAAAAGUAAUGAUCAUGCCAUUGAACUUACUCUUCCCCAACAUCUCGGAGUAUAUUAGUAAGUUGAUUAGCGAUUCCGAGGGCUAAUGCAGCACUGUAGACGGUUUCGAUGGAUGCCUUUGAUUCGGAUGCGAUUCCCAUUACCGGAACACUCAUUAGUCCGACCGUCCCAGCAACAUAGUAGCAGUAUAGAUAGAGUUCAUCAAAGUUGUUAUAUCUGGUUUUCAAUAAAUCUAAUCUCAUCCCUUCUAUCAUGUCCUUGAAGGGCUGCACAAACAAAAUUAAUUAAUUUGUUGAUAUAGUUCCAAAUCUCAAUAAUUUUGUGAAUGUCAAACAUGGCUAUGCAUCUAACCUGAAUACCAAGAGCGUAGUUUGAGACAGUAUGAGAUAAAGCAGCAUCAAACAAGUCAUAGGGACGGCCUUGAAAGAUGUUAUCUAAUCUUUUCUCCCAAGUGUCAAGAGCCCUUGGUGUAAUGUGUGAAGCAUUUGGUCCAUCUACCAGCUCAUCUGUCCUUCUGCACCAAACUGCAUGGCAAAAGGACUGGAUAUUUUAACAGUCACCUUCUAAACAUCCACUAAAAAUUUCGAUUUUUGUCUUUUCAACUAUUUGUGUUUGACACAUAUUUGGAUAUGAUUAUAAAGAUAUGAUCUUUAAUGAACCAUCCAAAUACAUAUAAAAUUAUUGAACAUAUACAUAUCUCAAACACAUACUCGUAUUUGAUACUCACAAUUAAUAUUCUUGAUAACAUAACAUCUACCUUAGCAACAUCCCAAAUAGCCCCCAAAGAGAAACAUUACAUACCGUAAAUGGCCCAAAUAGCCCUCCGACGUUCUGAUGUCAUAAGCAAUGUACCUUCAAACAACAACAAACAAUUCCUUCCAUAAAUUGGAUACGGAGAAAUUUUAAUGAAAAUGUUUUGUCAAAAUGACCUUAAUUAAAUUUUUGAGUUUUUUUUUUACCAUCAACCUAUAUUCUUUUUUUUUUCAAAUUGUUUUGUCAAAAUGUUCCUAAAAAAAUGCUUCAAAAUGAAUGCAUACACUCAGUAUUCUCGUUUUGAUUUAUUAAUUAUCUUUUUGAAACCCCUAAUUAAAAAAUGCAUGCAUUUAUUUUGAAACAUUUUUUUAGAUUAUUACAUUUAUUUUCUGUAAAUUAUGAGUUAUUUUUUAAUUUCAUAUAUGAUUUAUUUAUUUUAUUAUUUUUCACAUGUAAUUAUCUUAUUGGGUUACCUAAGUAAUAAAUUAUAUCUUAUUAAAAAUAUUUCACAUCAUCCCCAUUAAUUUUUUUGACGAUACUUUCAUCAAAUCUGUUAGAAAAAGCAGUUUGAAAAAAAAAACAAAGGUUGAUGGCCAAAAAAGGUUAAAAAAAUACAAUUAAGGCCAUUUUGACAAAACAUGUAAACGUUAGUGGCUAAAUUUAACAUUAAGCCUAAUUAUUUCAUAAGCAACUUUAAAAAUUGAAACGUGUCUUUUUUUAAAUAUAUAUAUUUAAUAUUUUACUACUUUUCUGUAUUACAUUUAUUAACCUCUUAAUCCUGCUCGUGAAGUCUAAAAACUCCACUAACAAUGUAUCAAAUAAUUUCACAUAUAUUAAAUCUAUUUUCUUAAAAAAAUAACUAAUUAUUUUUAAAAUUUUAAGCUAUAGAAAAUAGUCAACUUAUUAAUAUUUAAUUUUAAGUACACAUUCUCAAGUAAAAGCUGCAUAACUAAGAUGUUAUGGAUAUCUUUAUUAAAUAUAAAAUAUUAUUAAAAAUGUAUGAGAACAUGAGUUCGAGUAUAUUGAAGCACAUUAUCUUUCAAUUUAUGAGUUGGGAGAAAUUAUGAGUAGCUCUAGGUAUUGUGUCAACAAGAACAGAUAUGGUCAAAACUUAUAAUGAAAUUGUUCGAAAAUUUAAAGUUUAAAAUAUAAAUAUUUUACUAAAUAAGAUUUUUAAUAUUAUUCUGGAAUUAUUAAUAAAACAAUACUUUUUUAGAAUAAAUAAAUUGAUUUUCUUUUUUACAAAAUUGGUAAUAUUAUUUGACCCUGAAAAUGAGAGGACAAACGUACCCAAGUAGAAAGUCUUGGCAUACUCAGCACAGACUUCACCGCACCUCUCAUAAGCUUCAUUCAACAGAUCCCAAUCUUUGCAUCCUUCGUUUGGCCUCUGUUGUUUAACCAAAGCGGCUUGCUUCAACACCACCUCAUGUACCUUUUCUUCUGAAUAUGCUCUUACCGCCGUCGAUGAGAUCAGUGGGACGCCGGUCCUGAGUUUCGGACCCAAUCUCUUCCUUGGUGGCGGUAUCAAAUUCUGUUUGGGAAAUGUCACCCAAACAACACCACCCGCCGCCAUCGUCCGAUGAUGUUCUUCAAAGCUGAAUUUGUUUUGUUUUUAAAAGAUGGAAGUUUUUUCCCAUUAAUUCAUGGAGGAAGGAGGCACACGUAAAACACGUCUUCUUCUUCUUCUUCUCCUCGCCGAAAGCGCAUGAGAUACUCUUUUUUCCAACAUAGCUGCCGCCAUUGUUGUUUGUCUUGUAAUAUAUAUACAAUUUCGUACGUCUUACCAUUUUUCUAUUUAAAUAUCUUCUACUUCAUACGUGGAUGAAAGAAACAAAUAAAAUUAAUUUAAAUUUAUUCAAGUAUUAAGCAAAUAUAAUAAGAUGAAAAAUAAAAAAUAUUCUCGUGUUUUUAUAUAUAUUAUAGUCUAUAUAAUCUUACUAAUAUAUUACUUUUAUUAUAUAUAUUAGAUUUAUUUAUAUUUUUUAAUGAAAUAAGUAUUGAAUUAACUCGUAACACUAAUUCAAUUUAAUAUUUUAUUUAAUAUAUUACACAAGUACGUAAUCGCAUUACUAACUGUCUUUUAAUGAAAAAAAGAUGGUAGAAAGUGCUAUCUGUUCCCUCUAAAUUUUAAAAUUUAAUAAAUUAGUUCUCUAAAAGAAUUGGUGAAAUUUAAUCCUUGUCAAUUUUGAAACUGAACAAUUAAGGACAAUUAAGUACGACGCUAAUAUCUUCCGUCAAUUGUACAUAAUAUGAUUGGAAUGGUAAAAAAAAGAAGCCUUCAACUUUACAUAAAUAUUUGUCAUUUUAACCUUAAUUCUAAUAAAUUCAACAAAUUUAGCCUCAGUAUUUACAUAUUUAUACAAAUGUUGCAAGAUAUAUCUGUUAAGUUAAGACCAAAUCGAAAGAAUGUAUAAACUUUGAGGGAUAAAUUUAUUAUAUCAAUAAUUUUACAUGUACAAUUGAUGGAAAACUUUAACGUCGUGAUUAAUGGUAUUUAGUUAUUCACUUUUAAAAUUUAGAUAAAUUAAAUUAUUUUAAUGUUUUUGAGAGGGAUUAAUUUGACAAUUUUGAAAUUGAAAGGGAUUGGAGAUUUUUUUUUUUUUUAUAAAAGAAAAACUUUGGUAUUUUUUUUUUUUAAUAUAAGCAAAGUCGUAGCUUAUAAGGGCUGCGCCCUUCCUUAUUCUACCAAGAAAAGAAAGUCGUAGUGAUUGUGAUUGCAUGAAUUAACUAGGUUAGCUAGUAGAUUAAAUGUCAAUAUUGAUGGUAGAGAAAAAGGGAAAAUAGGUUAAAUAUUAAAAAUAGUUUCUGUAUUUAUUGAUUUGUGUGGAUUUAGUCCCUUUAUUUUUAUUUGCUUAAUUUUUUUUUUUUACUUUUCGAUUGGAUCAUUUUCAGGUAUUUUGUUAACUUUUUCAUUAAGUCUAUUACAAUAUUAUGUACAAUCAUAAAUUUUAACCCUCAAUUUUUAUAAUUUUAUCAAUUUGAUCCUUACUCUUUUUUCAUUAAUUAUAGAACAUUAAAAAAAUUAUAGAAAAAUUAUAAAAAAUUAUAAAAGUUCCCCAACAGUAACCACAAAUUAAAGAUAGAAAAACAUCGAAACUUACUAUUAAUCGUUGUUACUAGAGAUUUUAACAUACUAUUUUCAUGUAGCAACAAGAAUCAUCAAUAUUUAUAUAAAAAAAAUCAUAAGAAAUUUAAGGUUCAUGAAUAUAAAUAUUAGUAAAUGAUAUGAUAUAUUUGCAAAUCGCAAACUAGCUACGCACUUGUCUUUUUGGGUCUUGUGGUAUUUUAUAUCCUAGAUAUAUAAAAUAGGAUUUUCUUUUUCCUUCUUUUGCUUGUUUUUUACUUUGAUUGGGCAUGUGUUGCCUCAAUCACGUGGAAACUCAAACGAAAUUUCAUGGUUUAUAACAAAUAGAUUGAUUAUUGUCUGAAUAAACGCUAUACACUUACUCUUACUAAAAUGAAGGCGUGGCUCAGGCUUAUUCUUGACCCAUUAAAAGAGGGUGAUACAUGUAUUCGUGGGUGAAAUUUAUUAAAUUUCAUUUACUAAAGUUGUCGAUUUUUAAGUUUGAAAAAAUUAGUCGACUUGCGAUAACGUUUUGAAUGAGAUUCAGACAUUACUAGGUUGAGAUGUCUCAUUAUGUUUGAAGAUCUAUCUCUUAGCUUCGAAACGUACUUUGAAUCACUCGGUUUCGAGUUUAGGAGCUCAAGUUAUGACAAUUUUAGUGAAAACUACGCAAGUAGAAUGUAAUGGUCGACUUUCAAUGAUGUCGGGAAUUGUGGUUCGAGACCACUAAAUUCGAAAAAUAAGCUCGUAAAUUUAUUUAUUUAAUAAUUAUGAGCCAAAUGUGAUUUUUGAGAGAUUUUUAAAUUAGUAAUUUGUGUUUUAUAAAGAUUUAUUAAGUCAAGAAAUUGAGGAAAACAGGUAUCGAGAUCUCGAUUUUAUAAAUCAAGCCAUAAAAAUUUUUAUAAAUAUUUAUGGAGUAUCAAUAAGGUAGUAGUAAAAUUUCAUCAGAAAAUUUUAACGUUUAUGUGGUUAAUUAAAUAAAAAGAACUAAAUUGAAAAAGGUGUAAAAGUUGCUAAAAGGAUUAAAUAGCCCAAUUGUCAAAUGAGGAAGGACCUAAAGUGAAAAUAAGCCCAUAGAAGAUAUUUUGGGCGGCAAUAGCUGAGAAAAAUCAGGAAAUGCGUGAAUUAAGGGCAAAAUUGAAAAAUUGUCAAAAUUAACUAAAUAAAAAUAGGACCAAAUGGGAAUAUCUAGAAUUCUCUUCAUUUUCAUCAGCUAAAAAACAGCCAUGGAAGAGGGUUCAAGCUGGUUUUCAUACUCUAGCUUCAUAUAAGUUUAAUUCUUGCUUUCUCCUUGAAAUUUCUAUGUUUUUGGACUUUUACAAUUGGGUCCAACUUAUUAUUUCAUUAGUUUUUGAUUUCAUGGCUAAUUUUUAAAGUUGUUAUGGAUGAGUGCUGGAAGCAUAUGAUGAAUAAAAAUAGAAUUGAAGUUUUAAUUUUGAUAUAUGAUAAUUUUAUCAAGUAAAAUUGAUGGAAAUUGAUUUUAAGACCUAAUUGUGAAAAUGUUUAGAAUUACAGUCUAGUGCUGAAAUUAUGAUUUCCAAAGAUUGUAAAGUAGUUUAAAGUGAUAGAAUAAAGUGUUAAUUGAGAAAAAUCAACUAAAUUGAGAGGCUAAUUGAGUAGAGACGAAAUUGUUAUUUAUUAAAAGCUUAGGGGAAAAAUGGUAAUAAACAGUUUGCACUAAAACAAUUUUGGACAGCAGCAGUAGACUAAAUUUUAAAAAUCACCAUAAAUUUUAGAAAUCGAAUUAGAAGAUGAAAAAAAUAUUAAAUUAAAUAUUAUUAAGUCUAGUUUCUCAUAGAAGAAACGGUGUAAGCAAUGGAUUUGUAAAUCAUGAGAUAUAAUGAGUUUUGUGAGACAAUGUCAGAAUGAAUUCGGGUUCCCCUGUUCUGACUUUAAAAAAUCAUAAAAAAUUGAAGAAAAAUAAUUAUGGGAUUAAAUUUAUAUUUUUAGAAUUCUGAAUGAUUCUAUUUUCAAGAAAAACAAACAAGAAUAUCAUUUGAAUCCUGUACAAGGAGAUAAUUAAUUUUUAGUGAAGAAGGGUCGGAACUGUCAGACAGCAGAACAGGGGUGAAUUUAAAGAAUAAACUAUACUUAUUGGCUAAACCAAAAAUUCUGAAAAUUUUAUGGUAAGAAGAUAUGUGAGUCUAGUUUCAGGUAAAAUUAUUGGAUCUUAAUUUUGAGUUCCGUAGCUCUAGAUAUAAAUAAUUUAGUGACUAUGACAUGGGUGGAUAGCUUGAAUAUUCACAUAAGUAAUUAGUGAAAAUUAUGGAUAAGGUUACUUACAAGUGUGUUAUUUAUACCAAGGAUGUGGAUGGAGAGAAGGAGGAGGAAAAAAAUAUAUGAAUGACUUGUGUAUAAAUUGAUUACAUUCCCGAUUAUAAACAAUAAACGUUGAAUUAGUAAUGAUAUAACGUUUUAUUUCAUAUGUUCAUUAUUAAAUUGUAAAUAUUGAAAAAGUAUGAAAAUUGAACUAAAUGUUCAAAUUGAGUGGAACGCAGGGUUGAGUACUUUCGUUCAGUGGCUAAAACGAAUUGAUGGAAAAGACCAUGGUUGGACCAUGGCAACAUGUGAUAUGUGAUUUCCGUAUAAGACCAUAGGUGGGCUAUGACAUCGGAGAGAUGUGAUUAUGUGCUUCCAUAUAAGACCAUAUCUGGGAUAUGGCAUCAGUGAGAUAUGUGAUUCGUGUAAGACCAUAGUUGGGCUAUGGCAUCGUUAUGUGAUAUGUGAUCCGUGUAAGACCAUAGUUGGUCUAUGGCAUCGAUUUGUGAUAUGUGAUCUGUGUAAGACCAUAGCUAGGCUAUGGCAUCGAUAUGUGAUAUGUGAUUACGUGUAAGACUAUAGCUGGGCUAUGGCAUCGAUAUGUGAAUAUGUGUAAGACCAUAGUUGGGCUAUGGCAUCAUUAUGUGAAGAUGUGUAAGACCAAAGUUGAACUAUGGCAUCGAGAAAACGAAGUACUCAAUUCCGUAAGACGUUCACUAAUUUGACAAAGUUUGGUAAGUGUUACACGAACUAUGUGAUAUAAGGAAGUACCAAUUGAUAUGACAUGAGUAUAGAACUUGGUUGAUGAAUGAAUUCAUUUGUGAUUAUAUAAUUGUUCAUCUUGAGUGUAUUGUCCAGAUGUAUUGAUAUUUCAAAUGAUUUAAUGAGUAAAGUUCUGACAUGGAAUAAACUGAACACGAGACUAAUAAUUAUGAAAUUCAACUUAAAAUUCAUGAAAAUGAUGGUUAUUGAUAUAUGGAGACAUGAGGCAUUGAUAUAUGAAUAUGGAAUAUGUUUGAUAAAUGUGUUCAUUCAUAAUUAUGGAAUUAUGUAUCUCAUGUGUACUAUUUGAAUAAAGAUGAUAUUUCAAAUACUUAGGUUAUUUAAGCUCGAAUAUAAGUAGUAUGAAAUUAAGAUAAGUUGUUAUGAAAAUAUAUUUAAAUUACAGAGAUAUGGUUGAUAUAUAUUAAUUGAUUAGUCAAUGUUGGCUUAUGAAUGAUAUAACUGUAACUAGCCAUUGGUAUGGCUUGUAUUUAAUAAGUUUGAGAUUCAAAUUAUUAUGAUUUUAUCAUGAUUGAUAUGGCUACGAAAUGAACAAACGAUGAUAAUUAUAAGGCUUGGUUGAAUACCUUAAAUUGAUUCAUAAAUGUAUUAAAAUGUUGGUGAAGAUAAAUGAUUAAAUAGGUGAGAAAUAUGGCUUGGAAAAUAGCCUAAGUGUUAGCCACACGAGCUGAGACACGGUCGUGUGUCUCAACCGUGUGAGGGACAUGGCUUGGAGACACGGGCAUGUGGCCCCACCAUGUGAUUCGAUUCGCAUGCUGACGUUAUAAACAUAAAGUUACACAUCUUGAGGACACGGGCAUGUCCCUAUGUCCACACGGGCAUGUGACCCUGUUUCUUGGGAAAAUUUCCUAAGUUUUCCUGAAUCUUCUCAGAGUUCUCAAUUUAGCCCCAAAUUAAUCCCGAUGUAUGUUUUGGGCUUCGUAGACCCAAUUAAGGGGCAAUAUGCAUGUGUUUGAAAAGUUUGAAUUAAAAGAAAUUUUAUGGCCCGAUUUUUGCAUGUAUGUAUAUGUUUAGGUUCGGUAAUGCCUCGUAACUUGUCUUGGCAUCGGAUACGGGUAAGGGGUGUUACAUAGAAUUUCUGAAUGGGAUUAUUAUGGAAAUUACAAGUUUUGGGCUUUUAAUUCAAGUCUAAAUCAUAUUGGGUUCAAUUUUUAGGCUUAAAUUUUAUUAUAUAUGAGCCCAAUAUUGUAUUUAUUAUGUUUUGUUAUUUUAUUAUUUAUUUAUUCCGAAUUUUAGAUUUUUUAAAAGUAUUUUAAGUUAUUUAGGAGUUCUAUAUUUCUUAUUAAAUAAGAAAGUUUGGUUUAAAACUACUUAUUGUUUAGAUUAAUUAGAGUUUGAAUAUAAUUGAGAGUUUUAUUUGGAUGUACUUAGGUAAGCCUAUAUAAAGACCUCUUCAUUGUACAUUAGAUACACAAUUAUUUUUUUGUUCAUUAAUAAAAUUUCCAACUUUGGGAGUUAGUUUCUUUAUGCAAGAUUUCUUAUGAUUUUUAGAAACGGUUUUCUUCUCAAUUUUCUUCAAGAAGUCGUGGAAAUUCAUUCUUCAUCCUUCAAUUUACCAAGAAUUAUUUCUUUGAGGGUUGAUUAGAGCCCUUAAUUGAGUUUGUUAGGGUUUCUAUCUCAAAGGGUUCAAUUGGACACGUAUCCAUCUAUCUGUAACACACCUCGUCCGACUCGAUUGUUAGGUUUGAGUUACGGAAUGCUACAGUCAUUGUUGGAACAACUACAGACAACUAUCGCUCAAUUUAAGCAUAAAUCAUAUAAGAAAAAUAAUUUCAAUUGAUAAACAUCAAAUACGAACUUUCUCGGGUCUUAUAUGAGCCUACAAAUGCUCUGAAGUUAACUCGAAAUCGCGACGUGAGGAGUUCUUCAUCACAACAUGAUCGUUUGUUUUGCCUCGUUGAGAUGACGGGGUUCCUUGUCAUGUUGUGGUCCAAAACCCAUAUCUCAUCGCAAUGACCACCGCUUGACUUCGUGACGUGGACUCUGUUUUUUACACAGAAUAGACCUUUUGGUGACUAUUUCAACCAACUAAACCAUUAUACAAAGUUGGUGCAUUUUUGCAUAACAUUACCUAUACAAGAAUUUGCCAAAACACAUGCCAAACAUAUAUUUAACUAUUUUCCCAAUCAACUAGACCAAUAUGCCACAAUUUGGCAUCAAAUCAUUUCAAUUCAACUUAUAUAAAUUCAAUUAUACAUAUAGCCAUUCCACACCAUUAUUUAAUCAUACUAUUCAUGCUCAAAUAUACCAUAUCAAGUAUCACACCCAUAGUUCAAAAUGUUACCAAAACAACAUGUUCAAAUAAGCUUUACUUUACCAAAUAUUCAAACAUUAGAAAGGUUCAACAAUACUAACAUCUAUAUUACCAAAAGCAUAACUCCUGUUUACAUGCCACAAAACUAAGAUUCCAAAUUAUUAAAAGACUACCAAAUCAAUGACAGGGUAUUAUGAGAUUCUCGUAGAUCUGAUCGACAUGUUCUGCAAGAUGGCAAUCUACAAAAAAAGAAAGAUAAUGGCGUAACCAUUUCGAAUGCUUAGUAAGUGUUAGGAAAUGUGUCUAUAUUGUAGUAAACAUGUAAUUGUUUUCUAUGUAUUUGAAUGAUGAAUAAAUAAAUAAAGUUAAUUUCACAUUUCACUAUUAUGUCUUUUAUGUUUCUAUCUUUCAUGUUCAGCAUGCAUAGCGAAACUGUGACAAACAAAUAUUAGUCCAUUGAUUGUCUAAGUUCAAACUGAUGAUAAGUGACACUGUAAGAAAGUUUACAUUGUAAGAAAAACAACUUACUUUAGUAGAUAAUCUAAACGAACCCGUAAUCCUAUAAAAGAAUCAAAGUGAGCAUUUGAUUCAAAUACAUAAAAGGAUUAUUAUGUCCUUUACAAUUCCAAUUGUGGAGAUAGCUAGUCUUGGCUAUUGGAGCAGUUGACUCCACGGGUAGAGAUAUAGAUGUACUCAUUGGAAGAAUGAUACAUUGAACUGAACCUAAGUUGAAUUAAUUCUGAAUCCGUUUGUGAAUUAAUUCACUUGUGACGUUCAUGAUGUGAUUUACUAAAUCCUGAGUUAGUUACUAACCAUGUGUAUGUAACUCAUGUGCUUUGAUAUAAGUGGAGGCUUGUACUUUAAAAAUGAUCGAGCCUAUAGACGGCAUGCUGGGUACAUGACUUGUGUAUGGCAUCGCUUUGUUAGCAACAAUGGAAUUCAUAGCUCGAUUAAAGAGUUAAUGGUAUCUUCUCAUUGGGAUUGUGUGGAUUGAUAAAUAUGGAACGUGGCCACGGGUUACUUAUUCUCGAACUAGCAAUUUAUUACAUUCGUUUGCUGACAAAGAUCAUAUUACUCAUUAAGAAGACACAAUGGUGACAAUAAGAUAAAAUAGAAUUGUACUGAGUGAACGGAUUUAACUAAAUGAAAUUAAGGAUAUUAUAUAAGGAUAAAACAUAUAUGACAAGGUCAUUCGACAAAGCAGUUGGAUGAAUUGCUUUCGUAAAGAGUAUACAAUAAGGAGUUUUCAAUCAUGGUACUUCUUUUGGACUGACUCCAUGAUUAAGUAAUUAUGAAUUAUUGGAACAAUGCUUUUGGACAUAAUUGUAUUUACUAGAGCCUAAUUGUAUAUGUCCAAUUGGUCCCUCUGCUAGCUCAACAAAAACUCAAUCAGACUGUAUUUGAAUUAGAAGAAAAUUCUACAACUUUGGAAAUAAUUUAAUUGAGUCGAUUUAUUCGAUGUGAAAUUAAAUUAGACAGUCGUUAGAAUUGAUCAACUAGAAAACUUGAUUAAAGAAUUUUUUUGAAAAAUUAAUUUGGAAAAUAUUAGUGAUUUUUGGGAAAACUAAUUUUUAUCAAGUAAAAUUAAAUUAAUCAAAUUAAUUAAAAUUAAUAUGAUAUUUUCAGAAAUUAAUUUUCAAGUUAUACAAUUGACCAAUAGGUAAUUGGACUUGAGACCGAAAAUUGGAAUCAAGAACCAAAAAUCAAGAUUGAGACCCAAAACUGUUUGAAUUGGGCUCGAUAGUGAAAUCGGACCAAUCGGGCCAUCAUUGGCCCAAACUGAAUUGGAGACAACCGAACGAACAACAGUUGAACCGGCUCAAGGUGCUAUAAGGGUGUCGCAUCUACGAUAGCACCACUAGACACGACGACGUUCUAGUGGCUAAUGGGUGGUCCUUCGACGGUUGAGCAGUGGAGGAAUCACACUUCUACUAGGACUCUACUAGAUAAUUUGAUUUCAGAUUAACUAUUCUGAAAAAAAAUAUUAUUUUAAUAGAUUUAAUAUUAAAUAUAAUUUACUAUUUAUCUUGAUAGUGUUAUGUAGCAACCCAAACCCGGCCCAGAAAUUAUGGCCGGAUCCGGCAUGCCACAUCAAAAACGUUAAAAAAAAAAUUUCUAUUCUAAGUCCAGAAAAUCGUACUUGAUGUUCAAAAGAUUAAUUCAUUAAGGGUUAAAGUGAAUGGAAGCUGUGCACCAGGUAAGAAACCAGAAAAGAGGUGGUGAGUCAAUCGGACUGCUUAAGUACCAAGCUCCCUUCGGAUCCAAUCCUAGACAUGCAUACCGCCAUUGCCACACCUUAACGUCAUGGAUAUUUCUAGGAAACCGAUUUGAUUAAGUCAUUUUUAGGAAAAGUGAUUAAUUUUGGAAAAUACUUUCAUUGCGGAAGCUUUUCUUGUUGUCGUGUUAUUUUGAAAUCAACUGUUGUUUUUGAAAACGCGCCCUAAAACUAUCCAAUUUCAACAGUUAAAAUAAGUAUUACCUAUCUUAGUAAUACAUAUUAAAAACCAUCAAAAAUAAAUAAGCGGCCUUAUUACAUUUAAAAGCCUAAAACCUCAAACAUAAUUAAAAGGAUGUCAAGUUUACCAGAAGAAAAUCAAACUUUCAGAACGGGUGGCCACUCCGAAUUCCCUCACAGCUCCAAGCCCACUAUGGUUGGGAAUUUCCUGCGUGGAUGAAAAUAAAAGGGGUGAGUUUGGGGAAACUCAGUGUGUAAAUUAACCCAACCAUAGCCUAUAUCAGCUCAAACCACAGAAAUAGAAUAAGUUGGCCUUAGCCCAGAACAGAAUUCAAAAUAAAGCCCAUAGGCCCAUAACAGAACAGAACAGAUAUUACAUGUUUAUGCAGAAACCCAACCAUAUCCAACCGUAUACACCCCCGUACCAACCUUACACCGUGUGGGGAGACAAAUCGACCCACCCAACCGCUACACACCACAGAAUUUGCAGCAUGGCUGCCAGAACAGAUAAUGUGACAGAGUCACCAGAUACAGAUAAUCGUGGCAGAGCCACCAGAACAGAUAUAUGUGGCAGAGCCACCAGAUCAGAUAUUUGUGGCAUAGCCACCAGAACGCUUCCUCCAUAAUAUAACCCAUGUCCCCAUGCAACAAAUAUAUAAUCAUGGCAUCCAUCAUACAGAAUCAGAUCGCUAUUCUUUUCAGUCAAAAUUAACCCUAGAGGUAUAACGGUAAUUUUGCACCUAGGGGUAUAAUAGUAAUUUUCCAUACAUAGGGGUAUUAUAGUAAUUUAGCUACUUUCAGGGUUUUCAUGCAUAUCCUAACUAUUUACGUACUAUCAGAACACUUACCGCACAUACUUACCGAAUUGGGCCCGUUGGCCCAUGAACCCGAUCUUUGGCCCAUUAAGCCCAAAUUAUCAAAAUGUACGAAAUCGCGCGUACUGCAGUUUAUUACUUUAGAUUACCAAAUAUAUAAACCCAACUAUUUUACGAGCAUUCGCACACUCGCAAAUUCCCAAAAUACCGACUUUUCGGCUUUUGCCAAUCUAGUCUAUGAGAGGGUGUCAGUUACACACCUGUUUGCGACGAUAUGCUAACGAGAUCCACACACGAACCGCCUACAAUUGGAUUACUAACACGUUAAUCUAACUAUUCAAAUACAAACUAUGUAUUAACCCCUUACAAUAUUCGGCCAACCACACCUACAGAUCAUAGUAAGCUUAUAAGAAAUCAAUAAGCAACUCAUUAACAAAUUUUUGUCAAUGUUUACCACAUAAUCAUAAUUUCACUGCAAGCUGUCUUCCUGAGCAACAGUCACUAAAUUAUUUAUAACUGGAGCUACGAAACUCCAAAUCAAGUGCCGUUAAUUUUCCUUGAAAAUAGACUCAUAUAUCUUCUAUCCAUAAAAUUUUCAGAAUUUUUUGGUUUAGCCAAUCAAUACCAGAUUUUUCUCAAAGUUUCCCAUGUUUCACUGUUUGACUAAUCUGACCACUCUUUAUUACGAAUCAAAUUUCUCAUUCUACAGAAUUCAAAAUAUGUUCUAGUUUAUUCCAUUUGAAACUAGACUCAUUAAGCUUUAAUUACAUAAUUUAUUCAGCUUCUAACUCAUCUCCCACAAUUUAUGGUGAUUUUCCAAAGUCACAUUACUGCUGCUGUCCCAAGCAGAUUUAUUACCAAAUCACUCUUUCACACCUAACUUGCAUGCUUGUUAUUUAAACAUGUAUAUCACCAAUCAAUCAUCACAUAUCUAUGAUUUUACUUAAGUAUAAUCUCCAUUUCAUCAUUUUAAAGCACAACAUGUUAGCUGAUUUUUCCCUUUAACAUCUAAGGCAUAUGCAUGCUCAUUUGUUUGGCUCAACUUCACCUAUCUUCCAUUUUUUCAUCAAAAGAACAUGAAACAACAACCAUUUCCUUCAUUUUAAUUCAUGACUAAAUGCUCACAACACAACUAAAAAUCAAAAUAUACUUCAAGAGUUAAGGUAGAAUCAAGAAGAACUCAUGAACCUCAAAAUAGAAGCAAGGUACCAAGAACUUACCUUCAAUUUUCCUCCUCCUAAUGACCGAAUACUCAAGAGCUUUCUCCUCUCCUUUCUCUUCUCUAACUUUCAGCUAUGAUGAACAAUGAUGGAUAAAACUUUGUUCUUUUCACCCCUUUUUCUUUUAAUAAAACUUCAUAUUUCAUCCAUUUAAUUCUUUAAUACAAAAGAUAUGAAAUUCUUAUCAUGAAACAUUUACCUAACCCAUUAUCAUGAAACAUUUUCCUAACCCAUUAUCAUGGAACAUUUACCUAACCUAUUAUCAUUGAACAUUUACCUAACCUAUUAUCAAUUUGUAUUAAUUUGUACCAUAAAUUAUGGAUAUCAAGUGUACAUUUUGUCUACAACAACAUGAUGGCUGGCCACUUCAUGUAAAAUGGGAGGUUGGUCAUGCAAAUCCUCUUAUUUUGCACUCCUAUUUAUUUGGCCACUUCAAUUUAGCCUAUAGCAUUUUCAAACAUUUUCACAUAGGUCCUAUUUCAUAAUUUCACCCCAUUUUUCUUAUGGAACAAAAAUUAACUAAAAUUGUCGGGUUCUAUCUUAAGUUUGGGCUUUCUAGAGGCCCACUAACAUAAUUAAACCUAUGCCAACAUUCACAGGAUUCCCGAAAAUUGGGGCGUUACAUAUUAUAUUAAAUUAAUAUUAAAGUAAUUAUCUUAUUAUUAAAUUUAAUUUAUAAAUAUUUUAUUAAUUUAAUAGAUUUUAUAUUAAAUUUAAUCUAAAACUUAUCUUGACAGGUAUUAUAUUAAUUUAAUAUUAAAUUGAUUAAGUUUAAUUAUAGUUGAACUCUCUAAACUCUCCCUAUAUAAAGGGAGUCAUGGGUUAUUAUUUCACAAACACUUGAAUUCAAGAAAAAGUUGCAGAGAGAAAAUUCUCUAAAAAAUUAUUUUAGAAGAUUUCUAGAGAUAUUUUUUUAUUUACAACUUAGCCCAAAAGUUUAGAGAAGUUGCAAAAUUACCUAACUAGUAAUUUUGUGAAAAUUUUUUUGAUUCGAAACGAGCCCACACUUGACAGACGUGAGCUUGAGGGUAGUGGAUAAGACUACUUGGUCAAAGGGUUCAUCCUAAAUGAAUCGAAAAGGUACAAUUUUGAUUAAGUGUUUAUUACUUUAGAUAAUACAACCAAAUUCUAGUUUUGGAAAAAGAUUUGAAACUCUAAUUUUUCCUCAAAUAUAUUUUUCGAUACGUUUUCCAAACUCGUUUUUUCCAAUAGUAAACCCAUAGGCAUUAAAUAUAAACUUACCUUAUUUUGUAAUUAAACAACUUAACUUGGUAACGUUUUGCUUAAACAUAUUCACACAUAGCAAUAAGGUGAGUUUAUCAUAUAAUCACAUUAGAUAGUAAUUUAAACAUAUACCAAGUCAAUUUACCAAUAUUAACUUUUCAAUACUAUAUGCAUACUCAAUUCGACAUUUAACCAUUUUAAAUAUCAAAUUUGCACCAUGCACACAAUUAUCAUGUUACACCAAUUAUCCAAACUGAAUGUAUAUAUAUACAAACGUUAGGUUACUCGUCCAGGUUAAGCCUUUAAAACGACAUCAGGUUACUUUUCUGAGCUAAACUUGUAUCCUAAUUAUCUCUGAAAUAUUAAUUGCUCAUCCAAGCUAAACAUAUAAUCAUGUCAAGUUACUCAUCUGGGCUAAACCUUUAAAAUAACAUCACGUUACUCGUUCGAGCUAAACCUAUGCACAUGUAUCUUCGAGUCCAUAACAAAUGCUGGAGCUCGGUAAUCAUCGGUAAUCAAUAUGUAUCCAUGUGUACGAGAACUUUACAAAGUUUUGUCAAGGUAAUUCUAAGAUAUAAGUUCAUAUUUAUUUCUUUACAAUAUAGCUCAAUUCUCGCAUUUGUACUAAAUUGUAAACAUUCCAACUUUCAAUUAACAAACGUAUAUUUAUAAAUCAAAUAUAAAAAAUUAAAAUAAAAAAUUAAACCAUAUGAACUUACCUGACAAAAUCAACAGACAAGUUGAACUACAAGGACUAAUUAGUAAUUUUUUCUUUUCCUCGAUUAUCCUUGGUCCGUUUCAAUUCUCAAUCUAAACAAUAAUUCGGUUACAUUUAUCAAUACCAAUAAUUUUAUAAUAUCCCCUAUUAUGCAUGAAUCAAUCCAAUUUUAUUUUUAAAAUGCCCCUACAAUUUUUUAUUUGAUUCAAUUUAGUCCCUAAAACCAAAAUUGCUAUAACUUUAAAAUUUGAGCCUCGAUUUCAAAACUGAUCUUAAUUACAUCCUUCUAUAACUUACAAUUAUCAGUAAUUACAUAAAUAUUUCAUAGAUCUCAAAAUUUAUGCACUUGACCAUAUGUUUAAAAACUAGCAAUUAUAUUUUACAAACUAGUCCUUUUCACUUCUAAGCUUAAAAUCUAACAAUUUAUACCAAUUUUGUCAAGUAUUCAUCAAUGGAAAAUUUUAGAAACUUUAACAGUUUUGCAAAUUGGUACACGGGUUAACUAAAUCAAGCUCUUGAGACCUCAAAAAUAUAAAAAUUACAAGAACCCGACUUGUAUACUUACCAAAUCAGAAGACCGAAUGCUUAAGUUGAUAAAAAAAAAUGGUUUCCUAGGUUUCUUUGUAGUUUCAAUUGAAGAAGAAAGCAAAAUAAAAUAUGAUAACAUUUCAUUUUAACUUAUAUACCGUAAUUAACUUAUAAUUAAUACUAAUUAGUUUAAUUAAUAAUUAAUAAAUUAUUAAGCUUACUUAUCAAAUUUAAUGACUUACAACUAGCCUCCACUACCGUAUAGUCAAAUAUUAGUGGUCCAAUUGCUCAAUUGGUCCUCCAAUUAAUUAAACAAGCUUUAUUUCAAUUAAACCUUAAUUAAUUAAGGCCUAAUAACAAUUAGCCCAAAAGUUAAUUGUAACCUCCCCCAACAUGACCUAAACGUUAGGCCUAAAUCCCUAAGAUUACAUCAGCCACUAGAAUGCCUAAUAGUGGUUGGGGUUUAUAAAACAGUCAUUUUAAAACAUUAGUUUAUUUUGGUAGAAAACUUUAGUCUAUUUUCAGAAAAAGUUUACGAGUUUAUCAAAAACCGGUUUAGUUUAACUUUCCUACAUAAUGGUUACUACUUUUUGAAAACUUAAUUAAUUUCCAGUUUAUUUAAUACUUGAAAAUUUAUGAUCUUCCGGCGGAUAAAUUGAUAUCUAAAUCUUAGGUUUAAUAGAAGUUGUAUCUCAUGCAAUGAUAAUUAAAUUCCCUAAUUUUAAUAACCUAAUCAUAAUUAAGGUUCAUGUAGGCUGAAUAAUCCCCAAAAAAACUUAAGUCCUAUGCCACCAUUUAAAUAAAAUAUUACACUUUCUGGAUAACGAAAAUUUUCAAAUAAUAAAUUUAAAAUAUUAGGAUAGACAAAAUUAAGCGGAGUCCCUCCGAAUGUUGUAUCUGCGUCCUGACCUGAUGGGUUAUUUGUAAAGAUGGACAAUAAAGGGGAGUGAGGUAUAAAGCUCAGUGUGAGUUCAAUCACAAGAAUAUCAGUGGAAAUAGUCAAUAGGUCAUAUUUAAUAAUAACACAUAGUAUAAUCGCAAUCAAAUAGCAAAUCAGAUAAUCGAUUUUUCAACUAAUCAUCGAUAGUAUCACAGAAUUCACAAUAGUAAUUUCAAAAUAUUGAUUUUUCAAUUCAUCUUAUCGUCACAAUAUCUCAAUGUUCACCACUAUGCAUAUGCUUAUGAAUGCAAUGUAAUUUCAAUUAUCAGAAAAGGUUCUACCCCACCGCUACACACCGCUACACAUAAUUGAAUAAAAUCAAACACUAAAACAGUUCAAGGAUCAUUAAGGGACUAAAUGGAUCAAAACAUAACAUUCUGGUUAAAACUGUAAAUUUGUAAAAUAGGGGCACAUGGCCUUGUAGUCGGGCUGUGUGCAAUGCCUUAAGCCAUGUGAAGGGGUUACACGAUCGUGUGUUAAUUGUAAAAUCAAGGUACAAAGGAGACACAACCGUAUGGAAAGCCGUGUUAAAAGCUUUAGGCCGUGUAAGAUUUGAAAUUCUUAGGGCUUUAGGGGGACAUAGUCGUGUGGUCCACAUGCCCGUGUGGCCCUAUUCCGAUGCACGAAUUGCCCCAAUUCACUUGUAAAAGAACACACACCUGUCACUGGGAUCUCGAACGAUGUUCCUCAUACUCAAUUCUGGUCCGAUGCACCUAAAAUAGGUCUUUUAAACGAUAAUUUCACGCGGAUUAACGUUCCAAGAUUUAUCAUGAUUCAACGAUAUUAAUGAAAGAUUUGUUAAUAACCGUUAUAGAUUGACUAAUUGAUUUGAAAGAUUAAUAUCGGAUAGAAAUUCUAUGAAAUUUGGGGUCUAAUUUUUAGAAUGAGAUGUACUUAUCGAACAUGAUGGAAUUAUGAAGGCUACCAACGAUAAAUUCAAGAAUUAGUAGAGAAUCAAUUUUUCGGGGAUUGAUUUGAUAUCGAGAGCAAAAUAAUUUCAGUAAUGGAGAGAAAAUUUGAUGCAAAAAAGAGGAUUAAAAGAAAUAUGAAAAGAAAUAGGGAGAGAGAAGAUAAAUUCUAAUUGGAAUGAAAAAAUAAACAUAAUCCUAGUGUAAUGAGGGAAAAAAAAAACUAAAUAGUUAGGGUUUUCAAAUUUGAUGGGGCUGCAUGGUAAUUUCCCCUAUUUUGUCGAAAUAAAAUGAAAGUGACUUGGGAAUGGGGUGGUUUGAAUCUGGUUGUGCAAAAGGAAGAAGCAAGUGCUUUAACCAUUAAUCUACUGCCCAUUUCUUGAUAAAUUUCUACUCCAAAUAAUAUUUAUUUUGAUAUGGUUUUAAUCCUAGGUUGUAGAAAAUUUAAAAAUGAAAAAUGGAAGAGAUGUGAUUUGAACUUAAGAUCUCUAAGGAAUGUACAAGCUAUUUUUUAUCAAGCCUAAGGCUUAAUUCUUGCUUAUUCGUUACAACUAACCCCAAAUAUUUUGGGGUGUGUCAUUAAUGGAAUUUAAUGACAUCCACGACCGCUUGGACAUUUGUAAAUGGUAUAUUCACCAUUUUGAUCCCUUAGCUAUUUAAAAUUUAUAGUGAUUAUAUUUUACUACUUUUACAAUUUAGUCAUUGUACCUUAAUUAACUUUCUGAUUAACAAAAUUAAUGGACCAAAUUUUAAUUAAAUUUUAUACUAACCUCAUAAAUAUUAAAUAAUAAUAUUUAAGAACUCGAUCAUCAAAAAUGAGAUUCUGAAACCACUGUUUUCAACACCACUGACUUUUGGGUCGUUACACUAUUUGUCAUAUCCAUCGAUUUAUCCGAUCCAUCUUGCACUUUUUUUUAUAUCAUUUCUUUAGUUAUUUAUUAUUUUGAAUAUUUAUUCUUUAUUCUUAAUUUUUUAUUUUAGUUAUUUUCUUUGUUUUUCUUGUUUUCCUAAAUCUGUUUGGUUUCUUCUUUUUAGGUCAGACUUGAAUAUUUUUUCUAAAAUCGAACAAUUUGAAUACAAUCUACUUCCGUUUGCCUCUUAUCAAAGGUACUAGCCACAACAUCAUUUAUAAACAUUUAAAUUUAUCAACAUUAAAUUUCUAAUGAUUUUGGUUAAAUAUACGUGAUAUUUUUUUGGUACAACAUAGUAUUUAUUGUUUCUAAAUAAAAAUUGCAAAUUAAAAUCUCUAGUAGUAGUGAUUAAUAGUAAGUUCUAGUUUUUUUUUUUAUCUUUAAUCUUUCGACACAUUUGGAAAAUUUUAUAAUUUUUUAAUUAUUCUAUAAUUUUUUAACUUUUAAUAAAUUUUUGUAAUUUUUAUAGUUUUUAUAAAAUAAAAAAGUAGGGGUUAAAUUGAUAAUGUUAUAAAGAUUGAGGGGUUAAAUUUGUAAUUAUACUUAAUUCUUAAAUAGAGUUAAUGGAAAGAUCGAAAAUGAUGAAUUUGAAAAAUAAAAAGACUAAUUUUAAAUAAAUAAAAGGAAGGGAAAGUAUAGAAAAAUUUAAUAUAUAUUACAAAAUUUAAUCGAAAAUUAAAUAUAUGUAGACCAAUUAAUUAAAAGAAGAAAAAAAAAAGUGCUGCAUUUCUAAUAUAUAUUACAAGUGAAUGGCACCUUGAAAUUAUCCAUAUGUUUUUUUUAUAACUACAUUAUAAAUAAUUAAAUAUUUACAUAAUAUAGAUCACAAAAUAAAAGUAAUUAUAAAGAAGUAAAAUAACUAUAUUUACAUUAUUUUAGAAACUAUUCUCCACGAGAAUGUUGAUUUAUUGGUAAAGAGACGAAGAAAUAAAUUUAUUAUUCCAUUUUAAUUUAUUCAAGACCAAGGAAAAGAACUGAUGUUGUAUUUCCAUUUUAGUAUCUCGAUGGAAAUACAUAUUAAUGGUAUUUUCUAUAUAAAAAGUAUUCUAUCAUCGAUACAGAAGAAAGAAUUCAGGAAUUACUAAAUAUGGGACUCUAGGGGCACAUUCAAUCUUCAAAAGGGAGGAUGUGAUUGAGUAUCGAGGAGUUAAAAAGGUUAAGCCAAAAUACGAAAUGAAUGUAGAUCGAUUUUUCUUUCAUUCCCGAGGAAGUACAUAUUUUAUCAGAAUCAUCGUCCAUAAUGGUAAAGAACAAUUGGAGUAGAUACCCAAAUCACUUUAAAUACAAGAAGUGGAUUACUCAUAAGUGUUGGUGUAAUUGUAAACGCAUUUCAUUUUUAAGAAAAGAAUGCAUGCUUGAAUCUUGAAAAUAAUAUUGUCGGAGGGACCGUUACAAAUUCUAAACCGUAAAAUGAACAAAAAAUUAUUUAAGGAAAAGGCGGAUUAAUGAUUUAAUAGUAUUUUAUUUUUGAAAAAUAAAAUUAUUAUUAUUAUGAACUUAGGUUUGGUUUUUAGGUGACUUCCCAAUUGAGUUGGACGAUGUUUGAUAACUGAAAAAAAUAAAAUGUAAGUGCUAAAAAUUAAAUAUUAAAAUUUUAAUAUGGAAUAUAGUGAGUAUUGGAUUUGAUUUUUUUUUAAAAUUGUUUGGUAUAUUUUGAAAUAUUAAAUAUUAAAUAAAAAAUUCAUAAAAAUUUGUUAAUAUUAGCAAUUUUAUUUAAAAAUAAUUAAAUAUUAAUUAUAAAUAUUAUAAAUAAAUAUUACUAAGGUUUAUUAGGUUCUCAAGUUUAGGUUUUAGAAUCUUGGUUUAACGGUCAAGUAGUAUUAAUUUAUAAUUAAUUAAUUAAUUAUGUUUAAAUAAUUUUAAUAUUAUUUAUUUUUUUAUCUUAUUCAACGCUAUGUUGUCAUAUUAUUAUUCACCGAUGAUGUAGAGAACUCAUGCAAAGUAUUUUUUUAACUUUUUUGGAUUUUUUAAUUACUUGUUUAGUAAUGAGUUUAAUUUUCAUAUUUUUAUGUAUUUCAAAAAUGUAAUCCAAACUAAUUUAUAUAUAAUUUAAGGUUAAAAAUAUGUCAUAGGUGACUACAUUCUUUACAUAUUUAGAAUUUAGUCAUUAUACUUUUAUUUUUUUAAGAAUUUAGUCCCUCUAUUUUUCGAAUUGUAAAAUUCAGGUCCAAUUGUUAACAUUGUUAAAUUUUUUAUGUAACAUUUUGAAAUAAAAAACUCACUUGGUAGCAAUGAACCUAAAAAAUUGAUGUCAAACUUAAAUUUUACAAAAUAAUUUUAAUAAUAUAAAUAAUUAAACUUAAAUUUUAAAAUUUAAAAAAUAAAUUCUUAAAUAUAAAGAUGUAAGGACUAAAUUCAAAUUCUUAAAAUCAUGAUUCUAUAGUAAUGACCAUUGAUAUUCUUAAAAAUGUACCUUUUUUAUUUUUUAUUUAUUUAUAAUGUGAAAUUCGAUAAGUGUAUAACAUGUAAAGAAAAAGGACAUGUUCGCCAUGUGGGGGUGAAGAUAGGGUUUAGGAAAAUAAUAAUAAUAAGUCAAUAAAGUCCAUCUUCACCUCCACAUGAUCCGAUACUUCACUAAUAUGAUAUAAGGGCCUAAAACAAUAGUGUCGAAUAGGCAAGUGGGUCGCAUUACUGUGUAAGAAGCUUCAAGUCUAGUUGUAGAGGUUGCAUGCUUGAGUAUGACUUUGCUGAAGUGCUCAUCGAUGGUUAAAUGGUAUGCAUCAUUUUCUUAUUAUUAGAUACUCUUCUCCCAAAUUGAAUUGUCUUUUAACUCAUUUGACUGAAUCAUUGUACAUGUUUUAUAGGGUAAAAAUUUAUCAUCCCGAGUAAUUUUCUCAUAUAUGCAUGGCUAAGAUCAUUAAUCCCAAAGCUUAACGCACGAACACAGUACAUGCUCUGUUGGUCAAUUCUUGUUUGGCAAUGUUCCUCUUACCAUCAAAAAAAUCCAAGCCCUGCCAUUUCAGUCCAUCUCCUCCACAAUUACAUGUAGUGGAGGGGCCUAUUUGAAAAGCUUCUCCAGCCAUAAUGUGUUUCACUAGAUUCCCAUCUAUUCGUUAUUGUCAUUAUCCUUAGACACACACUGAUACUACUAGCUUCAAUUAUCACUUGCUCAUCGAUAGCAAGAUCGGUUAUUAAAAUGACACAUUCCAUCAUCAUAAUCACUUACUUGCAUCCAAAAUGGAAUGUAUAUGUUUGUAACCUCUUUAUUUCUAAUAAAGUGAAAGAAACUUCAAUAUCAUAAUAAAUUUUGUUAUCAUAUAUGUUACAUAUAAAUCAACUGAUGCGUCAUAAACCAACUAAAAAUUUGAUUAAAGCAAAUAGUGUACCUGUCAAUUAAUAGUAUAGUUACGAUAAACAAAAAUAUCGUUCCAACGAAGAAUAAAAAUGCUAGUAAGUUUCUAUUAUUAACCGAAUGAUUCGAAUGAUUGAUUAAAAACUAAAAUUAAUUAACUAAGGAACACGACAUAGAACAAAACACAAAAAUAAUCGAUUAACAACCAAGAAGUAAAGCAAUACCCAGAAAAGAAUUCACUUAGAUUUCAUCUGUCACUAUCAAUCUAAAUUACGUAAUUUCUUUACUUAACACCUUGAUCCAUAAAAAUUCCUAAAUUAUGUAAAUAUCUUUUUUGAGCAUAAGAACAACUGACUCUGGGUUAAUUAAUUGAAAUUUCUUUCUAAUUAAAACCCCUAUUAUCGCAUUGAAUCGUGCUAUGGAUUCCCCUAUUAAAUUUGACUCAAAUCCAGUAGAUUAUGUCAUCUUGUUUCUUGGAUUGCAUACAACUCCAUUUAACUAUGCAAGAUCUACUCUUAAACAGGGUCUAUUCAACCACCAAAUUAAGCACAUUAAACACGGAUUAAAAAUUUAGAAAUAUUAAAACAAGAAUUAAACAUACAUAAUUGAGAACAAGAAACUAAAUAUUUAUUGCGUAAAAUAAAAAUCAAACAACAGAAUCCAUCAUAGGGUCAUCUCCUCUAUGUAUUUGGAAAAUUAGUUCAUGCUUGAAAAUAAAAACAUCCAAGAGACAAUAUACAAUAUAACAUAAGGAAAUAAAGAAACUCAUGAUAACUUCCUAAGAAAUCAAUUAUAAAUUUUCAAUCUUGACGGAAAUCUGCUUUAGAGUAGGGUUUAAUGGUGUUUUUGAGUUGUUUUCUUGAAUAUUCUCCAACGGCUCCCUCCUAUCUUCUUAUUUUUGUCAUAUAUACGUCUUAGAAUGCUUGAAAAACCUAAAAAUCAUGAUUUUCCACUGUUUGGUGUGCAAUCCGUGAAAUCAACAUGGCUGUGUGGCCUGGCUGUGUGAAAUGGUUCAACCUAUAUGGCUCUUGUAACUUGUUUCAAAACUCCAAUUUUCGCUCAUUUUUCGCUCGUUUUUUCACUCUUUUUGCUCCUAAGUGCUCUCUUAAGCAUUAAAACAUAAUUUUAAAGUGUUAGAAGCAUAAAAUUUACAAUUAACAUCAAAUAAUCAAUCAAAAAUGUAUUAAGAAUGAGGUUAAAACAUGUUACUUCUAACACUUAUCAUCAACACUCUUUAAACUGUCUAUAAUGUGUCAACUAAGCUCUGGGAAUUUUAAAUUACACGAGCACGAACAACUCAAUAUUUUUGUUGUUCGAAAUACCACAAAAAACGUAUUUAAAUUUGUAAAAUCUUGAAAAUAUUUCUACAAAUGUAACAAAAAAAGAUUAAAAAUUAAGUUGGAACUUUUACUAUCAGGGGCGUAGCUAGGGGGCUGGAAAGAGGCCCGAUCCUCUUAAAAUAGAAAUUUUUUUAUUUAGGUCUUUUAAAAUUUUUAAAAUUUUAAAUUAGUAAAGGUAAAAUUACACUUUGGCUCCCUAAAAAUGAUACAAAUUUGAUUUAAUCCUUUAAAAAUUAUAAAGAUAUAGGCUAUUAAAAUGGUGAAAUUACAUUUUUAUUAUCGUAAAAAUUAUAAUUUAAUUUUGACCCCCUAAAAACAAUUUCUAACUUCACCCCUAUUUACUAUAUUGACAACAUGAUUUAUUACAUAUUUUUCCUAAAACCUAAAAUGAUCACUUUUUCUCCCAAAAAGUUUUUGAAAAUAAUAAGGGUUUUUUAAAGAGUUCUGAGAGUUUGAGAAAAAAUUCGGUGGGAGGAGAACUGAAAUGGGCCGAGGUAUAUAUAGAAUCGAAAUUUGACUCUCAUAGUUAUCACCUUCUAUGUAUUAAAUGGGCUGAUUAAGCCAUCGAGCAAAUAAAUUUGCAACACAAAUUUCAUAACUUUAAACUCGAUAUCCAAGUGAGUUAAAGUCGUGUUGAUUAUAUUUUGCAUUCGAUCACUUGUGACAUAAAUAACAUUCACUCUUGUGAUGAUUUGACAUUAUCUUGAACUUGACACCUGACAAUGUUAAAGUAAUCUCCUAAACAAAUAUUUUAAAAAUAUAUAUUAUAGCAAAUAAUAAAAAGACACAAUUAUGAAGUCAAAAACCACAUGUUAAAAUGUGUUAUUAGUCCCUGUACUUGUAUAAAAUUUAAUAUUAAUCCAUAUAUUUUACAAGUUAAAAAGUCAAUAUUCCUAUUUUUUUUUUCAAAUUAAAAAUCUUAGUGUAAUCGUUAUCAACAUCAUCAUUAGUAGUUUUCAAGAUUUGUCAAUUUAAUAUGUUUAUUUUCUGUCAAUUAUAUACCACAUCAUAUGAGGAUAUCUUGAUUAAAAUUUUAAGUUGAUAAAUUUUAACAAAAAAUAUUUACUGAGAUUUUAAAUAAAUAAAAAUUAAAACUUUAACAGCACAUUUUAACCAAAACCACAAUAACCCAUUUGGAACGAAUACUCACGACUCAAAUUUGUACAUAAAUCAAAAUCCUUAUGCAUUACUGGUGUUUGUUACAACAUCAGAAGAUAGAGAACAGCCAGAAUCAUGAAUGGAGUUAUGAACUGCAAUAACAUCAGAAUCUGAAGCUUCAAAAUCGACAUCAUCGCGGGGAUUGACCGGAAAAAUGAUGUCCGGAUAGCAAUGGUCGUCGCCAUGAUUACUCUUCACUAACUCAGCAUCAGCAGUUUCUUGAAGCUCCAAUGCAAAUCCUAGCCUUUCCAUCACAUCAUUCAUGAAUGGCCGCUUCACUCCCAUUUCUUGUAUGCAACUUUCAGCAAUUUCAACAAACACCUUUAAACACUGUGGAGCUAUCUUUCCCUUCAGCUUUGGAUCUAUGGCUUGAUGAAGUGUCCCAUCAGCAAUGCAUUUUCUAACCCAAUGAGCUAAGUUCAUUUGUUCCAUUGAUACUCUCUUGUCCAGAGCUUUCCUUGCACAUAAAACUUCAAAUAGUACUACACCGAACGAGUAUACAUCGGAUUUUUGGGUCAAUGUAUGACCGCGAGCGUAUUCGGGAUCCAAGUAUCCCCAUGUGCCCUUUACACCGGUAUUAAGCAUGUCGAGCUUCGGAUCAAGUUUCGACAAGCCAAAAUCCGCGACUUUCGCAGUGAAUUUAUGGUCGAGGAGAAUGUUGCUGGUCUUAACGUCACGGUGAAUCACAGUAUACUUCACUUCUGUAUGAAGGUAAUUCAAUCCGAUUGCUGCCCCAUGGCAUAUCUUGAGCCUUUGUUUCCAUGUUAGAGGUUCGUUGGUAGUGUCGUAAAGGUGAUCGCGGAGAGUGCCGUUGAUCAUGUAAUCGUACACAAGGAUCAUCUCAUUGUUGUCGUUGCAAUAUCCCACCAAAGAGACCAAAUGAAUGUGACGAAGCUGGGAUAGCAUCUCGAUCUCGGUCUUGAACUCUCUUGCACCUUGUUUCGACUCUGGAUUCAAGCGUUUGAUGGCCAGUAUUGUUUCACCAUUAUCCAGGAAACCUUUGUAAACAUUGCCGAAACCGCCUACCCCGAUAAUCAAAUCUUGAUUGAAGUCGCUAGUGGCAGCUUUGAUCUCAUCUAGUGAAAACCGACGACACAAUUCAUCAGGCAGAGAUGAGGUUUUCGCCCCGACGAAUGAUUUCCCUUUAGAACGAUCCAGCAAGCAGCAAAAACAUGAUGGUUUAUAGUGUGAACCAUACUGCAUCUUUCUAUGUCGCCAAAUGAUGAUGGAGCAUACUAACACAAGCACAAUCAACAAGCCUAUACCACCAACACUGAUAAAAAUAAGCAAUUUCCUCUUCGUGUCUUUUGAACUCUUUUUCUUGGUGCCUUUUUCUGGCAACUUGGGCUCGGGAUUUGGUCUGCCAAGAUUGCCAUCGGAGUUAUUCAACUUAAAGACUUCUAUUCCAUUCAGAAGAGCGUCUGCAUAAGCACUGUAUUCUUUAUUAGGAUGCAAAGCUAUAAAGAGGGAAUGUUCACUCUUAAUAUCACUAAUGUUUCCAAUCAUAACCAUAUAGUCAUGAUAGAUUGGUUUAUAUUUACCGCCAGCAGUUUCGAUCACAUCGAAUGCUGGCUCUGCGGUCUUGUUAUCAAUAAAGAUCCGGAAUCGCCUAUCACUCGUCUUUUCUGGGGCCGGAUCAAAUUCACAGAAAUGGAGUCUAACAAGGUACCUGAAUCCCGAAUCAACCGGUAAACUCCAUGUCAAAUUGUACAACAAGUUCUCUGUUCUGUUGUUUCCCAUUGAUCUAGCUGUUUCAUAUACAUUAGCGGGAGCUGUGUAAUCAUGCAUGUUAGAAUAGUCGAGUUCAAGAGUAGUAUUACUAGGAACAACACCAGCUUCUAUCAGAUUAUCAAUGUCAUUGUACCAGUUUCGAUACAUGCCAGUAUCACUUGCAGCGGAGAUUGAUGGCCCCCCAACGUUUAAACGAUGAACAUUCUCGAGUGCAGUAUAGUUAUCAAUCCAGAAACGUGUGUUAAGACCGAUGAACUUAAUGCCGUGAUGAUCUGAAGUCGAGUAAUAGAGAUUAGUAGGCAUCGAGACAAUUUCGAUUCCAUUGACAAAAGCAUAAGAACCCUCCAAAGAGGGAGUAAAAGUUACAUUGAGAGUUUGAUUCUGCAUCAAGCUUACACAGAACUCUCUAAUCGACGACCCUUUCCUCGAACGAUCGGCAGUAACGGAAGAAGUGAAGUUAUUGAGCAGUGUAUAAGGGCCUACCUUGACAGAGAAGAAAUAGACAGAGGUGUCAAAGCCAUGGUACAGAGCAGGAUUGAAAUAGAGCCUGAUAAAUUUUUGACCAGCAGUAACUGGGAACAUGUAGGUGAAUUCGGAUUUAGACAUUCUAGCAGUCAUGUAAGGCACACCAUGAAAAGAGCUGUUAUGCUUUUGGACACUGGCCGACACUGAUUGGUUACCGGACUCCGCGAACCACGACAUGUUAUCUCCGGUCCAAUAACGACCAUCUAGUGCUACAGAAUUGCCUGAAGUUGAAGAACCACAAUCUAGAGCAAUAUUAUCAGCAGGGAUAUAAAUUUGUGCACAAGUGAGAAUUUGCUGAAGCAAAAACAAGAGCACCGCCAGAAACAACAUCAGUACUAAAUUAGGAUCAAAGACUAAAGAUACAUCCUUUACUGUAACAUAAAUCUGGGGUUUUAUAAAUCAGUAUGACAGAAGAAGUAGGAACAAAUUGUAAGUAUAUAUUCUAUUAUUUCAUCUGCAAAAACAUGUUUUUUGUUGCUACAUUAAUAUUGAUAAUGAUUGAGGUCAGGCAACUCUGUCCCACCAUUUAAAGUUUUCUACUUUACAACCAUUUAGCAUAUACUAACUUUCCCAAUAUGCUUAAUUUAUAAUUCAACCCUUCAAUUAUUUUAAAUAAAUGGUUUGUUUUUUUCCAGGCAACUGCAUGUGCUAAAGAAUAUUAGGAAAACGUUUUUCUCAUUGAUUCUCUCAUAAAAAAUCUCUUCUUCUUCUUCUUCUUCUUUUUCAGAUUUAAAUGAUUCCUUUAUGUUUAUAUUGAAAGAAAAAUAUAAAAAUGUUACAUUGGAAUUAUUUAAAAUUUGUUUUAUUAUUUGAUAAAGUAUAAAGUAUUUUAAACAACAAAUGCACGCGAUCAUUUUUUUUUAUUAAGACGACCAGCCCCUCUUUGUUGAGCCAAAAAUACAAAGCGAAAAUAAUUUUAAAAAAAAAAAACAAAUACAGAACGACCAGCCCCUCUUUUGUGUGUAUAUAUAUAUAUAUAUGGCGGGAUUAAUAUGGGUUUUGAUUAAUUAUUUAUAAAUAUGGAUGAAUUUGAGCAGAUAUAAAGUGUGUUAAUAUUUUACCUAGAUUCGAACCCAGCUCAGCAUAUGAACACUCUACUCUUUCACCAACUCUGGAGAAAUAUUCAAGGGAGAUAAGUGUAGACAAACUUACAAUUGUAAAAACAAAAUCGAAAAUUAAUCUGAUAUCUUAGCUUAUCCUCGAUGUAACUCUAAUUGUCUCGUUUCUCGAUCUAUAUAUAAUAAGUUUAUUCGAUUAAGUCAAUUUCAACACUUAUAUAAUCAAAUUUACACAAUUUGACGUUUCCAUAAAAAUUAUAAAAUUAUCCCUAAUAUUUUAUCCUUUUUACAAUCUAAUCCCUAAACCCGAAAUUCUAAAGUUAACAAAAUUUUACAAUUUUCCAUUCUAGCCGAAUUUAUUUACAAAUUUAUUCACAAACUAGGACAGUCCAUAUUCAUUGAAAUUUCACAAAAAUUUCAUGUAUAUUUUUAACAUUUUAUCAAAUUAGUUCUUUAACUAAAAACUAUCAAAAAUCACCUUAACAAAAUAGUCCUAAUCAACAAUCAACACUUUAAAUUCAUCACUUAACAUCAAGAAUAACAAAAAUUCAUCAAUAGAAAAAUCCAAAAUCUUUAACAGUUUCGAAAACAGAAAUACGGAGUUAGCUAGAUCUAGUUGUAACGAUAUCAAAAACAUAAAAAUUAUAAUAAAUAAUUGAGAAACCCACUUACAUGCAAUGGUUUAUUAAUGGCCGAAUGUUUAGCUUGAGAAUGGUGUUUUUACUCUUCCAUUUUCGGUGGUUCUAGCAUUUUGGGAAGAUGAUAGUAUUUUAUUUUAUUUUUUUUACUUAAGUUUUAUUUUUCUUUUAACAUAUAUUUUAAUAUUAUAAUUAAAACAUUUUACUUAAAAAUUCUUACACCAGCCGCCACUAUCUUUUAAAAGUGGAAUUUGUCAUAUUAACACUUGCAAUAGUAACAUUUAAUCCAUUUAGCACAAAUAACCUAAUAAUAGUUUACUUUUGCAACCUUUACAAUUUAGUCAUUUUUACUCAAUUAAUUAUCAAAUCACUAAAAUUUCUGAAUCAAACUUCGAUACACCUAAAUAAUCACUUCGUAAAUAUUUAUAUUAUAUAUUUACGAGCUCGGUUUACAGAAAUGAGGUCCCAAUACCUCAUUUUCGAAAACCACUCGACUUUCGAAACAAACCACUUGUCUUUAUCUAUUUGUUCAUAAACUAAAAUUUUUCAAAUUUAAAUUUUAAUAUAAAACUAUAAUUGACUCAUAUAAGUUAAUUAAUAAUUAUUAUGGACUUAUUUGUAGGAUUUGUGGUCCCGAAAUUACUGUUUUCGACACUACUGAAAAACGGGUUGUUACAUUAUGCCCUUAUUUUAUUUUACAUGUACGUGGACAAAUAAGAGAAUAAUUUUCUUUUAUAAUUUCUAAAGGUUAAAUCCUGCUAUUAGUUCUUGUAAUUUAUGAAAGUUAUGGAUUUAGUCCCUCAACUUUAAUUUGGGCAUUUUUAGUCCUUAUACUUUUUGAAUUUUAAAAUUUCAAUCCUCACCAAAUGAUAAUUGUUAAAUUCAUUAAGUUCUGUUAUUUUUAAAAUAUGAUAUGACAAACAAAUUAUCAUAUGUGUAUGCUACAUCAACUUAUUAUUUCUACAUAUUACUCACUAAAAAUUCAGUUAAUGGAUUAGCGACUAUCAUUUGACUCAAGAUUGAAGUUUCAAAAUUUGAAAAGUAUAGGGACUUAGAAUGGUCUAGUUGAAGAAUAUGGACUAGUCUACAAUUGUAUGCAUAAUACAAGACCAAUAAUUGAAUUCAAACAAAUGACUUUAAUUGCUAUUGUUUGGAUUAAGACUAAAAUUUUAAAAUUCGAAAAGUACAAAGACUACAAUUGAUCAAAUUAAAAUACAUAUACUAAAUCUACAACUUUCAUAAAGUACAAUGACUAACAAAUAAAUUUAGCCAAUUCUUAAUUUGAUUUGAUUAUGAUAAUUACAUGUAUCUCUUUUAUAAAGUAAAUCUCUCUAAAUUAUUUCAAUAUGAUAUAUAGUUAAUUAUCUUAGUAAUUUAUAAAAAUUGAAUUAAAUCAUGAUUUUUUAGUAUAAAAUUAUACAAAAUCAAACUCUAUAUAUAAUAUUACAUAUUGAACUAAAACUCAUAUAUAGUUUUAAAUUCAUCCCUUCUAUUUAAUUGCAGUUUGAAAUAAUUGGUUAAUAAUUUAUUUUAUGAUGUAUGGAUAUGAGCAAAUAAGAGAAUUUUUGGUAAAUACUUGAUUUGUUUUUAUUAAAAUUAAUUAAUUCUAUUUAUUGUUAAUUGAGUUAAUAUCUCUAAAUUGAUUAUAUGAAAUUGUUAAUUAAAUAUAUUUAAGGGAUUGGAAGAUAUUAUUAGUAGUUUUAAGUUUUAUAUAUAUAUAUAUAUAUAUAAAACCUUCUUGCACGACAAAUUAAAUGAAAACUUGAAAGUUCAUAGAUAAGAAAUAAGAUUGUUAAAAUCUGCUCCAAGUCUUUGUACUCUUUAUAUAUUUGAAAUUUACUUUUUAAAUUUAAAAACUGUUAAUUUCUUUUGUUAAAUUCAUGUCUAUUACAAUGUCAUUCUUUUUAUUACAUGGCUAUUAAAUAAUUUUUUUAUUUCAAAAUACCACACAAACAAAUUUCACAACAAAAUAAAUUAACUAUAUUAAUAAUUGAAUCUGUCUUUUAAAUUUGAAGAUAAUAAUAAUAAUAAUAAUAAUAAUAAUAAAUUUUUAAAAAUAAAAGUAAAGGUACCAAAACUCAAAUAUAAAAAGAAUAUAAAAAAUGGGAAUAUAUUUUAUCCAAAUAAGAAUUAUAAAAAAUGUUGCAAUCUUAUGGUUGUUUCUCAAUUUAUAAAUGAGUUACUUAUUGUUACAAUAGUUAAGAAGUGGCUUACUACAUCUUACACACUCUUAAUGUAUUUUCUUACACUCUAAUGUAUUUUCUUACUGCACAGGCCAAUUUUGGGCCCAAUUCAAGGCCCAUUUGCAUUACAAACCCUCAACCCAAUUACCCUUUUUAAAACAGCCCAAAUACCCACCUAAAUUAACCAAGCAAAGGCCCAAACCCAUACAAUUAGCAAACCCUAACCAAACCUACCCCCCACUUGAGCCACCAACCCUCUGACGGCCCCAUGCCCCUGACUGCCGGCCACCUGCUCCACCAACACCAGCCAUGCCCUGCAAAAUGAGAAAGACACGCAACAGCAACAAAGAGAACAAACAGACAGUGAAAACAGGCUAUAAAAGCCAUGAAACAAAACGUAAAAAGGGUUUUUUUUUUCUUUUCUUUAAAAAGUUCAAAAAUAUAUAAAAAUCAUAGCACAAAAACAAGUAUUUUGAAGCACAACCAAGAUCAGAAAAUCAAAGAUAUCAAAAUCAAAAAAACUGGAAAACUAAAGGUGAUUAUUUUUCUUUUUUUUCAUUUUAGUUUCGGCCUUAGGCCUAUUUUAUACAUACAUAUAUAUUAAAAAUAUAACAGAGUAUUAAAAUAAACAACAAGAAAAACCGAGAAAAAAAUUUACCUUUUUGAAAAUCCGACAACCGUGCACGGUGGCCGGCGCCGGCGACGGGCCGACGAUCGGCCGGUGACCGGCACCCCGCCGGAAUCCCUCCCCUCUCCCUCAUCUCUCUUUUUCUCUCUUUCUUUUUUUUUUUCUUUUUCCCUCACAAAUGAUUUUUUUUUCUGAAAUUAGGCCUAUUUAUAGCCCUCCAAAACGACGUCGUUUUGGGGGCUAUACUUAAGCCCCAAAACGACGUCGUUUUGGCUUAACCCGUCUGCUGACCCGACCCGCUCUAAGGAUCCGCAUGUCUUUUCAUCUGAGGGGUUAAUUUCACUUUUAGCCCCUACGCUUUUUCAUGCCUUCACAAUCAGGUUCUUUUUUUGUUUUAAUUCGGCCCUAGAAAUUGUCGUACUUUUCAAUUUAGUCCUUAGCCAAGCGCAGCAUUUUAACAGUCGGGAAUAUUGCGCUUUUGGUCCCUUUAAGUCACACGCGCAUUGCAAUUUGGUCCGAUUUCCUUAUUUUGUUUCCAAUUUCACCCCAAGAAUUCGGUUUUGACUUCAAUUUUGUCCUUUUUUUUAUUUUUUUUAUUCUUAAAUAGCAUUUGUAAUAUUAAUUUCACUAGAUUAUUAUAUCAUUGUUAUUUAAUAUUAUUAUAUUUACUCUUAGUAUUUAAAAAUAUUAGUGUAUACUAUUAUUAUGUACAUAUAUAUAUAGAAUUAUCUUAAUUACUUUAUAUUAUUAUAUUAUUUUUAUUUUUAUAUUACAUCAUCAUUUUUUGUAUUAAUGUUAUAUAAUAUUAGUGUAUAUUUUAUUAUAUAUAUGCAUACGUAUAUAUUUGUAUAUAGUAUCACUUUCUACUUUAUUUUAAUAUUUUUGUAUUAUGUCUAUGUAUGUGAAUUUAAUAUAUUUAUGUAUCAUAUUACGUAUAUCUUUUAUAUAUGCUAUAUAUAUGUUUAAUACCAUACUUUUAUAUAUUAUUAUGUACACACAUUAAGAUUAUUAGUUAUGUAUCUUUAUACUAUUAUAGUAUAUUCCUAACACCAUUAUUAUUUAUAUAUAUAUACUUUAUGCAACAUAUUAAUAGUUAUGCUUUUAUUAUUAUUAUCAUCUUCUUUGAAAUAUAUGUAUAUUAUAUGUAUUCUUUUAACAUGUGCUGCAUAUAUAUAUAUUUUUAUUCUACGUUAUGUAUCUAUAUAUUUUUCAAUAUUGUUGUUUGAAUUAUAUGCCAUCUUAUGUAUAUAUUUUUAAUUAUAUUUGAUAUACAAUUCCUAUGUAUAUAUUCUUAUCCUUAUUUAUUGUCAUUAAUCUUAGAACCUGUUUUAUUAUAUACGUAUAUUUGAUAUAUAUAUGUAUAUUUACGUAAUAGGAUUUUUAUAUAUAUAUCAUUAUUCUCAAUAUGUGUAUAUUAUGUCAAUAUUACCUUCAUAAAAAAAUUCUUAUCUAUAAUUUAAUUUUUUGUUGUGAUUGGGAGUUUAGACUUGUUUAUGGAUAGGUUCGAAGACCCGCUCGAAAAAUGAAAAAAUUUAGUAAGAAUAUAGGCUCGAAAAAUGGGUUUGAACAAAAAAAUAAGACCCAUUUUUUAAACAAAUUGAGCCUCAAGUAAGCUUUUUUAGCUCGGACUCAGCUUGGCCCAUAUGCAACAAAAAAAAAUUAUCGCUUUUUUUUACUAUUUUACCAUUAUUUUUCAUUGUUUUGCUAUUAUUUUAUUAUUAUAUUGAUAAUGUUUUAUUGUUAAUGUUUGGGUAUUGUACAACUUCUAUUUUAUUAUUAAUUUUUCUAUUGUUUUAAAGGUGUUUGCUUGUUAAGUUGCACUUAUCUUAGCGUUGUUUAAAUAUAUUUUUCUGUAAAAAAAAUUUAUUUAUCAGAAAAUAUUUAUUUUAAUGUUUUUAGUAAAUCUAAUGUAUUAUAUUUUUUAAAUUUAUUUUUAUAUAAAAAAAUUUCAUACCGACAGAUCAAAUUCAAAUUUUAAUGUUUUUUAUUUAGGUCGAAUUGGAACAAAGUUUUAAUCUUAUUUUUCAAAUUGAAUCUAAAAACAGACCUAAUUUUCUUACAUACAGCGGAAAUACAAGUAUAAUUAUUCAGUUGGCAAAAAGGACAAAAAAGCAUAAUGAACAAUGAUUGCCAAGCUGAAAAGUAAUAAGCGGACACUUCACUCUUUCACUAUUUGAUAUAACAAUAUAAUAUUUUAGCGAGUAAACUACAUUAUUAAUCACUAAAUUAUAGUAAAUUUUUCAUUUUGGUUACUUAAUUAAAAAAGUACCUUCUAUCGCCUUGAGCCUUUCUUCCAAGCUCUUAUACUUGUCCUGAACAUCAUGAUCAUUCAUUUUCAACUUGGCUAUUUCUACUGGAUCAUCCAAAUUUGGAACGAGUGGAUCAGCAGGACUAGCCCCCGGGUUUGAUACAAACACUCCCUGCCCUAUGUGAGCAGGUGGCACCGCCCGUUGCUCCAGGUCUGUGGGUUCCUUUUAGGUGUACCCUCUUUGUGUUGCGUGGGCAUGCGGCGGAGUGAAUCCUGGGGGAUAGAGCGGGUCUUGACUGUGAUUAACUCUUGACCGAGGUUCUUCGACGUCAAGGCUCUGCAUGGGUCCCUUUCCUUUAACUAAAGCUGACAUCAUUUCCAUCAUUUUGGCUAUUUGGUCUCUUUGUUCGAGUGAUUCUUCUCGAGAUCUCACCAUUAAGUCUCUUGUCUCUUGCUGUGACUUAGCCAGUUAUUCUUGUAAUUCCCUCUGAACUCUUUCCAUCCUUUCAAUUCUUUCAUUCAAUUCAGCCUCCAUUGCCCUAGCUUGUCGACGCGUUCUAUACGAAUGACGUGGUUCUAGUCUCGUGGUAUUACAACUGCGAAUUGUAUGUUUUAACCUCAGCGAAUGAUUAUAGGAUAUGCAAUGAAUGAAUAAAUGAAUGAAUGCAUAAAUGUCGAAUGAAUGUUAGUCAUGAAAGAAAUGCUAGAAGUUGGUGUUGAUUUCAAGAUAGCCCCUUUUUUUGGGCAUUUCAUUCAUCAAAAGAGUUCAUUACAAAAUAUUUUUUCAUUUUCGAUUCAGCUAUUACACAAAAUUCCUAGUUAUAUCACCGUAUUUCUUUACUCGAGCUAAGAACUUUGAUAUGUUUGAUCUUUGACUUGGAGGGAAUUGGCAAAUGAGAAUUUCAGCUUCUUCCGAUAAUUGUACCACGUGCAUGGCUACCCCACGAACUUCAUUGAUCAAAUAGCUAAGUUGCAUUUCUUUUUCUUGGAGGCCCUCUUCGUAAGCACGAACGUCUCUAUCAUAUUGAUUAUCUUUUUCUUCCAAAACCUUCAAAAGAGUAUCUAGUUGUUGUCGACGAUCUUGCAGCAUAUCUUCUAACUCUCGUAUCCUUUCUUUUAGUUCUUGACGUUUAGAUCGACUAGUCAUUACCUCGGCAGACACAGCUUCAUAUUCGGCGUUCUUCUUCCUCAGUUCUAUCAUAGCUCGCGCAGCCUUUUCCUCCUCUUUCUUCGCUUUUCCUUUCCAAAAUUCCAUCCCGCCUUUAAUGUUUCUUAUUUCUUCUUUCCAUUCUGCCGACGACUUGCCCAGCCCUCUAUUUUUUAUUGUGCCUCUUAACUUUUUAUUUUCCAGAUGGAGGUCCCUUAAGUCAUUUCUCACGACUUCAACUUCUUUUUGCACUUUCUCGGUUCUGGAUCUUUCAAUAUGAACGUCGAUCUUCAAUUGGUAGUUUUCCUCUUGAAGAGCGCUAAGGUCCCGAGACAUCUUGGCCUUUUCUCAUUCAAAUUCUUGUCUUGACAUUUCUAGCUUAGACGGCAUUUCCCCCGAGAAAGGAUUCUGGAUGGUGUAGUUCGUUAACGAGAUUUGCUGACUGUUCACUCGUUGCUUUCUCCAUAUGUCGUAAUCUUGGGUGAGGGUAUCAGCAUAUAGAACCAAUUCCAUCAGAUGAAUUUUUUGCCAAGACUUUGCAGUGUCUUAGACCCUCUUCAUAUACCCUUCUCCCGUAAAAGCGAACUCGGACUGUGCUAAUCCUCCAGUGGCGGGUUUGAAUUAUCGCGAAGAAAAUUGUCUUUGGACUAAUAGCGGGGCAUAUCCAACUCCUCCCCAUAACCCAAGUAGUGGUACCCAAUCUUGAUUUCCAACCUUGUAUAAUAGAACCGAAGGGCGGAUCCAUGGUGCUCUCCACGUUAUAUCCUCGGCGCGAAGGUUCUGAAAAACUGAGACCCAAUGCUGUUCAGUGACUUCCUUUGGCCAUUCUUUCUUGAGAUAAGCUUCCAACGGGGCAAAUGUUUUUGAAAACAUAUGGAACGGUGUGCGCUCUACUUUCCAGAAGUGACUCAAAAUCCAGACAUUUAGUAACUGCACGCAUCCGAUAAAGCGUCAUUUCCCUAUUUUCCUACAACUAUUUAAGGAUCUGAAGGUCUCGGCUAGGAUAGUCGGGACAGGGUUGAUUCUUUGUUUUAAUUUUUCGAAAAAAUCCACCACCGCAACUUCUAUGUGUCCAAUGACUUUCGAGAAGAUGAUCAAACCGUAAAUGGCCAAAGCAAACAAAUUUACCCUUUUCAACAUGUCAGGAUGGUUCAGAACCAAUUCUCGUAGGGAAGACCAUGGAAUGCAAAUGGUUUCAUUUUUCUUCUUUAUCUGUUUUUCGGCCCAUGUGUCAGUCAUGUCUCUCAAUCUCACUAACUUUUUCUUGAAGGUCAUCGGCUUAGGCUCUUUCACGUAUACUUUAUAGAAUUGCGCAUUUUCAACAUGAAGCAAAGCAACGUACUCCUCAAUAGUCGGAGUCAUAUCUUCUAGAUUGAAGGUAAAACAUUGGUAAGCUGGAUCCCAAAAUCUGACCAUGGCUUGGAUCAAUCGUUCGUCUACAUUGACAGUGAUCAAAUUGGCUAUGUCUCCAUAUCUCUCGAUGAAGAUACCCCUAGUGUCCAAAUCCCACUGAUUCCAAACCCGAACCAAAUCUUCAAGGUUAUUCUGGCGAACAUUCACAGUUACGUGCUCGGGCAGAUUAACAAUACAUCCCUCCACUAAACUAUCCCCUUUUUCUUUUUGAGUUUUUAGAGACCAGUCCCGAACCACGGUAUUCUUCUCGGUUGUUUGUAUAAUUGACUCUUCCAUUAGAAACCCGUUUUUGGCAACCAAUCUCUAGUCAACACCUUCCUAAUAUGAUGCCUAUAAUGUAUGAUGCAAAAUAAGAAUAAAAACAAACUUGGCUAGUAACUACAACAAUUAUAAAUUGAGAAACAAAUUAAGCUACCCGAUUCAGUUCUUUUGCAUAACAGCGUAAUGUAAAGAAAAUGAAAGACAAGAGGUGUUUCUCCCGUGUACUUAUUUGGUGACCAUUAGCGGACAGGAGUUCGGCACGGCUCUAAUUAGGUGGCUCAUAUGGUUCACUAUAUGCAGUUUCGGUUCUAGAUAGGUACUCGAAUCGUCCGUACUAUCAUCUACUAAGAUUAGUACGAAGCCUCGAUCGUAGCCCAUCACAGGCUCACGAGUUCAAUUCGAGAGAUUACAUUUACCUAUGCCUAUGCGGAGGGACAAGUUAACUCACGAAAGCAUAAGUCAUAUGUAACCCGAAAGUAUUCACUAGCCUGUGCGGAAGGAUAGCGUUUACUUUCACUUAAACGGACGGAGCCCGGGUAUAGAGCUCAUGUUAUGCAAGAAUACACGUGCACGGUGUGUGGGGAGAAACUCACAAACCUUUACGUUUUAAAAACUAAACCAAAACUAAAAUCAUAAGAAUUUAAAGUUUUAAAACAACCGGACAACACAAGUUAGAAGAAUAUAUACAACACGAUGCAAAUGCAUGAUUUUUUUCGAAAACAUAAUUUUAGGAUCACGACUAAAUAUUAAUUUGAACAAGGAAUUUUGAAAAUUUUGACAACACACAUUUAAUUCGACUCGACUCUCAAAAAUGCGGGACGCCAAUGGAGUCGCCAGCUGUAGCGACGUAAAAAAAUUUUGCUUAGCUCAGUCGCUAAUAGUGGCGAUUUAUUGAAAAAAGUUUGAAAUUUGACGUUUGAUUUUUGAAAUAAACAGGGAGUCGCCACCGAUCCUUUUUCCUAGGUGUGAUCGGACACCUAUUAGAUCUCUUAUUAAAACAAAUAAAGGCUGAGUUUAGGUCUACGUUAAAAUCCAGAGAAAAAUUUGAGUUUGGGAGUCUGUUACGCGCGAGGAAGGUAUUAGCACCCUCGCGACGCCCAAAAUUGGUAUCUUAUAAACACGUGUUGUCUUGAUUUUCAAAAAAUACGAGUUCAAUAUAACAUUUAGUCGUGAUUCAAUUGAAAAGACUGAGGAAUUUUAGUUUUUUUUCUGUUUUUUUGAGAAGGAUAUACCGUUUAAACACGAGCCUAAAAAUUCCAUCCAACAUAGCGAUGAAACUUACGACCUAAUGUUAAAUCGAUACAUUGCCUCACUUAUUAAAAAACAAGAAUAAAAUUUUCGAAAUAAUGCUAAGCAAAUUGAUGUGAAAUAAAAAUAAAUAAAGGAACCUGAAAUACAUUGAAGCAAAUAACGAGUAUGACAGCAAUAUAAGAAAACAAUAACAAUACAUGCAAGAUUAAAUAUAAUAAUAGUAUCAAAUACGAGAAAACAAUGAAUAUACAUAUAUAUAAAAAAUGAUAUUAAGAGUAUGUACGAAAUAUAUUUUUGUACACACCUAUAUAUAAGUAGUAAUAAUGUUAGAAAUAUACUAUAUAUAUCAUUUGAACUAUAUAUGAAAUGAUAAAAAUAUAUAACUAGUAAUAUUAAAGUAUAUACAUAAUAAUAAAUGUUGAAAGAUGUAUGUACAUAGCGUAUAUAAGAAAUAUAUAUAUACAUAAUAUAUUUAAAAUGAACAUAUACAAUAUACAUAUAUAAUAAGAUACAUGAAUACUAUGAUAUUUUAAAAGAACAUAUAUAAAUAAUAAGAAAAAUAUUAUAAUAAGUACUAAAAAAUAUCUAUAUAUAUAUACAUGUAUAAUAAUGAAUAAUACGAUAUACAAAAAUAAUACUAAUAAAAAGUAUAUAUAUACGUGUAAUGAAAUAUAUGUACUAAUAUUAAUAAUAAAUAUAAAUAAUAUAUACAUAGUAUGGUAUGAAAAAACAUAGAUAUAUAAAGCAUAGUACUAAAAUAUACAUAUAAUAUAUAAGAAUAUAUAUGUAAUAAAGUAUUAAAAAUUUGUACAUGAUAUAUAUAAUAAUAUGAUGUUAAGAAUAUACAUAUGGAAUAUAAUAUUAAAAGUAUGUAUAAAAAAAUGUAUAUAUAUAAUAUAGUAUUAAAAUAUAUGCAUAAUAUAUUAAAGAAUAAUAAUGUUAUAAACAACUAGUAAUAAUACUUCAUAAAUAUAUAUAUAUGUACUAAAAGUAUACAUAAUAAUAAUAUAUACAUACAAAGUACAUAAUAAUAAUAUAUACAUACAAAGUACACUAAUAUUUAAAGAUAAUAAUAGUAAACAUAAUAUUAAUAUUAAAUAAAAUUAAUAUUACAAAUUUAAUUUGAGAGCAAAAAUGACAAAAAGGACUAAAUUCGAAUUAAAAACAAAGUUUUGGGCGAAUUUUAAAAUAAAAGAUAAAUCAGAGGAUCUAUUUGAAUGCGCUUGCAAACAGUGGGGGCCAAAAAAGCAAUUUUCCCAAGCCUUUAAAACGCUGCGCUUGGCCAGGGACUAAAUUGAGAAGCGUGACAAAGUUCAGGGCCAAUUCAUAAAUACAUAUAAGCUUGAUUUAAAACAUCAAAAAUGCGGAAGGACCUAUUUUGAAAAUAACCCCUAAGAGCAAAAACGCGCGGAUCUUUGUCCGGAGCGGGUCGGGUACGGCCUAAACGACGUCGUUUUGGGGCUUAAGUGUAGCCCCCAAAACGACGUCAUUUUGGAGAGCUAUAAAUAGGCCCAUUUUCAGAAGAAAAAAAUCAUUUGAAGGGAGAAAAGGAAAAAAAAAAGAAGAAAGGAGAGGAAGAGAGAAGAGGGAGAUGGGAAAGGAGAGAGGGGGGCUGCCGGCCAGAGGGGGCCAGUCACCGGUCGACCGUCGGACCGUCGCCGGCGCCGGCCACCGCCACGAGGAGGCCGGAAAAGGUAAAACUCAAAUUUUAUUUUUUGCUUUUUUUUUAUAUUUUACUUGUUUAUUUUAUUAUUUAUUAUAUUUUUAUAUGUAUGAGUAAUAAGAUAGAUAUUAAGACAAAAUAGAAAAAAAAAAAGAAAUAACCUUAGUUUUUUUUAGCUUCAUAUUCUUCGAUCUUUGAUAUUUUCUUUUGCUUUGAACCUUGUUAUUGAAUCUAAAUGCUCAUUAGACUACUACUUUGAUUCUGGAUUUGAAAUGAUUUUCUUAUUUCUUUGUAUUUUCAAAACUGCCGAACUUAGGAAAAAAAAAAAGGAACCCCUUUACAUUUCAUUUCAUGGCUUUAAUAGCCUUUACCAUUUUAUAUCCUAUUAUUUCUGUCCUUUCUCUCUACUGUGUGCAGGAGAUGGCCGAUGGAGCAGGUGGCAGAGUUGGUGGCUGGUGGUGUCAGUGGUUGCGGCGCAAGUGGGAAGGCAAGUGGGAUAGGGUUUCUGUUUUGUCUGACUUGGGCUUAGGGUUGGGUUAUUUGUUUAGUGGGCUGGUUUAUUUAAAUGGGUUAAUGGUAAUUGGGGUUAGUUAGUUGGGUUUGGAUAGUAAAUGGGCCUUUGGGUUUUGGGUAUUUAGGUUAUUUGGGGGCUAGGUUUAAUGGGUUGUUGUGGGUAAGGGUUUGAAGUAAUGGGUAGGUUUAAUUUGGGUGGUGAUUUGUUGGGUUUUAGGGGUUGGAUUGUAAAUGUAUUUGGGUUAAGGGAUAAUUGGGUUUUGCAAUGUAUUGGUUUGGGUUUGAAAAUGUGAGUGGGCCAAAUUCGCCUAUAACAAUAUCGAUCGUUAAAGUGUCGCUUAGAGCCCGUUUGCUGAACUUUUUAAAAAAAUAUUAGCAACCCAAUGACUUAAAUGAAAAUUUUUUAAUAGUUCGGUGACUUAAAUAAAAACUUUCAAAUAAUUUAAUGACAAAAAUAAAAACUUAUGCAUAAUUUAAGGGUUAAUAAUGAAAUUUACCCUAUUCUGAUAAAUGAGUUACUUAUUGUUACUAUAUUUAUUUUUUAUUUUAAAUUUUUAUUUAAUACCUAAACUUUUUUUAAUCUAAUUGAUAUUUAAAUUUAAAAGCCGUAAAUUAACUUUCCUCAUUUUUUAAAAAGGCAUGUUUAUAAUUAAAAUUCUUUUAAAGCGUUAAUAAAAAAAAUUAACAAUCUCUUAUUAUCACGACUUUAGUCUCUUUGAUACACAUUUUUAAUUGAUUAUUUUUUGUGGUUUUUUAUUCAAAAUUUUAUACAGUGACGUAUUAAAAUUAAAGAAAAUAAAAUUUCCAUAAUUUAAAAAUAUUUAAAAAAUAAUAACCAUAUUAUAUGUCAAUAAUAUGAGACCCGAACCGUAAAAAAGAUUCGAGCUUCCGACCCAUGACCUGACCACGAGAGGACAACAAGGUGAAUCAGAUUACAAGGCAAUGCUACAGACCUACCUCGCAGGAACCUUGCGCGAGCUUAUAGGGUAGGAUCAUAGGUACAACUCACAAAAUCAGUUCACAAGAUAAGGUUACAAACCCAACUUGUGGGGACCUAUGGAAGGCCGCAGUAUCACCUCGCAUGCACCCAAGGAACUCACAGGAAGUGUCACAUGCUCCACAGGCCACCUAGACACGCGUCUAGCAGGUAUGAGCUCACCCUGAAUGCCAGUCUCAGGAGCAAAAAGGACCACGUGUUUCGUAGACACGUGCCCAACAAGCCUGGAGCUCACAAAGAAUGUCAGUAUCGGAAACAGUAGAGUCAAGAACAAAUAGUGGGGUCCUAUCAUGAGCUGUAAUAGUACCAGUAACAACAUGUACAAAUACCCUGAUACUCAUAUCAAUAAAACUGAAGCAAAAUAUUAUUGAACAAAACCUUAAAUAAAAUUUUAAAAAAAUAGUAUAAUUAGAAGAAAACAAAUUAAUUAAAUGAGAAUUUAGAUAAAAAUAAAUUAAAUAUAUUAAAAAAUACAUACCAUUUAAAAUUUCUUAGACCAUUAUUGACUAAUAUCCUAUAUACCAAUUUUGCAAAGAAAACAUAAAUGCAAAGUAUGCACAUAAUAUAACAAAUAAUGGAAUGUGUUUUCGAAGCAAUUUAAAUAUUUUUUUUGUUACUUUUCAUCAAUUAAAAUGGUAACAUCAUUCAAAAAAGUAAAGGUUAAACUGCUAAAAUAGUCACUUUUAUUCUCUCAGGUUACAUUUUAGUCACUUAUGUUUGAAAUGUUACGUUUUGGUCACUUACGUUAACAUGUUGUAACAUUUUAGUUAUUGAGCCGUUAAUUGCCGUUAAUGGUGUAACGGUAAAUUGACAUGGCACAUUAAAUUAUCAUUUUAAACAAAAAAUUUAGGUUAAAUCAUACAAUUGGUCCUCAUAUUUUUUUCGUAUUGAGCAAUUUAAUUUUUUUCUUUUACGUUCUUUUAACUUUCCUCUUUUUUUUUCUACUCUCUUCUUCUUCUCCCUUCAUUUCCUCACUUCUCCAUCUCUUUUAAUGUAAAAGAAAAAAAAAUCAAAUUGCUCGAAAUAAAAAAAAAAUAUAGGGGCCAAUUGUAUAAUUUAACCUAAAAUUUUCAUUUGAAAUUAUGAUUUAACGUGCCACGUCAGCUUACCGUUACACCUUUAAUGAAAUUAACGCUCAGUGACUAAAAUAUUACAACAAGAUAACGUAAGUGACUAAAAAGUAACAUUUCAAACAUAAAUAACUAAAAUGUAAUUUUAGACAAACAAAAGAGACUAUUUUAAUAGUUUACCCAAAAGUAAAACAUAGACGUAAUCAUCUUAAAACCAAAACACUAAUUUUAUUUUUUUAGCAUAUGAAAAAAGAGGAAGAAUUUUUUUCGUUUAAUCUAAAGAGGUUUUUCUUUCUAAUUUAAAUUUAAAUUUUGUUUUUUAUCUAAUUAUCUUAAUAAUUAUAUAAAAAAUAACAUUUUUUUUGUAUUAUUACAUGUGUAACCAAACAGUUAUUAAUUGCAAAAAUGUAAUUCAAAUAUACCAAAAAUAAAAAUGCAGUUCAAACUAUAGUUAGAUGUAAAACAUAUGAUUAUGAACGGUCAAGUUUUGACCACGUCCACCCAUACUUUUAAAUAUAAUUAUUUUUAGGGUAAAUUGUCAAAAUAAUCACUUUUGCUUGGCUCAAGUUACAUUUUAGUCACCUAUGUUUGAAAUGUUAUGUUUUAGUCACUUACGUUAUCGUGUCGUAACAUUUUAGUCACUGAGUCAUUAAUUAUUAUUAACGGUGCAACGGUAAGUUGACUUGGCACGUUAAAUCAUCAUUUUAAAUGAAAAUUUUAGGUUACAUUCUACAAUUGAUCCAUAUAUUUUAUUCAUUUUGAGCAAUUUAAAUUUUUUUCUUUUAUGUUCUUUUAACUUUCUUUUUUUUUUUCAUUCUCUUCUACUUCCCGUCUCCAUUUGUUUUCCUUCUUUUUUCAUUUCUUUUAACGUAGUUUUUCUAUAUUUUUCAUUUGUUAAAACUAGUCUACAAGCUUGCCUCACUCGAAAAAAUUAAAUUGUUCAAAAAAAUAAAAGUAUAAAGACUAAUUUUAACUAAUGGAAAACAUAUAAAAACUACGCUAAAAGAAAAUGGAGGAAGGAGGAAAACAAAUGGAGAAGCAGAAGAGAAUGGAAAAUAAAGAAAAAAAAAACAUAAAAGAAAAAAAAAGUAAAUUGCUCAAAACAAAAAUGUAUAGGGAUCGAUUGUAUAAAUUAACCUAAACUUUUUUGUUUGAAAUAAUGAUUUAACGUGUCAUACUAGCUUACCGUUACACCGUUAACGGCAAUUAACGACUCAGUAAAUAAAAUGUUACAACGCGAUAAUGUAAGGGACUAAAACAUAACAUUUCAAACAUAAGUGACUAAUAUAUAAUUUAAAGUAAACAAAAAUGACUAUUUUAAUAGUUUACCCUUAUUUUUUUUAAAUAUUUAGUAAUUAUAUGUGUAUAUCUUUUAUAUGUAUAUAUAUAUCUUUUAUUAAAUUCCUGAAACACACACAAAAAAAAACUUAAACAUAUUUUAGAUAUUUACAUCAUAUAUAAGAUAUUUAGUUUUCAGAUAAUAAAAAUUAUAUAUAUAUAAGAAAAAUAUUAUAUUAUAAAUUUGAAAUUGGGUUGGGCUCACAUCUUUAUUGAUGUAACCAAGUCUUCUAUGGGCUGGUUCAAAUAACCUUAUAGCCUAAAUUUCAUCAAACUUCUCAGUUUGACCUCCAAACUUCUUUAAGAUAGCUUUGGCGUCAUUUAACUCCUUCUUAGUUGCUUUGAACGCAUCAUUCUUUUCUUAGAUCAUGAUUUCGAGGUUUUUUUCUCUUUUGAGAAAUAUAGUUUCAUCUUUCAAGGAAACAUUAAAUUGACACAAUAUUUCCACUUACAUCAAUGUAAAACUUAGAUUGCUUCAAAAUAUAAUCUUAUAAAAAAUUACAAAGUGUAUGAAAUUACUUUAGUUUUACAUUGAUAUAAGUGGAUCUCUCCGAAACAAAAAUUCUGAAGUCAUAUUUAGUCAAGAAAUUACUCUAAAUUUUCCCAAGCAUACCAAAUGCAUACUCUGCUCAUCGUACUUAGUUCUACCCAUUUGGGCCAACAACGUAAAAGAGUAGUGGCUAAGCUCUUAUUGCCACUCAAGAGACUAGGGUUCAAACAGUGCUAUUGUCAUCUCUUUCCUCUAUGGUAAUAUAUUAUCUAUAAUUACUAUAAAAUUCUCGAUUAAGUUAGUGUCACGGGUUAAUCAGGUAUCAAAUAAAUUAAAAAAAAAAGACUAAUGCACAUUUUUAUUAAAUGAUAACUAAUAUUAUUAUUAUAAUACUUGUAUCUUCUCGUACUUUUUAUGUAAUAUUUAAAUAAAAUAAAUAAAAACUUAACAUCUUAGAUUCAAAUCACUUAUAAUAUUAUUAAAUAACUUUUUAAUAGGAAAAGUUUUCAUGAGUAUGACUUCAUCUACUACGUACUAAAAAGAAACCUGCCCCCUGGAAAAUUUUGCAAAUAAUACACUAUUUUCUUAUGCACUUAAAAAGAAUAAAUCAAUAAACAAUGACCUUGGAAAGUUGACACUAACAGAACCAAUGGUAUGGUGAAGGGUCUACUCUUCCAAAAUAAGUUUUUAAAUUAUCGUUUGAAAAGCAAUACAUCAGUCUCUCAAUAAUUGAAAGUAUUAUUUUCAGUAGAAUUUUGUCAUUCGUAAUUUGUCGAGAGCGAUUGGCCAGUUAACCUGAUUGGUAGAAUUGAAAGUGCCUCGAUUGGUAAACCUACAAAACUCAAGAGAAAAGUGUUAAUAUAAAAUAUGUAAUAAUAUGAAAUUUACUUGCAUGCAAGGAAAACUCAAACCACCAGCGUCAAACAUAUAAACCACUUACAUGCAAUUGUCACACCAUUAUUAUUAUUUUGUUAAAUUCAAACUCAUUAUAAUGUCAAUUUUAAAAUAAGAUUUGUUUUUAAUUUUAAAAUGUCAAACUAAUAAAUUUAACAAAAAAAUAUUGACGAGGUUAACAAUUAGAUAUAAAUUUUGAAAAAAAAAAAAAGGAAAACUAAAUUUCAAAUUAUAAAAAAUUUAGGGACUUCUCAAUCCAUGUGCUUAAGUUGACUAAUCUCUCGUGUAAACAUAAAAGUAGAGUGGAAUAUUCAAGGAAUCCAAUUGCCAUGCCCAUUUCCACCACAUAUAUUUUAAGCACAAAAUAGUAAUAUCCGCAAAUCCCACCCAACACAACUUAGGGAGGUAAUAUGUGGCCAGCCAUUAAGUAAACCCCUUUUCUUAAAUUUAAAAUUUAGUCCAUAUAUUUUUAUUUUUAGAAGUCUAGUCUCUCUACUUUCUAAAUUUUAAAAUUUAAGUCUAAUUAUUAACAUUAUUUUUUGUUAGAUUUAUUGGCAUGACAUUUUGAAAUAAAUAAAAAAAUAUUUACUUAGUAGCAAUGUAACUAAAAAAAUAGUGUUAUAAUGAACAUGAAUUUAAUAAAAUAAUAUUAAUAGUGUUAAUAGUUGGACCUAAAAUUUGAAAUCUAAAAAAUAGAGAGACUAAAUUUCUUGAAAGAAAAUAAAAAGGAUUAAAUUCCAAAUUUGAAAAUAAUAUAAGGACCUAUGGCAUAUUUUAACCUUUUAAAAACAUUAGGUCUAAUUAAUCGAGUGUUUGCAAUAUUGGGAAAAUGCAUAAUGAUUUUUUUAGCCCUCCAAUUUACGAAAAAAGUUAUUUUAUCUCUCCAUUUAAUUUUUUGCCUCUUUUAGCCCUUAAAAUUGUAUAUUUUUAUCUAAUCACCUCAAAAUGAAUGGAAAAGUUAACAUUUGUUAAUUUUGUUGGUGUGGCAUACAUGUGGAUUGCCACCUAGAUGAAACAUUAAUAUUUGAUGGAAAAAUUAAUGUUUAUUAAUUUUUUCGGUUAUGGAAAUGUUAAUUUUUUUUAUAAUUUUUAAUAAUUUUAAUUAUUUUUAGUUUUUAAAAAUAGUUUUAUAAUUUUUUUGAAAAUUUAAAUUAAAAAAAUUAAAUAUUGACAUGGCAUUCACGUGUUUGCAAUGUCAAUAAAAUUAAAAAAAAACGAUAACUUUUCCAUUAAAAAAACAUAAAUUUAAGGGCUAAAAAAAUUGAAAUGACUUUUUUUAAUAAAAUUGGUGGGUUAAAUAAAUCAUUAUACUUUAUAAAAAAAAAAAGGAAAACAUAAGACUUCUUUUCAUAUUUGAAUAGCUUCAUACACAAAAGUUAAAGUUUUGGUUUUAGAAAAAAUUUGCCAAAAUUUUUCCAAAAUUUAUUUAAGACAAAAUUUCCUAAAAUUUGAUUUGGAUAUGGCUUGUGAUUUGGUUGACAUAAUUAAGAGAAAGUAAAGCUUUUGAAAAAAACUGAAGAAAAUUAAUAUCAAACUUAUGCCAUUAAUGUUUAAUGUGAAGGAAAUUUGAUUUCAAAUAUUUUUUUUUAAGAAUUGACUUUAGUAUUUGUUUUUAAGUGAAGAUGAUGAUGUUUUUAUUUAUGUAAAUUCAGUAUUUAUUUUUUUAAUUAAUCAAAUAUUGUUGAGGUCUAAUUAUUUAUUUUUAAAUUUAAUUUAAUUUAAUUUUUGUUUAUUUAAUUUUUCACAUAAUCUUAUAUUAUACAUGUGAAAUAGGUUAUUUGGAAAAAAGAUUCACAUGUCGAAUUUUCAUUAGCUAUCUUAGCAUUCACUAACAGUAUAAACUUUAGAUAUCAUAAUAAUAUAUGACUGAUAGUUCAUGUACCACAUUGAACAUUUUUAAAAUAUAAAUACCAUAUUAAACAUUUCAUAAAAAUAUAAAUACCAAAUAUGACAUUAUUCCUAUUUUUUUACCAAACUAAGGGCACAUAAUUAAAAAUUGAAAUUAAUUGGCUCUUUUAACCUGUCCGCUAACCUAUGAAACAUAUAAUCCAUAUGUGACUUCUGUCCCUCCAAGAAACAACAAAGAUAUUAAUUAAUAAAUAUUUUAUUUACAAAAUAUUUCUCGCACAAAUAGAUUUAUUUUAAAAUUAUAAUUAUAAUAUUUAUGUAUUUUUAUAUUCAUAAUUGUGUGGUUUGUUCUUUUUAACAUAAUGUCUAGAAUUAGGCAUAACUCUUCUCAACCCGUAAAUAGUAAGAUAAUACAUUUCAAUGCACUUGAAUCUACGUUCUCUUGUAUUAACAACAAUGUUCAAGCCAAUCGAGCUAAGACUUAAUUGGCAAAAAAUACACAAUUUUAAACUAACAUAAACCUCUCUUUUAUUUUUUAUUUUCUUGCCAUUCUAAUUUGGAAAGAUUGAUUUUUAUGCAUUAGAUGAAAAAUGAUCAUCUCUUAUAUUUUCUUUUCUCUCAUUUUUCUUCCCAGCCAAACACACUUAAAAAUUUAUUUUACUUCCACUUAUGAUUCCCUCCGCCAUCCUUCUAUUUUUUACACCCAAACAAGUACACCAUGAAGGUUUAACCAAACAAAAUAAUAAAAUUAUGAUUUAGUUUUUCAAAUAAAUUACAAAUUAAUAUCGUAAAACUAUGUCUUAUAUAAAAUAAAAUAAUAAUUUGAUUUAAGUUAUCUGAACAAAAAUUUUGAGUUCAUCCCUAUUCAAGACAUUACUCUAAUUUUCACACGAUACCAAAUGCAUACACGAUUCAUUGCCAACAACAUAAAACAAUAGCUUUUUAAGUUUUUGUCACCCGAAAAACCUAAGGUCUUGUUAUUAUCAUCUUCCCUCUCAAUUUGUAUAAUCUAUACUUGAUCAAGUGUGAUGAAUUAAUCAAGUACCAAUUCAAUUGAGGAAAAAGAUAAUAUACCAUUUCUUUUAAAUAAUUAUUAAUAUUAUUGCCAUCAUUCUACUAUAUAAAUUUUAAAUAAAAUAAUUAAAAUUAAUAUCCAAAAAUUGAACAUAUAUUUGCAAACUAAGUGAUUAGCUUAAUGAUAAAAUUACUUGGGAUUCAAGUUAAUCGGCAUGAAAUCUAGAAUUCAAUUCCCAUAAUUGGUAGUAAAAAAACCUGCCGUGGAAAAUUUUGCAAAUAAUAGAAUGUUUUUUAAUAAAUCAAUAAACAAAGACGUUGGAAAGUUGACACUAACAGAACGAAUGCUGUGGACCAAAUAAAAAUCCCAAGUUCUUUUAUAAUUGCUCAAAAUCUUAUAAAAAGAAGUCCGAUUUCCCAUUUCCGGUGUUUUUGUUGUGGUGAGUGUUUUGAUGGGGAAGAAACAUAGCUUAGAUGAGACUUCAAACUCCAUUUCUAGUUCUGGAAGUGAAAGAGCACCUCUUUUGAACAAGGAGGUUGGUUUUCUUCUUUCUUUUUAUAAUUUAAUUUGAUUAAAUUUUCUGGGAUUCUUUUAUUGGUGAUUCUCCUUCACAAUAAAAGAAUGUUUGUUUCUGUUUUUAUGGGUAUCUGUAGCCUGCAACCUGCAAAGGGUAGUACUUGAAUUUAUAUGAUCGUUUUUGUGUCUUUUUGUUUUCUCCAUCAAGUAGGUUUAUUUGAUUUUUGAGAUAUGUUAGCCCAAUUUUUCAUUUAAAUAUAUAUAUAUAUCUAUAGAUAUAGCUAUGAAAAUAUUAUGCUCCAAAUAUAUGAAAAAAAAACUUAAAAGGAAUCAAGCAUAUCAUGUCGAGCCUGACUCCGAUUAGUUUUAUUUUUUUAAUGGUCUAUGACAUCAAAUUCUUUAGUUAGAUUAGGCUUAAGUAAGUGAUUAUUUGGUUUUAUUCUUCACUCAGCUCUGUAGAUUUUAGUUAUCUUAUGCAGAUUUAAAAAGAAUUUUUGAUAGAAUUUAGAGGACCAGCUUUUCUUAUCUUAGUGUUCAUUUUAGUUAAUGAAAGUGAAACAUUGAGAGGAAAAAGAAUGAAUAGCAUAAAAAUGGAAAAUAGAAAUUGAGAUUAUUUCACUGAACCAAGAAAGAUACCUAACAUAAGGUACAAUCUGUUCUCUUUUUCUAAUUUAAUUUUUGAGGUGCUUAAAAGAAAAAGAAAUGCUGAAACAACAUUAGAAGAAGACUAUUUAAAGCAUAUUUUUAUUUUGCAAUUUAAUAUAAGAAAUUCACACAAACACUGGUUUAGUGGAAACAAUUCACUUUAUUUUGUGCAGGCAAAUAAGCAAACAAAUGGGCAACAAGCAGCUGAAAGUCCUCUGUCAGACCUUGAGCAAGGCAAUGCAGAAGAGGUGAUAUUUGAAGCUAUUUUCCUACAUUUUUAUUUCCCAAUUAGCAAAUUUUUUGGGGGGACUUAAGGAUUUUUGGUCUUCCUUUUGAAAUUUUCAGGCAGUCAAUGUUGGAUUUUGGAGAGUAUUUGCACUGGUUAGUGAUGGAUUGUUUCCCAUCAUUUCUAAGCAUGGAGUUCUAACAUCAAUGUGCAUUGAAAUGCUUUUUUUCCCUUCAAUUUUCAGGCAAAGCCAGAUGCUGGGAAGAUAUUUGUUGCCACCUUUGCAUUAUUGAUAGCAUCCACUACAAAUCUCUUGAUUGUAUGUUGUUUCUAAUCAAACUUUAGUCUCAUAAUGCCCCAAAUCUUCUUUGUUGUUCUUAAAAUUCCUUUAUUUACCUUUUACUUUGAUCAUGAUCCAUGAUUAUUUGAGAUGAAAAAUGAGUACAAACUCAUUGCUGUUAACCACAAAGCACAUUUUAGGAAUAGGAUUGGCUCAUCAUUGACUGUUUAUGCUUAAAAAAAGGUCAUUUGAUCAUUGACUGUUUAUGCUUAAAAAAAGGUCAUUUGUCCAGUUCCCUUUGUUUUGAGUGUUGUGUUUCCAUGGCCCUUCAUUUGUAUUUCCAUCAUCCAGAAUAGCUCUAAUUCUACUGUAGAAAUAAACCCAAAUUAGAAUUAAAACUACAAAAUGCAAAAAUUCAUCAUGAUGUAUGUAUGUAAGCUCUUAACAGUUUCCCCCUUAAAACAGCUCACCUUUGAUGGUAACCCAUUUUUUGGAGAUUGUCACAUCUUUAUGUUCAGUGUCUUCUUUUACAUGGCAUAGAAUACUGUGAAAUAUUGUUGCCUUCUAAAGAGUGAAAGAAAUGUAACAUCGUGCAAGAUUAUGAAUUGCUCCUUCAAACAUACUGUAUUUUUUAAUUUUUUUCUCUGUUUGGCACAAUAGUAUGCAAGCAAAAAUUGUAACAUCAAAGGAAUUCUUUCACUUCAAACUCUAUUUUCCAGUAAGCUGGAAACGUUCAUAUGAAACCAUUUAGAAAUCAAGAGCAGAAGUUAACUGUGAAAUAAGGUUUUAUCCUGCCCUUACUCUUGUUUCCUCAUUUUUGCAUUAUGUCAAAUUGCUUUUAUUGCAGCCUAAAUAUGGUGGAAUGAUCAUAGACAUUGUUUCAAGAGAUAUAAGGACACCUGAACAGCAAUCAGAGGCCCUGGAAGCUGUCAAGAAUACUGUAACAUACAUUGUGCUGAUCGUUGUAAUAGGGUAUUCCUUUUCCUUUUGUGAUUUUCAGGUUCUAGUGUUCUACUAGUUAUGGUUUUAUUCAUAGUUGUCUAUUUUAACAAUUGGGCAUCCAUUGAUAUAUGAGAUAGUUAAGGUUUAUCUGGCUUUCGACUUUUCUUAAGUUGGAAAGAAACAAUCCUUUUUCUUGUAGCAUUUCAUAUGCUCCUUCAUUUUUGAGAGAGAUAGAUAAUGAGUGUUCCCUUACAUCAUUGUGAGAUUUUGAUGUUUCCAUGAGACCAGCUUAUCCGUUGAAAUGCUUCAAGAAAAAAAUACAUCUCAGGUUCUAGUCAUAGAUUAUCUUAAAAACAGCAUUAUCUUGGCUUGUCUUCAUGUUUUUCGCUUAAUAUCUUGUAUAUAUUGAUCUUAUAGCAGAGUUUCUGCUAAAAUGUCAAUUAGUUUUUGUAUUUCAAGAAGGUUUGAAGAUUUGCAAAAACAUAUACUGAACCUGAAAAUAUUGUCUUAAGAAUCAGAUUCUAUAAUAAACUUCUAUGAUGAUGUAAUUUAGUUGAAGACUAGUUCCUUUUUAGGAAUUUUCAUAUCUCUAUUUCCUGAGUCUAUUGCAUCCAUAUUCAUGCAUCAACUUUAUAAACUAUAUUACUUGAUCUUUUGACUUCAAAAGUUUGACACUAUAGUUAUUUUUCUCUCAUCCAUUUAGGUCUGUGUCCACAGCACUUCGGUCAUGGCUCUUUUCUUCUGCCAGUGAAAGGGUUGUAGCUCGCCUUAGGCGAGACUUAUUCAGUCAUCUUAUUCAUCAGGUCAGGCCAAUUAGAGCAGCUACUAGUUAUAUGAUAUUGCCAGUUAAUGAUUACCCAGCUUUAAGAAUUAAGAUUGAUAGUUAUUCUGCUCAUAGCUUGAAUCAGCCUUCUCUUGAAGCUUGAUUUUCAGCAAAACUGAUCCUAAAAUAGUUCCAACAGGAAAUAGCCUUCUUUGAUGUUACUCGAACAGGGGAACUCCUCAGCAGGCUAUCUGAGGACACCCAGAUUAUAAAAAAUGCAGCAACAACUAAUCUUUCAGAGGCACUCCGGAAUCUAACAACCGCCUCUAUUGGUGUUGCCUUCAUGUUUUCUUCAUCUUGGAAAUUAACGU
rnacentral:lncRNA from 1 species